rnacentral:lncRNA from 1 species
GCGGAUCCCGUACGCAACCUUGACACGUGCUAUGACUUGACCCGCUUCCCCGAGGUCAAUGUCCCCAAGGUGUCCCUAGUGUUCGCAGGCGGUGCCACCUUGGAGCUCGAGCCGGCGUCCAUCAUGCUGGACGGCUGCCUGGCUUUCACGGCCUCCCCUGGCGGCCACGGCUCCAUCGGAUUCAUCGGCAACGUGCAGCAGCAGACCUACGAGGUUUUGUACGACGUCGGCAGCGGGAGCGUGGGAUUCCGCAGUGGCGCGUGCUGAUGUGGCAAGCUGCAGGCCAACCACGGCCACUUGUACGUGUGAUGCAUGAUUGGCCCCCUAAUAUAUAUCUGGGUCUACAAGCUAGCUUGCUCAUUGGGAUGGAGCUAGUUUGUGAGUAUAAAUAAAUGCAAGAAAGAAGAUUGAUGUAAUACUUAUAUAUGCAUGUAAUUUUAUAUAGUUUUAUAUAUGCAUGUAAUUUUGUUCAACGGUUGUAUGAUUGUAAACCUUAUAAUAUAACCUUACAGAUUGUCAAGGAAUUCAACCGAUAUAAUUACUCUACUUAUUGAUGUGCAAUAAUGUAAUAUGACUAUUAAGAAGCAUUCUGAUUGUGGAGGUGGUUUCGCACUUUUUACUACAACAAAGGUGUUUGAAGGAUUCCUCGGCAGAAACUAGAACGCACUCCUUCAAUAAUUGACGAGCUAAUUGGUUGUUGAACUUCAGACAAAGAUUGUUGGGCAUGAAAGCGGUCACCAGCGGGUUGAUUGGCCUCACCAGCUCAUACGUGUUCAUGAGGCGUGGUUUUUUUCUUUUCUUGAUUAAUAGUAUUUGUUUCUGGAUGCUUGCAUUGUUAGAUUUGGAAGCGUUCCUACUCCUCGAUGAGGAGCCGGGUUGGUUUAUAUUGAACGAGGCAGAACAGCCCUGCCGUGGCUUACAAGAAGAGGAAACUGAUCGCAAGGAUUGGGUUGUAAGGAGGACUCCUAAACAGCUACGCGAGGGAGAGAGAUAGAAUAGAGUUGAGAUUACAAUGCGGAGAUAAACAUGAAUUCUAACACCCUCCCUUAAUCUCAACUAUUCUAUGUUUAGAUUCCUCUUGAACUCAUCAAAUGGUUUUGCUGGUAGUGCCUUGGUGAACCCAUCAGCCACUUGAUCUUUGGAAGGGAUGAACCGUAUCUCAAGUUUCUUUGCUGCAACCCUUUCAGGCACAAAGUGAAAAUCAAUCUCUAUAUGCUUGGUUCUUGCAUGAAACACUGGGUUUGCAGACAAGUAUGUUGGUCCCAAAUUAUCACACCAUAAACAUGAGAUGCGAUUCUGCUUGACCCCCAUUUCAUCCAGUAGUGAUUCAAUCCAAAUGAUUUCUGCAGUGGCAUUAGCUAAGGAUUUAUACUCAGCCUCUGUAUUUGAACUUGAUACAGUGGCUUGUUUCCUACCACUUUAAGAAACAAGAUUAGGCCCAAAGAACACUGCAAAGCCUCCGGUUGAUUUUCUAUCAUCACUGCAACCUGCCCAAUCAGCAUCAGAGAAUGCACUCACAAGAGUAGAAUUAGAGCGUCUAAAAUGCAGUCCUACUCCCAUAGUAUGUUUGACAUAUCUUACAGUUCUCUUAAUAGCUGUCCAAUGUGCAGUAGUGGAUGCAUGCAGAUAUUGACAAACUUUGUUAACAGCAAAUGAGAUAUCUGGGCGAGUAAGAGUCAAGUACUGUAAUGCUCCAACAGUACUUCUAUACUUUGUGCUAUCUUCCUCAUAAAGUGGCUCACCUUCAUAUGCUGAAAGUUUCUCCGAGGAGGACAAUGUGUAGGUACAGGUUUGCAGUUUUUCAUCCCCAUACGAGAUAGAAGCUUGGUAACAUAUUUCUCUUGUUUUAGUACCAUGCCAUCUUGAGUCAUCUUAACUUCAAUGCCUAGAAAGAAGUGCAAAUGUAACAUCCCAAAAUUCUAAAUUUUGGAAUGUUAUAUUAAAUAAUUAAUUAUGAUUGUUUGUUUGUUGUGUGAUUGAUUGUGUGAAAAUGAUUGGAAAUUGAAAACUUUUUGAAAGUUGAAUGAGAGGGAAUAAAAGGACUUUCUCGAAACUUUUCAUCUUGCAUUUUGAUCUUCCUGAAUUCAAAUUCAUUUCAUCACAAAACCCUAGAGUGAAGAUAUUAUGACUUCUUCCAUUUAAAGAAAUUAAAAAAGGGGUUUGAAAAUGAUUUGAAUUCCAUUUGAAACAUUUCGAAUUUAGAAACUUUAAGAGCAUCUCCAGCCGUUCGCCCCCCAGGACGCAUAAAAAUCGCCCCCAGGGGGCGAGCCGGCGAUAUAAUCGGCGCUGGGAGCGGUUUCGCGCCCAGUCGUCGCCCCCAGGCGUCGAUAUUGGCCCACUUAUCCCAUUUCGGCGAAUAAAGGGCCCAUAUGGGCGACAAUAGGCCCAUAUUCCGCGUGGUUUGCCGUUGUUCGGCGUUCAGUUGUCACACCCUAGCUAGUCAUGCAUUAGAGUGUUGCAUCAUGUUUACUCUUUCAUCAGAAACUUGAAAUGGGGAUGACAGAACCCCCAGUCCCCUCUGAAACCAACUAGGGUUACUAAAAUAAUUUUUCAAUGAACCUGAAAUGCCCUUCUAAAAUGCCCAUCAUUUUUGCCUUGGUUCAGAACCUUUGCCAAAAGUGGUGCACAUUUUCCUAGGCCAUCCUAGGGUUUUUGAAUUAAGUCAUAAGUAUUUGAAUUUGGGCAUUUAAAAUUAUAUAAAAUAUUUAAAUGCUCAAAUAUCUCCAAACUAAAAUGUUUCAUGUUGGAAAUAAUCCAACUAUGGACCAGGAGUAGUUUGGUGAUUUUUGGAGUUGCCUAGGUAUUUUAUUUAAUUCAACAAAGUUGCAGAUAUAUUAAAUAAAAACAGAAAACAGAAAAAUAAAUAAAAGGAGUAGACUUACCUGGACCUACCUGCCCAGCCCAGCCGGCCCAGCACUGUGCUGGCCCGUGCCAGCCAGCUGCUUCCCCUUGCCAGAGCAGGCAGGGAGGUGAGCAUGGCGCGCCCGAGCUCGCCACGCACCACCCAGCCUCUCUGCAUCGCCCUGGUCGCCGUUGCGCCGCGUGGAUCGUCUUCUGGUCGUCGCCCCGACCUCGCCGACACCCCAUUCAUUCUCCCCCGGCUCUCCCUCGCUCUCUCCCCCGCCCGACCGAACACCACCGUCGCCGCCGUUCGCCAUAGCCACCGUCUCCGACCACCCCUCGCUCCCCCGACCAGCUCAGAAGCUCCGCCACAACUCCCUCUUCCUCCCCACCGCUCCACAGCUCCCCGGAAGCCCUGCAUUGCCGCCACGUCGCCGUUCCCCUCUUCGGGCUCCGACCACCGCCGCCGUCGAAUUCGCCGUCUCCAGCGCGUCCCCGAGCCCGCUUCGACGCCCACUGCAACCGCGGUGAGCUACGCCACCGUUUCCCCCUCUCCUUCCCCUCGUUCCCUCACCGUAGCUUCCUCCCCACCACGGCCGAACCUCCGCCGUCGCCGAGCUCGCCGUCGACGCAGCUCCGGUGACCAUUUGGUCACCCCGGCGAGUCCAACGGGUUCACAGAACCCCGUAGAGCAUCCCUAGCGCCUCGCCUUGCUCGACUUCGAGCUCCAGCACCGUUCCCGGACUGCUCAACUCACCCAUCCUUCGGGAAAGAUAGUCAAUGUCUUGACCCGAAUAGCCAAGCGACAAUUAUACUCUCUUAACGCCAGCCCCUUGCCAGACCUUGAGGACGUGCCGGUAGUCUGUGACUUCCCGGAUGUCUUUCCAGAAGAAUUGCCAGGUGUUCCACCUGACAGGGAUGUUGAGUUCGUAAUAGACCUCAUCCCCGGAACCGUUCCGAUUGCUAGAAGACCUUAUAAGAUGGCACCCCUAGAACUAGCCGAGCUUAAGAAACAACUCGAUGAAUCCUUGAAAAAGGGUUUCAUCCGCCCUAGUUCAUCUCCGUGGGCUUGCCCCGUCCUAUUCGUCAAGAAGAAGGAUGGUACGGACCGAAUGGUUGUAGAUUACCGACCUGUCAACUUGGUCACAAUCAAGAACAAAUACCCGCUUCCCAGGAUCAACGAUCUGUAUGAUCAGCUCGCUGGAUCCUCAGUCUUCUCCAAGAUGGAUUUGAGGUUGGGAUACCAUCAAAUCAAAAUCAGAAACGGGGACAUUCCUAAAACGGCCUUUGUUACUCGUUAUGGCCAAUACGAGUACACCGUCAUGUCCUUCGGUUUAACCAACGCUCCAGCCACCUUUUCUCGGUUAAUGAACUCAAUCUUCAUGGAGUAUUUGGACAAAUUCGUCAUAGUUUAUCUCGAUGAUAUACUCAUCUACUCCAAGAACGAGGAAGAACAUGCCGAACAUUUAAGGCUAGUGUUGAAGAAACUUCGAGAGCAUCGCCUUUAUGCCAAAUUUUCUAAAUGUGAAUUCUGGUUAUCAGAAGUGACCUAUCUGGGUCAUGUAAUAUCUGGUAAAGGUAUUGCUGUUAACCCUGAGCGAGUUCAAGCCGUCCUUGAUUGGACUCCACCCGAAUCGGUCAAGCAAGUUCGGAGUUUUCUAGGCUUAGCGAGCUAUUGUCGUCGCUUUGUCGAGAACUUCUCCAAAGUUGCUAAACCUCUAACCGAACUCCUCAAGAAAGAUAAGAAGUUCGAAUGGACUCCACAAUGUGAGCACAGCUUUCAGGAACUGAAAAGACGCCUGACUUCUGCUCCCGUGCUGGUACCGCCAGACUUCUCCAAGGACUUCGUUAUCUACUGCGACACCUCGCGACAAGGACUAGGUUGCAUUCUCAUGCAAGAUCGACACGUAAUUGCUUACGCUUCACGGCAAUUGCACCCACAUGAGGAGAAUUAUCCUACUCAUGAUCUAGAGCUUGCAGCCGUAGUCUAUGCACUUAAGACCUGGCGACAUUACCUCCUCGGUAAUCGUUGCGAAAUAUUCACUGAUCACCAAAGUCUGAAGUAUAUUUUCACCCAACCGGAUUUGAAUCUCAGGCAGAGAUGUUGGGUUGAAUUGAUCACAGACUUCGACUUAGGAAUAACCUACACCCCAGGGAAAGCCAACGUCAUGGCUGAUGCGCUAAGUCGUAAAUCUUAUUGUAACAACCUGAUGUUACAACAAAGUCAACCGCUUCUCCAUGAGGAAUUUCGGAAGCUUAACCUUCACAUUGUACCUCAAGGUUUUCUUUCCACCUUGGUGGCAAAACCUACCCUUACGGAUCAAAUUAUCAAAGCACAGAAGGUAGAUCCGGGAAUCUCCCGCAUCAAGAGAAACAUUCAGAAAGGAAUUGCGAAUUGCUUCUCCAUUAAUGAUCAAGGGGUCGUAUACUUCGGGGAUCGACUAGUGGUUCCCAAAGUGCGAAACCUGAGGCGAUUGAUCCUUAAGGAAGCUCAUGAAUCUCCUCUCACCAUUCAUCCCGGUAGUACUAAGAUGUAUCAGGACCUACGCCAGAGGUUCUGGUGGACUAGGAUGAAGAGAGAAAUUGCUCAGUAUAUUGCUAAUUGCGACGUCUGUCAUCGUGUAAAAGCAGAGCAUCAACGGCCUGCUGGCACCCUUCAACCCUUAGCUAUUCCUGAAUGGAAAUGGGAUAAAAUUGGUAUGGAUUUCAUUACCGGGUUUCCCAGGACCAAGAGAGGGAAUAAUGCUAUUUUCGUCGUGGUCGAUCGUCUCUCCGAAGUAGCUCAUUUCUUACCUGUUCGUGAGAGUAUAACCGCUAGUCAGCUGGCAGAUUUGUACAUCUCCCGAAUAGUGUCUCUACAUGGUGUUCCUUUGGAAAUUAACUCGGAUCGAGGAAGUCUUUUCACCUCUCGAUUUUGGGAAAGUUUCCAAAAUGCUAUGGGAACUCGUCUCUUCUUUAGCACCGCUUUCCACCCUCAGUCGAGUGGUCAAGUGGAACGCGUCAACCAAAUUCUAGAAGACAUGCUUCGAGCCUCUGUUAUCUCUUUCGGAAUGGACUGGGAGAAGUGCCUUCCAUUUGCCGAAUUCGCUUACAACAACAGCUAUCAAUCUAGCUUGGGUAAAGCCCCUUUUGAAGUUCUCUAUGGACGACGAUGUCGAACACCCCUUAACUGAUCAGAGACCGGGGAAAGACAAUUCUUUGGCCCGGAUAUGAUUCAGGAAGCAGAAGAACAAGUUCGUAUCGUUCGUGAAAAGUUGAAAACAGCCCAAUCUCGUCAAAAGAGUCAAUAUGACCGAAAACAUAAGGCUAUGACUUUCGAGGUUGACGAGAAGGCUUAUCUUCGGGUCACCCCUCUGAAGGGAACCCAUCGUUUCGGUAUCAAAGGCAAAUUGGCUCCUCGUUACAUUGGACCUUUUCGCAUUCUUGCCAAACGAGGAGAAGUUGCCUACCAGUUGGAACUACCUCCGCACCUCUCCAGAGUUCACGAUGUCUUCCACGUUUCUCAACUCAGGCGUUGCUUCUCGGAUCCUAUCCGUGAAGUGGACCACGAAACGCUUGAUCUCCAAGAUGAUCUUACAUAUCGAGAGUACCCCAUUCGUAUCCUCGAUCAAGCCGAACGUACCACGCGACGUCAUAAUAUCAAGUUUCUCAAGGUUCAAUGGUUGCACCAUUCUGAGGAUGAAGCAACUUGGGAAAGGGAGGAUCGUCUUCGACUCGAGUAUCCCGCCUUCUUCUCGGAGAAACCCAAAUCUCGGGACGAGAUUCUUUUGAGUGGGGGUGAGUUGUCACACCCUAGCUAGUCAUGCAUUAGAGUGUUGCAUCAUGUUUACUCUUUCAUCAGAAACUUGAAAUGGGGAUGACAGAACCCCCAGUCCCCUCUGAAACCAACUAGGGUUUACUAAAAUAAUUUUCAAUGAACCUGAAAUGCCCUUCUAAAAUGCCCAUCAUUUUUGCCUUGGUUCAGAACCUCUGUCAAAAGUGGUGCACAUUUUCCUAGGCCAUCCUAGGGUUUUUGAAUUAAGUCAUAAGUAUUUGAAUUUGGGCAUUUAAAAUUAUAUAAAAUAUUUAAAUGCUCAAAUAUCUCCAAACUAAAAUGUUUCAUGUUGGAAAUAAUCCAACUAUGGACCAGGAGUAGUUUGGUGAUUUUUGGAGUUGCCUAGGUAUUUUAUUUAAUUCAACAAAGUUGCAGAUAUAUUAAAUAAAAACAGAAAACAGAAAAAUAAAUAAAAGGAGUAGACUUACCUGGACCUACCUGCCCAGCCCAGCCGGCCCAGCACUGUGCUGGCCCGUGCCAGCCAGCUGCUUCCCCUUGCCAGAGCAGGCAGGGAGGUGAGCAUGGCGCGCCCGAGCUCGCCACGCACCACCCAGCCUCUCUGCAUCGCCCUGGUCGCCGUUGCGCCGCGUGGAUCAUCUUCUGGUCGUCGCCCCGACCUCGCCGACACCCCAUUCACUCUCCCCCGGCUCUCCCUCGCUCUCUCCCCCGCCCGACCGAACACCACCGUCGCCGCCGUUCGCCAUAGCCACCGUCUCCGACCACCCCUCGCUCCCCCGACCAGUUCAGAAGCUCCGCCACAACUCCCUCUUCCUCCCCACCGCUCCACAGCUCCCCGGAAGCCCUGCAUCGCCGCCACGUCGCCGUUCCCCUCUUCGGGCUCCGACCACCGCCCCCGUCGAAUUCGCCGUCUCCAGCGCGUCCCCGAGCCCGCUUCGACGCCCACUGCAACCGCGGUGAGCUACGCCACCGUUUCCCCCUCUCCUUCCCCUCGUUCCCUCACCGUAGCUUCCUCCCCACCACGGCCGAACCUCCGCCGUCGCCGAGCUCGCCGUCGACGCAGCUCCGGUGACCAUUUGGUCACCCCGGCGAGUCCAACGGGUUCACAGAACCCCGUAGAGCAUCCCUAGCGCCUCGCCUUGCUCGACUUCGAGCUCCAGCACCGUUCCCGUGCACGACCGAACCCCGGCGGCCGCAGCCGAGCUCGCCGCCGUCGACUCCGGCCACCCCGACCCCAACGGGCUCCGCCAAGAGCUGCGGGUUGUCCUCAGCUCCACUCAGGUGGCCUCCGCGAUCCAUUUGGUGGCCGAAACGACCAAAAUCACUUCCGCCGCCGCGUCGGGCUCGCCGGCGACUAAACGCCGGCAGCCGACACUGACUUUGACCACGGGUGGGCCCUGGUUGACUCCCCUGAGUCAAUGACAGGUGGGGCCCAGCCCUGUUAAUUAAACAGGAUUAGUUUUAAUUAAGUUUUAAUUAAAAUAAUCACCCUGACAUGCGGGACCCACUGUCAGGUUUGACCUGGACCAGUUCCGUUGACCUGCUGACGUCACACUGACGUCAGGCUGACGCAGUAAAUUAAUUUCUGGAUUUAAAUUAAAUCAGGAAAUUCCAGAAUAUUAUUUAAACUUCAAAAAUUCAUAACUUUUAUUCUGUAACUCCAAAUUGGACAAAUUAUAUAUGAAAAAUGAUCAGAAAAAUCCAAUCUAUCCAUCUGUACCAUUUUCAUGCAUGAUCAAACAAGUUAAGUUGAUGUUUUAAUCAGAACAAGAAAAGGCACUUUAAAAGGCCAUAUUUGAAUUUGAAAUCUGAAUCUUUGAUUCAAAUUUGUUCAAACCCUUCUGGUUUUUAGUUGCAUUAGCCCAACACACUCAUAUUGCCAUGUUUCAUGCAUGCAUCAUAUUGUUGCAUAUUGUUUGGUGAUGUUUGUGUAUCGAUGUCCUUUGCGACAGGAUCUGUCCCCGAGGAGUAUCGUGAUUACCCUAACGAAGAACCGUAUCCGUGCAACGAACCAUCAGGCAAGCAACCAACCAUUUGAUCAUAUCAAUACAAUCCCAUGUUCUCGCUCCUGCUCUCAUUUACUGCAUUAAGACAACGCGAUUCAAACUGCUGUGUGCUACGGUAGUUGAACCCAUUUCAUCUGCAUGACCUGUCAUUGCCACAGUAACUAGAUGAAACCCACUAGCAUGUGUAGGAGUUGAUUGAGCCAUAUGUAUGUGUUGUUCCUACCUUGCUAUGCCUGCUAUGCUUAGAGUCGUGUCAGGUCUGGUUCAUCUGGGUGAUGGGCUAGAGUGAAAUGAUUAUGUCGGUAAUGAGAGUGGUGUGGUGAACACGAUUUGGUAAAGGUAUCGAUGAGAGGCCAUGUAGGAGUACAUGGUGGGUUGUUUCAUUGAAGCCGACCUUAAGCACUGAGAUCUGUAUGUGUGAUUUAAGAUACAGCUACUACCAUGCAUUGGGCCCUGAAAUAUGACCCCGCUCGACUUCUUAUUCACCCUAGCUCUCUGUCUAGGAGUUGCAAGUAGUUUCUGGUGUUUGUAGCCUACUGGAGGCCGUGGACAGCGCUGACCGUAGGGGUGGGCUGUGAUGCGGUAGGUACGUGGCACGGUGUACCGAAUACCCGUUAGGUAUCUCGGGAACCCUGUUCACAUCGUUCGGGGCCGUAUGGGAAACCUCGGCCGGACUCCCUGCGGAUGGAACCUGAAUAGGCGAUAAACCUGGACUAGAGGCUUAAGUGUUUAGGUAGGUCGUGGUCUACACCCACGUCGGUUUUCGCUUGAAGUCUGCCGAGCACAUGUCGUGUGCAGACGCUAAGUGGUGGAAACAUGUAUGAAGAAGUACACCCCUGCAGGGUUAUCAUAAUCUAUUCGAAUAGCCGCGUCCGUGGUAAAGGACUACUUGGUUGCCUAUACAGUUCAUAGACAAGUAAAUGGAAACUACUAAAAGCCUCAAGAUAAGUGUGAGUGCCGAGGAUGGCUCUUCCGUAGGAAGACGGAGGUGAAUCCUCGGUAGUGUAUUGAAGUGGUGAGUAGUGGACUCGUGUGCGCAAAACUAUUUCAAGUUGGAGUAUCGUAGGUUAGCCUAGCCAAGAGUCAAAGCUGGCUUGCUGCAAUAACUCCACCAACCCUUCUUGAUACUAUGCAUGUAUGUAGGAUCUGAUGUAAGUCUUGCUGAGUACCUUUGUACUCAUGUUGCUAUAAUCUACAUUUUUUACAGAAGACGCUGCAACCCCUUCUGAUGGGUUCUAUGUAGACGUUGACAUCAACGAGUAGGCUAAAGACCCAGGUGGUGACCCUGAGCUUGUGAUGGACCACGUAGUAUAGCUAGGCUUUCCAAGCCUCUUUUAUUUUACUAGUUGUCUGUACCCAGACAAAGUACUUCCGCUGUUGGCUUGUAUGACUGUAUGAUUUGUAUGUUGGGUCGUGAGACCCGUACCUGUGUGUAUGAUAUGUAUGGCUCCCUGAGCCUUAAAUAAAGUACUUGUGUCAUAGAGUCAUGUUGUGAUGCUUCGUUGUAUUUGCACAUAUCGAGCAUAUUGUGUGUAUGAUUGAAAUGCUUGGUAUGUGUGGGAUCUGACUAUCUAGUUGUUUAUCUUUAGUAGCCUCUCUUACCGGGAAAUGUCUCCUAGUGUUACCGCUGAGCCAUGGUAGCUUGCUACUGCUCUGGAACACUUAGGCUGGCCGGCAUAUGUCCUUCUUCGUUCCUGUGUCUGUCCCUUCGGGGAAAUGUCACGCUUUGAGUACCGGAGUCCUGUUAGCCCGCUACAGCCCGGUUUACCGGAGUCCUGCUAGCCCAGUGCUACAGCCCGGACCCACUUGCUGAUGACCGACACGUUCGAAGCUGGGUCAUGGAUGCCUGUCCCUGUAAGUCUGUGCCACUUUGGGUUUACGACUAGUCAUGUCAGCCCGGGCUCUUUAUCAUAUGGAUGCUAGCGACACUAUCAUAUACGUGAGCCAAAAGGCGCAAACGGUCCCGGGAAAAGGUAAGACGACACCCGUGGGGAUACCGUGCGUGAGGCCGCAAAGUGAUAUGAGGUGUUACCAGCUAGAUCGAUGUGACAUCGAGUCGGGGUCCUGACAUCAAUUAUGCACAUAAAUUUUUUAUCACAUAUUUCAUCACAGAAAUAUCAAAUACUUCAACAAAAUAGUACAACAACAAAUAGUUCAAUACAAUUUAUAUAGUUGAAGAAAUAAAAACUCAUAUUCCAUCACACGUCGCGCCCGACGUCACCCUUGAGCCUCCAUAGAUGCUCUAUCAGAUCUUGCUGCACUUGAUGAUGCACCUGUGGGUCUCGGAUCUCCUGACGCAUACUGAGAUAGGCAGUCCAGGUUGCCGGUAGCUGGUGAUCAACUUCGGCUAGAUGACCCUGCCUAUAGUAUGGUUCAGUGUCAAACACUGGGUCUUCUUGCUCGUUCUCGAUGAUCAUGUUGUGCAAGAUGACACAGCAAGUCAUAAUCUCCCACAUUUGAUCUUUCGACCAGGUCUGAGCGGGGUACCGGACAACAGCAAAUCGAGAUUGGAGCAUACCAAAUGCCCUCUCGACAUCCUUCCUGUAAGCCUCCUGAACCUUCGCAAACCAGCCGUUCUUGCCUCCUGGCACAGGGUUUGAGAUCGUCUUCACAAAUGUCGACCAUCUCGGAUAGAUGCCAUCAGCUAGAUAGUACCCCUUGUUGUAGUGCCGCCCAUUGAUCUCGAAGUUCACCGGAGGAGAAUGACCUUCAACAAGCUUGGCAAAGACAGGAGAGCACUGCAGCACGUUGAUGUCAUUGUGAGUUCCUGGCAUACCAAAGAAGGAGUGACAAAUGCAGAGGUCCUGUGUGGCCACCGCCUCAAGUACCACACUGCAACCGUCUUUGGCGCCUUUGUACAUCCCCUGCCAAGCAAAUGGGCAAUUCUUCCAUUUCCAAUGCAUGCAGUCGACUCUUCCAAGCAUCCCAGGAAAUCCUCUUGCUGCAUUCUGUGCUAGGAUCCGAGAAGUGUCUUCCGCAUUGGGUGUUCUCAAGUAUUGCGGUCCAAACACGGCCACCAUUGUCCGAAAGAACUUGUAGAAACACUCUAUGCUGGUGGACUCGGCCAUGUGCCCAUAGUCGUCGAGUGAAUCACCGGGAGCUCCGUAUGCAAGCAUCCUCAUCGCUGUCGUGCACUUCUGAAUGGAGGUGAAUCCAAGGGCGCCGGUGCAAUCCAUCUUGCACUUGAAGUAGUUGUCGAACUCCCGGAUGGAAUUCACAAUCCUGAGGAAGAGCUUUCGGCUCAUCCGAUAACCGCGCCGAAAUGUUUUCUCGCCGUGAAGUGGAGCAUCGGCGAAGUAGUCGGAGUAGAGCAUGCAGUAGCCUUCGAGACGAUGCCGGUUCAUUGCUUUCACCCGCCCCGGCGCCGAGCCACCUCGCUGCGGCUUUUCAUUGCUCGCCAGCAGCUGGGCAAGGGCGGCGAGCAACAUGAGAUGCUCUUCUUCCUGGACAUCGGCCUCGGCUUCCUCCUCCAACAGCGCGGCGAGCGCUUCCUCAUCAUCCGAGUCCAUCGCCGAGGCAGGCAAAUCGCCGAACACCUUGCGCCCGGUGGGCGUGUACCCGCCGCUAAACUGCCCCUCUGCGGCCGGAAACACCCAGCUGCUGUUGGAGGGGCUGCCGCGGUGAAGCUCUGCUAUUUUUUCGGCGGGGAAUGGCUAUCUAGCGGUGAAGGGCGGCAGGCGGCGUCAGGAUAUAGCUAGUGGCGGCCGAGGGCGCGGGGGUGGGAGGCGAGUCGGGGAAGAAAACCUUAACUUUUCCCCUGCUGGUGUGGGCCAGCCGCGCUUUUCCCUUGCGCCGGGGCUCCCAAUUGCCCCUAGUGCGCCGGGUUUGGCCUGUGACCGCCGAGCGGAAAAAAGGGCCGAACCGGCAAUUUUCGGCGUCCUGGGGGCGCGAGUGGGGAAUUUUUUUGGCGCCGGCGGCGAAAAAGUGGCCUGGGGGGCCUGUUGGGGGCGCGGCCGGAGAUGCUCUAAGCAAUUCAAUGAGUUCAUGAGGGAAGAUAAAAUGACUUCUUCAAAUCAAAGGAAGAGAGUUGGAAGUUUCAAAGGAAUAAUUUGAAGACACUUUGAAGUUAUUUGAAACUCAUUUUUCCAUUUGAAGUUGUUUGAAAUUCCAAAUUUCAAAUCCUCUUGGGAGUUAUUUAGGUUUAAUUCAAAUUAUUUUUCUCCAAAAAAUAAAUAGAUGGAAAUAAGGGUAAAAUGAUUCCCUUCAAUAGAAAAUUAGGAGAAAAUAUAUUUGAAAUCAUUUUGCUAUUUUAAAAACGAUUUUUAUUGAUUUUAAAUGCAAUAGUAGCACUAUUUGACUUUUAUGAAUUUUUAUGGAAUUUAGUUGAACUUGAAAAAUAAUUCAUCUUAUUGCUGCUAUUUUUCUGAGCAUUUUGGUAUAUAAUAUUCCUACGUAAUUUUUUUAGUUAUCUUCCUAUGUUGAAGGUUUUGUUUCUGCAAAAAAAAACACGCGCCCGCCAGCCAGCCCAGGGUCUUCGGCCCAAGAGCCAGCCAGCACACCAAGCCGGCCCAGCAGCGCCCCAGGCCGCUCGAGGCCUCUUGCCUCGUUCUCCCAGGCCCCUCUUCCCUCGCUCGCUCUCUCCCACCGCCGCUGCUAGUGGGGCCCGCAACCCUUCGUCCCUAACUUCCCGCUCCUCCCGUUGAUAUAGAGCACGUUGAUAUAGAGCACGCGUGUGCCGCCCGCAACUGCCGGCUGCUCUGCUCGGGAUAGAGCUCAUCCCCAGUGUCCGCAGCCUCUUCUCGCGCCUAUAAAUUCCCCCGACUCCCCUCGUUCGAUUUUGCCACUCCGCAACGACCCACGCCACUCACAGCCGCCGCCUUCGUCGUUUGGAUCUCGCCCGUCGGAGCUACCUGGCCGGUCCGUUCCCCCGUCCGUAAGACUGCCUCGACCCGUUCUUCUUUGUCAAUUGACUCCCCGCGUCAAGGCGCAUCUGAUUGACAAAAAAUUGCCGCCUUGGUCGUACCAGAGACGACGCCCCGACGCGCCGCGCUCUCGCCGGAGCACCGGAGCUCCGCCGCCUCCCUCCGCUCGUCGCUGGCCACCCCACCGCCCGCCGACCCCACCAGCACGCCGCCCACGCCGCGCCCGACCUCCCCGACCCCUUCGUCGCCGCUGCCCACUGAGGACCGCCGGAGACGCCCCCGUGUCCGCCGUCCGCCGCCUGACGCUAGCGCUGCCGCCCCUGUUCGCCGUCCUCGCUCGCUGUGAGCCGCUGACCCUCAGUCAUUUUUGUUGUUGUUGUAUUAGAUCGGGUAACCGUGGUUUUAUUAAACCGUGCAGUUUAGUAAAAAACCGGUCUCCGGUUUUCUUUUUAUUUAGCCGCGGUAGCCGUUUUAUUUAUUCAGUGGCCGUCCGCCGUUUAGCCUGAGCCGCGAACGCUUCUCAGCCACCCGGAAGCCGCCACGUGGCCAGGGACCUGGUCACGAAUAAAACUUUCACAAUUAAGACCCUUAGAUUUCAGUUUAGCCCCUAAACUUCGAAUGGUUGUAUCUUUUUAACCGUAACUGCAAAUUCGACGAAACCAGCAGCAAAAUGUUCAUGUCCAAUAGUUUUAUCCAGAGAACCAACUUUGAAAACUUUUGGACAAAUUCAAAUUUGAACUUUAUUCAGAUUUGAAUUCAAACUUCAACUGGCCAUAUCUCUUAAACCGUAGCUCCGAUUGGUGUGAUUCUUUUUGCAACGUGUCAUCGUAGCCAAACCCUACCACCUAGACCUUGUCACAAUCUGUCUAUGAUAGUUUUACUAUUAUGCCAUGUAUGGACUUUAGUACACAUCACAGUUUUGAACCCCAUGUCACAAGUUGUUUUGCACUUAGGAUAUUUCCAUGCUAGUUAACUGUGUUGAAUAUUCAUUUGGUUUUUCUGAGACUUUGUGCUUUGCAUGUUCUUCUUGGUUCUCUGAAACGAUUGCUUAUGUGAGUGCAAUGUUUGACUUUAUAGAUUUUCAUCGGAGAGUGAAGAAUAGUUCUAUUAAAUAAAUUUCUGAGAGCGAUAUAAUCUUCAUCAACUAUUACCAGGCAAGUUCACAUUUGACCAUUUUUCCAAUUACCUAUGUUUAUAUUAUGCACUUAGUCCUUUUGUGGUAGGAUUGCAUGGUAGGAUUUAUUGUUACCAGAUGGCUAUGCCGUUACCUAGUAGUUCAUUUAAGGUAGGUAUGAUCUAUACAUCCUUGUCACCACCGUGUAAGUUUAUUUUUGCCUCACUAAAUGUAGACGUGGUUUGGGAAGCGAACAUGGCGAGACAUGAGUGACAAAGUAGUAAUCAGGACCAAGACUUGUAAAUGAACUACCUGGGCGGUAUUUUGUUUGAAUGGUGGCGAAGUACAGUGGGAGCAUGCAUGGUUAAUCCAUGGUGGUGCACCACUAGUGGUUGGCCGCUUAGGCUCAAAGAGAUCAAUAGUAUUCUCAUGUCUAGAAGCUUAAGUGUGCAGCCACAAACCAAUAUGGGCUCUAGCUUAGUUGAGUAGUUAGUGUGACCCAUUCCGGGAUGGGCUAGCAGAUGUAGAAUGAUGUAGGUGUACCGGCCUAUCCAUGGGUUAAGGGGUGACAUUUUUGAAAGAGUAUGUCUCGGUCAUCCUGUUCUCAAACGCCAGGCAGUGCGAGAACUCCAGGGGAGGCGAUCGAGUCUUGUGGGGAAAAGUGCGCAAACCUCUGUAGAGUGUUUUUUUUGAACUUGACAGUGGGAGAGAACUCCCACUGUAUAUUUUCACAUAUCUAUAUAAAUGGGGUGUUUACAUAGACAUACCACUCACACACAUCCAGCUCCACUCUUGGUGGAACCACCAGGGGUGGGGCAACUACACCAUGGUCACUGCUAUACACUUGUCUCUAAGUAUUUAAAGAGGGAAGAAUAAAACACAGUAUGUCUCAGCUAAGUGUGCCACAGUAUGAAAGCAGGGCAGCUCUACGUGUACCCUGAACUCUAUGUUGCAGAAGUCCCAAGUCCUCUUUGAAUCGAUGGAACCAAGAUGCAAUGCUUGGGGUUACACCUCUGAAGUGUUUAUUGUUUCUUUCCUUCCACAAACUCCAGGUAGUAGUGAAAAAUGCUUCAAUGAAGAAAGGAUUGGGCCAGUUGGGUUGUGCGUUUUGCAACGCAUCAAACCUAUUUUGAAAAUCAAUCCAGUGAACACCUAUCUUGGCCCAACACCUUUCGCUGAACUGGCAGGUGAAGAUCAUAUGCUCGAGAGUCUCAUCUGCAUUUUGCCCACAAAGGAGACAUGUGAUGUCAUUCCCAAUGUCAUAGUGUCUUCUUCUCAGCAUGUCACAUGUGUUCAACCUGUCGUGCAGCAACAACCAUCCAAAUACUUUGAUUUUCAUCAUACAGUUUGAUUUCCAAAGGAGCGGGAAGAUGGGAUGAGCUGUUGCAUCACGGGAGAAGUUGUUAUAGUAGUCUUUUGGCUUGUACCCAGCUGCCCCCCAAGCAUAGAGCCAAACAUCAGAUAUUGUUGUGGAUGGGUGUAUGCGGAAUGCUGCAUGUUGGACAUCUUGCACCUCGUUGAGCGCACGAGCAGAUAGCGGUAGGUGAAAGGUUUCAUGCAGUUCAGUGUUGGCCCAGAAGUCAGCGACCGUCAUGUCUUCCUGCAGAGCAAAUGAAAAGGCACGCGGGUGCGAUGUUUGUAGCACAUCAUUUGACCACAAGUCUUUCCAGAGCAGCGUAGUCGAGCCAUCAACUACUUGGACACGAGUGAUCCCUCGGUAGAUGGGCGUUAAUUUGAGAAUGUCUUUCCACCAGAAAGAACCGACUAGAUCAACCGCAUGAGGCACCUGGUUAGCAUACUGAUUAUCCCAAAGCAUAGUAACCCAUGGUACGUCCAGUUUGUUAUAGAACUUGUGGAGAAAUUUUAGCAGGAGGGCUUCGUUGUAGAUUGUAAUGUUGAUCACUCCUAACCCACAUUUACACUUGGGCUUGCACACUAGUUCCCAAGCCGCAAGCGAAUUACAUUUGUCACCUUGGUCGGUUUUCUUUGUCCAGAGACAUCUCCUUCUAAUCUUGUCAAGAAUUUCAAUUAGAUUCGGAGGGAACUUGAGCGUGCACAUGGCAAACACCAGAAGGGAUGUGACCGAUGCAUUGAGCCAGGAGAGGCGGCCCCCAUAGGACAUCAUAGCGAUCGUGGCAGUGAGACGAUGCUCCAUUUUGCAAACUAGAGGCAUGAAUUCUUGAAUGGUUGGUCUUGUAGUGCCAAGUGGCAGGCCAAGGUAGGUGAAAGGCAUUGUACCUAUAGUGCAGCCAAAAAUGGCAGCAAGGCUAGAGGUUGCACUUGCGUCCAGGUUGAUUGGUAUGAGCGUCGACUUGUGAAAGUUAAUUUUGAGGCCAAUAGAGGAUGCAUAGUCAGAGAGAAUGUUCUUGACACGGGCAGCCUGUUGUGGGCAAGCAGGCAAGACAAGGAGGGUGUCGUCCGCAUAUUGGAUCACUGGGUAAUCAUUUUGCCCAUUGCAUGGAAAAGGCAGGCUGAUAUCUCCACGUCGAUAAGCAUCAUUGCCGUGGCUUGAAGUAGUUCAGCUGCCAGGACGAAAAUGAGGGGGGACAGAGGAUCACCUUGCCGCACACCGCAUCGACAAAGGAACUGUCGGCCUGGGACCCCAUUAAGAAGUUUGGACGAGCGACCCGAGGAGAAGAGGCACUUGAUCCAGGAGAUCCACUUGUCACUGAAACCCAUCUGCUGCAUAAUGCAAAUCAUUGGUUCAUGCGUGAUGGUAUCGAAUGCUUUGGCGAAAUCAAGUUUAAGAAUAAUGAUUGGCCGGCCCAAGUUUUGACAGUGAUAAAGAUAUUGAUAAUCUCAUGCCAGACAAUUCUGUAUAGUAUGCCCUUUAAUGAACCCAUACUGAUUCCGGUGAAUGAGGGUGAGAAUGACAAGUUGAAGUCUGUCUGCUAGCAGUUUGGUAAUCAACUUGAGGCAGCAGUUGAGCAAUGUAAUGAGUCUGAAAUCAUUGACUGUUUCUGGAGAGUUAGUCUUAGGUAUAAGUGUGAUAAGACCAUCAUUGAUACUUGUGACAUCUAACGUACCUGCAUAGAACUGAUCACAUAGGGUGUAAAAGUCAUGUCGAAUGAUGGGCCAGCAGGCUUUCAAAAACGCCCCACUAAAGCCAUCUGGGCCAGGUGCGUGGUCCGGAGGCAUACCUUUGACCACAUUAUCGAUUUCCUCAUGUGAAAAAGGCGUGGUAAGUUGGUCAAGAUUUGUAGCGCGGGGGAUAAUGUUUGGAAGAUCAAAUUUCAUGUCUGAAGGGGAGACCGUACCCAGGCGGUUUUUGUAAGUUUGAAACAAGAGGGCCUCUUUUGCAGGAUGAUUGUCGACCAAUGUGCCAUCCUCAAGCUUGAGUGAGGAGAUAUUGUUUUGUCGAUAACGUUCCCUGGCCACUGCUUGGAAAAACUUGGAGUUUUCAUCGCCAAACUUGAUCCAACGAAUAGUACAACGCUUCUUCCAAUAAAGUUUUUGAUAUUUGAGCAGUCUCAGCAAGUGUGACUUUAGGAUACGUUUGAAGUUCAUUUUUGGAAUUGAAAGGAUUCGUUUAUUCUGCCAGGACAUGGUUACAGUUCGUGAUGGCCACUAAUAGACGAGAAAUAUUCUUACUCCAGAUUUUGAGAGUGUGUCGAAGAGCUUUGAAUUUUCAGCAAAGGAUUGUGGCAGCAUUUGCGUUCCAAACUGGCCAUUCCCAAACCUCUCUAACUAUGUCCAUAAACCCUGGGUGUAAGGUCCAGUAGGAUUCAAAACGAAAGAGCUUGGAUCGGGGGAUUUUGGUCUCUAUGGUGACAACGCAAGGGAUGUGAUCAGAAACGGGCUUGCCAAGGGGUUUAACGAGCAUCUUAGGAUAUGCGUUACUCCAAUGCAAGGAUGUGGAGAACCAGUCAAUCUGUUCAAGCAAAGGAUCGGUCUGCAUAUUGCUCCAAGUGUAGGUUCUACCUUUUACCGGAAGCUCAAUCAGUUGCUGCUGACGAAUGAUGUCAUUGAACGUAAUCAUGUCGUGAAUGUUACCCCCAGGUUUAUUAUGAUUGUCUGGAGCUCUCAUGUAGUUAAAGUCGCCCAAAAGUAACCAGUCUUGGUUACGGGGUAUUUGAACAUCGUACAACCAUUGCGUGAAAACAUCCCUGUCUGUACCAGUGCAAGGCCCGUACACGUUAACUAACGUCCAAUGUUGAGAGGAUUGCGUGCUAACGAACUCGAUGGCUAGCGCAAAUGGAUCAGACGAGAGUACUGAACCAGAGAAAACCGAGCUUUUCCAGAUUGUAAGUAACCCCCAGAGGCGCCGCGCGAAGGGACAAAAGCAAAACGAUCAAAUUGUCUAGGACAGCAAGUUUUAAUAGAAGCAAAAGUAACCUCAGGCAUCUUAGUCUCCUAAGGACAAGCGAUAGCAAAACCACUGGUAGAGAUAGCAUUAUUCAGAGCCAGUCGCUUCUUCUCAGAAUUGAGCCCACGGAUAUUCCAUGAGAGCACAUUCCAGCAGCUCAACGACGUCAUAUAGAACUCCAAUAUUAAGCAGAGGUGUGAGAGAGAUCCUCUCCCUGGUCAUCACUAUUAAUCGAAGAGGCAAAAGAUUCGGGCACGGCAGCAGUUUCAGCAAGCAGGGCUUCUUUAGAAAGUUCAGUAGCAGGUAUAGCACAUCUGUUAACUCCAAUGGAUUGUAGAGUAACUAUAGGAGUUGGGGGCGGGACCUCACCAGCAGAAGUAGCAGCAGAUGCUGAUGUGCCAAUAGACGGGAUGACACGGGGCUUAACUUUGGAAUUGUUCUUGCGACUGUCAGAGAGGGGAGGAACCUUGACCCCAUCAUACGUGUUGGAGCGGAGACUGCGGCGCACUUCAGUUGUGGAGAUAGGGGCAGCAGCCCUGGUCCUACGGGGGCGCGGGCCAGUGGUGGCCAUAGAAGCAGUUGCCUCUGAGAUCACAGAAGGUUCUGAAGGUGGAAUGUGCACAACUUGUUCUGUGUCCAUUGGGGCGUCUUCAGUGUUGGGCGGCAUGGCGGGCUCAAUGGCGUUUUCCACACUAGCAUGUUCAGAUAGGUCCUCAAUGAUCACAGCGGAGGCAGCCAAAGCAGAAGUAGAGCUUGAUUGCUGGGAAAAGGUCAGACUAGUAGAAUCCUGUGUGAUCAAGACAGACAACUGAACCUGGUUUGUUCUCAGACCAAACCCCUCUAUCCAAGGUCCAAAAGUUGCAAGCAUUGGGCUAACAGCUUGGAAGAUGAAUGUGUUAAGAUUCAGGCGUGGGAUUGGGUCAUUCAGCAGCCUGGAAAGGAUCUCAUCUCCUUGAGCAGAUAAACCAAAUCUGACACCUUGAUCAUUGAUCUCCAGUGUGAUGUUAAGAGAUUCAAAGCUUGCACUGUCAGACAGCUGUAUAGCUGGAUCAGCCGGGAUGAGAAUGUCAGACUGGGUCAAGCUUGAACUGUCAAACUGGGUGAUCGAAUCAUUCCAAGCUUGGAGAGCAUUAUCAGUGACAUUGUUUUCAGGGACUAACCCAUGUUGCACAGUCAGACCCUGCGCAGCAAGCCAGGCUUGUUAGUUCACCAAAUGGAGCGGCAUUUGCGGGAGUGGAGGAGCAGCGGGCGCCUCCCAAGUGCCCCAUCCAGUGUUGUCAUCCACUUGUUGAGCCUCAUUGUUGCCAGCUGCGGGUGCACCAUUCUGAAUGAGCCAAUUGUGAACUUGCUGCUGAUAUAACUGUUCUGCAGUGAGUUCAGGGCCAAACUGUGGAUGUGGGUUGCCAUCGGGGGGUGGCAUUUCCUCAGGUGCAGCAGGUACAUCAGGGAGGAGGCCAUUCCAGUCGUUGCUGCGACGGAUGGUCACUACUACUGUCCAACUGUCGUGCGCACCACCCAGCUGCCAUACCACAAAGCUCUUGGGGAUGAGGCGCAGACUAAGUACUCUGACUUUUAGAAGGAUGAAUCUGCGGUCCUGACGCGGAUUAUACCAGGAAACUAAGGAACCAUAUCCACCCAAGGCCUUAGUGAUGUAAUAGUCCAUUUGGUAGUCAUACGGAAAGCCGAAGAACAUAAUCCAAAUCUCAGGCCCAAACGGUGCAGCUCUACGAUUAAGAGCCGCAUUGUGCGAAACGAAGGUGAUCAACAGAUCUUCAUCUUCAAGCUCAAGCGGUGUGUUGACAGCAUUAUCUCUCAUAAAGGAAUCCACAAAACCAAAAAUCCCAACACCAAGGGGGUGAUCCGAUGGCGGACGGUGGCCCGGCGAUGCAGGGGCAGAUACUCACUGGCUUCUGCAAUGGCCAGGAACUCAUGGCUGAGUGGAGCAAUCGGGCCAACGACCAUGCCGCUGCGCACAAGACUAUCGGCCGGCCCUGGCUCAGCGGCAAAACCCGGCGGGAGGAAAGGCACAGGGUUCAGUGGGUAGUUCGCCAUUGUGGUGGAAGGGAUCAGAGGGGAGGACGGUGGUGCGGAGAUGGGAUGCAACUGCAAUGGCGCAAGCUGCAGCAAAGCGUCAGACUGUGGCGAUGGGACUGGACGGGAUGUGGCCCAUUGGGUUCUCGAGGCGGAAGCUGAAGCGUGAAUGGGGGCGGUAGAAGGCAAAGUUGCCUUUGCAACCUCUGUAGAGUGUUAAAACCUAAUCGAUUAACCAUGUCCCCGGUUACGGACAACUUGAGCAUCUAGUAGUGGAAAUGAUGGGAGAUCUCAUCACUCUUAAUUAAACAGUUGGUUUUUAAAUGAAACAUUGGGAAUGGAUUGAGUUGGGUUUGCCAACUCAUCCUAUGCUAUACUGUAGUGAUAGACUAAUGUCUUUUAUUCUAGGGAAAAACUAGCUUUAUGCAAAAACUAAACUUAGAGUUUUCCACCAGCCAAAUUGCAUGUACAAAUAGGUUCAUUAUUCUUAUGAUGUGACUUGCCAGUACAUUCAAUGUACUGACCUAUAGGGCUGCAACGUCUUAUGUUGCAGGAAUUUCUACGACGAGUAAGAAUUAUGUUGUAGGGUUAUCGUCUACACUCAACUUGCCGUUGGCGUUGAUGGGACUCCACACCCGUUCGAUUGUUUCCACUGAGAUUUAUGAGGUAUAUAUCAGUUUUGCGUUAUUUAUACAUUUGAUUGAACUUUGAUAUAUACAUUGAUGUACUGUGUGUGCCAGCAUAUCAAUCCAGGGAUGGCCCGGAUACACAGAGGCUUGACAGUUUGAGCUCGGGUCGCUACAGAGAUGGUAUCAGAGCACAUGUUGACUAUAGGACGUGACCCUAGAAACUGGAAAGCCCUUAGGAAAAGAUUUCUCUAAAAGUUUAUUUUCAAAAAGAUCCUUUACCUCUCUUCAUUUCUGAGCUUUAUCAAAUCUUUCCUUUUACCCCAAAUAGGUAGGCAAUAUCCCUUUUCCCUUUCACCACGCGGAGGAUCAACUGAUGAGACCACUCCGAGAAGGGCAAGAUAUCGGCCAACUGAUGGCCACUUCAAAGUAAAGAGGAUUUCAUCAUGCAUUAGAACAGUUAAUGCUACGACAGUCGAAGACUCGAAGAAUUUGAAGACACUGAAGAAUUCCAAGAUUUAUAUGACCUUUAGAAGACCAAACCCUUGUUGUGUACUCACGUUAGAUGCGAUGAUUUGUGAGCUGUCAUAUUUGGUGUGUGUUUUCCAUUGCAACAAAUAAAACUUAUUUUCAAAAACUAUAUUGUUUGUAUUGUGUGUAUCUUUCUCUAUCCCUCUUAUCUCAUCCCAAAACCCUUGGACCCAAUAGAUGAUGAAUGAAGAUGGACUUGUAUUCUCUGGACCGAUCACUCGGUUAGAGGAAGAGCUAUGGAUUCAAAACAUGGAGAGUCACUUCGAGAGCAAUUUGGUUGCAAGGAAGUAUGAGGUUCAAUAUGCUCUUUAAUACUUUACAAAAAGUGCUACAACAUGGUGGAAAAUGCAUCAAGCCAUACAAGGAUGUAAUGGAGCAAAAACUUGGGAGGAAUUGAAGAAGACUCUGUUGGGAUCCCGUCUUAUCCGGAAGCACGGUGAUAAACUGAUGAAGAAACCUUGUGCCUGCAAGAUAUGUGGAGAAAUAGGACACACCCAUGAAGAACACAAGGAUGGAUGCCCUCAUUAUGAAGGAAAUCACCCAGCAGAAGAGUGCCCAACUAGGCAGGUUACUUGUUUCUUGUGUGAAGGAACUACGCACUACCCUGCCCAGUGUCAUAUUUACCCCAGGGUACAAGAAAUUACCAAGAACCAGAAGGAAGAAGUGAAAGAAGCCCUCAGGGAAAGUUUAAGAAAACUGGUGAUGAAAGAAGAUGUUGACGACCCUGAUGGAGAAAGCCUAAACAGAUUUUACUCCAAUGCUUGCUAUGCAUGUGGAGAAGAAGGACAUUUCUCACAAUAUUGCGUGAAGGAAAACCAAGAGUAUCUGGGAGACUUCCCGAUAGAAGAAGUGGGGUUUGAUCGACAAGAGAUAGAAGAAUUGAUCGGAACGAAGAAGUCGAGGAAGAGAAAGAGCAUGUAUCCCCAGAACAACCCAGUUUCUGCAGAAAAGGACCUGAGUCAUAUCACUUGUUACAGCUGCAAGGAUUUAGCUCAUUAUUCUAGCAAAUGCCCACCAAGGAAGCCAAGAACCCAAGGAACCAAGAUAACCACCAGGAACCCCUGGAUUUGUCUGACGCCAUUUGUUUACGCUGCAAAGGAGUAGGACAUUUUGUCAGAGAAUGUUCAGACCCGAGGAAAGCUUGAGCAGAGUAGUUGAGAUCUUGAUAUUGGAAUAAAGCAUGUAAUAAAUGUGGAACGCACUUUUAUUUUCGUGGGGGGUGUUGAUACGUCUCCAACGUAUCUAUAAUUUUUGAUUGCUCCAUGCUAUAUUAUCUACUGUUUUGGACUAUAUUGGGCUUUAUUUUCCACUUUUAUAUUAUUUUUGGGACUAACCUAUUAACCGGAGGCCCAGCCCAGAAUUACUGUUUUUUUGCCUAUUUCAGUGUUUUGGAUAAACGGAAUAUCAAACGGAGUCCAAACGGAAUAAAAUCUUCGGGAACGUGAUUUUCUCACCGAACGUGAUCCAUGAGACUUGGACCUUGCUCUAAGGAACAAAAGAGGCGGUCACGAGGGUGGGGGGUGCCCCCCCUAGGGCGCGCCCCCCUGCCUCGUGGGCCCCUCGUUGCUCCUCCGGCGUACUUCUUCCUCCUAUAUAUACACAUGUACCCCCAAACGAUCAGAAGAGGAGCCAAAAACCUAAUUCCACCGCCGCAACUUUCUGUAUCAGAAGAGAUCCCAUCUUGGGGCCUGUUCCGGAGCUCUGCCAGAAGAUGGCCGUCAUCACGGAGGGCUUCUACAUCCUCCUAGCCCCUCCGAUGAAGUGUGAGUUGUUUACCUCAGACCUUCGGGUCCAUAGUUAGUAGCUAGAUGGCUUCUUCUCUCUCUUUGAAUCUCAAUACAAAGUUCUCCCCCUCUCUUGUGGAGAUCUAUUCGAUGUAAUCUUCUUUUCGCGGUGUGUUUGUUGAGACCGAUGAAUUGUGGGUUUAUGAUCAAGUCUAUCUAUGAAUAAUAUUUGAAUCUUCUCUGAAUUCUUUUAUGUAUGAUUGGUUAUCUAUGCAACUCUAUUCGAAUUGUCCGUUUGGUUUGGCCAACUAGAUUGGUAGUUCUUGCCAUGGGAGAAGUGCUUAGCUUUGGGUUCGAUCUUGCGGUGUCCUUACCUAGUGACAGAAGGGGCAGCAAGGCACGUAUUGUAUCGUUGCCAUCGAGGAUAACAAGAUGGGGUUUAUUUCAUAUUGCAUGAAUUUAUCUCUCUACAUCAUGUCAUCUUGCUUAAGGCGUUACUCUGUUUUUAACUUAAUACUCUAGAUGCAUGCUGGAUAGCGGUCGAUGAGUGGAGUAAUAGUAGUAGAUGCAGAAUCGUUUCGAUCUACAUGUCACGGACGUGAUGCCUAUAUACAUGAUCAUGCCUAGAUAUUCUCAUAACUAUGCUCAAUUCUGUCAAUUGCUCAAUAGUAAUUUGUUCACCCACCGUAGAAUACUUAUGCUCUUGAGAGAAGCCACUAGUGAAACCUAUGGCCCCCGGGUCUAUUCUCAUCAUAUCAAUCUCCAUCACUUUAAAUCUUGCUUUGUUUUUACUUUGCUUUUACUUUUUAAUUUGCAUCUUUAUACCAAAAAUACCAAAAAUAUUAUAUCUAUCAGAUCUCAUUCUCGUAAGUGACCGUGAAGGGCUUGACAACCCCUAAUCGCGUUGGUUGCGAGUAGCUAUCGCUUUGUGCAGGUACGAGGGACUUGAGCGUGGGCUCCUACUGGAUUGAUACCUUGGUUCUCAAAAACUGAGGGAAAUACUUACGCUACUCUGCUGCAUCAUCCCUUCGUCUUCGGGGAAAACCAACGCUAGCUCAAGAUGUAGCAGGUGUUGAGUUGAGUUACCGAAUGGAAAUUGUAAUAGCUCAUGAAGAAAUAAAAAUUGAGUUGUUUGGAAUCUCAUAUGAAAUGUUAUGAGUUGUUUUUUGAUUGUGAGUGCCUUUCUCACUAUGUCACCCAGACAUAAACCUUGAACCCAUGGACAAGCUGACCCCAAAACCUUCACUAAAAAAACGACAUUUCACCCAAGGAAAUACAUGCAUUAUCCUAAGUACCCCUUCUAUCUUAUACCUGCAGAUGGCAACCCUUUACGAGUCUUUUCUCAAGGGCCCAGAAACGAUCAUGACCCUAACUAGUGAUCAGGAUUACCCAAAGAUCCUCAAGGACAUGAUGAAGCAUAUUCAUCUUGAAGGAGAUGCAGUCUACAAGGGUUAUCCUUUCAUGGAGAAUGGAGUUGAACUUUGGUACGUGGAGGUACACCUCCAUCGUGUGAAGGGAGUUUUCCCAAAGAGUAUGGGGCAAUACUUUUUCAUUUCUCGAGUACCCCGAGCAACAUUCUUCGACUCUGUUCGUGAAACUGCUAUGGAAGCCAUACGUCAGAUAGGAGAAAUACUUGAAGCCAGACUUCGUUAUACUCAGGAAUACCCGAGGGAGGUGCAUGCAAAGAUGAUGGAGAUGAAGCUCAUGGCCACCAUGAUGAAGCAAAAGGUCGAUGAUUUCAAGGACCACAUUGUACAAUUCCAGUGGGACUAAAUUAUCUUCAAGAAGGGCAAAUGAAUAAAGAUGGAAGUAAUGCUUGACCAUAGCAAACUAUGUGGAUGGCAGCUUUUUGUAAUAGAGUACUUUUGAAAUUUGAGUUUUGAGUAGUGGUUAAGGAUGUAAUAAAGGAUUUGAUAUGAAGAGAAUUAUGGAUGAACCAGUGCAUUUUUUGGCGAUACCUGUCUGUGCGAACACUUGACCAAUGGAAAAGGAAAUGUAUUCCAUAGAGUGAAGUUUGGACAAAUGAGUUGGAGUUUGGUUUUAGUUAUGAUGGUUACCCCAAGAGUAUGAAGGAAUGAAGUACUAUUGGAUUUAAAGGAGAUGUAAUGUUGGAAUAUGGAACAAUAGUAACUCCAAGGAUGAGUUAAAGAUAUACAAGUGUUGAAGUGGGCCAUAACCCACAGGACCCAGGAUUUGAUAAGGAAACAAGCACAAUCUUGUUGAAGAAAAUAAUUCUGAAAGAAGCCAUGAUUUCAUCAGCAUACGUUUCAUAGGAGGUUACAUAAACCCAGGAGUUGUGAAUAAACGAUAGAGGUUUUCUUUGGCUUGCAGAACCAAUGGAUUUAUCCGAACCCAGUUCGUGGAGAAGAGAAGUUUUGCAAUGCUUGUGAGGAUGCCCAAGGGCUAGAAUGCGUGAUUCACUAUCUACGUAUGUGGUAAUGAUUCAAGUACGACAUGGAUUGGCCCCCAUACCGGAGACUUCUAUCAUGAGCUAUCAUAUGAUUGAUAGAAAAUCAGAGAGCCUUAAAACCCUAGAAGAGUGUCGACACGACAAGCCAAAAGCCUUAGAAUGGCAGGAUGAUGGAAACCCUGUACAGGCACCUAUUGCCUACCGUAGGUUAUGCGGUGAGGUUCAACCCAGACCCAUUUCCUGUAGGAGGAACCAGAAAUUGUCGACCACCAUCAGGUUUUCGAUAGUUGUUUAGCAUUGGCGCCAGACCUGUCAAGUCUCAGAAGGAUCCUAUUUUGAUGCAAGGAAUCCUGAUAUUGAGGAAAAGGCCAUGCCCUUACCAGAAGAGCAAAAGUGAAGGGGUUAUCUCAGAGAAUAUGAGAAGACCGACACCGUCAACGCAAAGGAUGGAGUUCAUGAGUUUUAUUGGAACUGUAACCAUGCUUCUAAGGGUGGUAGCACCCCAUUCCUUGUGUUGAUGAAUGGAUUUUCAAGGAGAACCCCCAAACCUAACAUUCUUUCUAGCCUCUUCGAAUCUCGAGGACGAUAUUCAUUUUAAGGGUGGUAGUUUGUAACAUCCCAAAAUUCUAAAUUCUGGAAUGUUAUGUUAAAUAAUUAAUUAUGAUUGUUUGUUUGUUGUGUGAUUGAUUGUGUGAAAAUGAUUGGAAAUUGAAAACUUUUUGAAAGUAGAAUGAGAGGGAAUAAAAGGACUUUCCCGAAACUUUUCAUCUUGCAUUUUGAUCUUCCUGAAUUCAAAUUCAUUUCAUCAUAAAACCCUAGAGUGAAGAUAAUAUGACUUCUUCCAUUUAAAGAAAUGAAAAAAGGGGUUUGAAAAUGAUUUGAAUUCCAUUUGAAAAAUUUUAAAUUUUGAAACUUUAAGCAACUCAAUGAGUACAUGAGGGAAGAUAAAAUGACUUCUUCAGAUCGAUGGAAGAGAGUUGGAAGUUUCAAAGGAAUAAUUUGAAGUCACUUUGAAGUUAUUUGAAACUCAUUUUUCCAUUUGAAGUUGUUUGAAAUUCCAAAUUUCUAAUCCUCUUGGGAGUUAUUUAGUUUUAAUUCAAAUUAUUUUUCCCCUAAAAAUAAAUAGAUGGGAAUAAGGGUAAAUUGAUUCCCUUCAAUAGAAAAUUAGGAGAAAUAUAUCUGAAAUCAUUUUGCUAUUUUAAAAAUGAUUUUUAUUGAUUUUAAAUGCAAUAGUAGCACUGUUUGAAUUUUAUGAAUUUUUAUGGAAUUUAGUUGAACUUGAAAAAUAAUUCAUCUUAUUGCUACUAUUUUUCUGAGCAUUUUGGUAUAUAAUAUUCCUACGUAAAUUUUUUAGUUAUUUUCCUAUGUUGAAGUUUUUGUUUCUGCAAAAAAAAACAUGCGCCCGCCAGCCGGCCCAGGGCCUUCGGCCCAAGAGCCAGCCAGCGUACCGAGCCGGCCCAGCAGCGCCCCAGGCCGCCCGAGGCCUUACGCCUCGCUCGCGCGCGCCCCUCUUCCCUCGCUCGCUCUCUCCCACUACCGCUGCCAGUGGGGCCCGCAACCCUCCGUCCCUAACCUCCCGCUCCUCCCCUUCAGAUAGGGCACGCGCGUGCUGCCCGCAACUGCCGGCAGCUCCGCUCGGGAUAGAGCUCAUCCGCAGUCUCCGCAGCCUCUUCUUGAGCCUAUAAAUUCCCCCGACUCCCCUCGUUCGAUUCUGCCAUUCCGCAACGAUCCACGCCGCUCACAGCCGCCGCCUUCGUCGUUUGGAUCUUGCCCGCCGGAGCUACCUCGCCGGUCCGUUCCAUCGUCCGUAAGACUUCCUCGACCCCGUUCUUCUUUGUCAAUUGACUCCCCGCGUCGAGGCGCAUCUGAUUGACAAAAAUUUGCCGCCUAGGUCGUACCAGAGACGUCGCCCCGACGCGCCGUGCUCUUGCCGAAGCACCGGAGCUCCGCCGCCACCCUCCGCUCGUCGCUGGCCACCCCACCGCCCGCCGACCCCACCAGCACCCCGCCCACGCCGCGCCUGACCUCCCCGACCCCUUCGUCGCCGCUGAGGACCACCAGAGACGCCGCCCUGUCCGCCGUCCGCCGCCUGACGCCAACGGCACCGCACCUGUUCGCCGUCCUCGCUCGCUAUGAGCCGCUGAUCCUCGCUCAUUUUUUGUUGUUGUUGUUGUAUUAGAUCGGGUAACCGUGGUUUUAUUAAACCGUGCGGUUUAGUAAAAAACCGGUCUCCGGUUGUCUUUUUAUUUAGCCACGGUAGCCGUUUUAUUUAUUCAGUGGCCGUCCGCCGUUUAGCCUGAGCCGCGAACGCUGCUCAGCCACCCGGAAGCCGCCACGUGGCCAGGGACCUAGUCGUGAAUAAAACUUUCAUAGUCAAGUCCCUGAGUUUUCAAUUUAGCCCCUCAACUUCGAAUGGUUGUAUCUUUUUAACCGUAGCUCCAAAUUCGACGAAACCAGUGGCAAGAUGUUCGCCUCGAUUAGUUUUAUCCAGAGAACCAACUUUGAAAACUUUUGGCCAAAUUCAAAUUUGAAAUUUAUUCAGAUUUGAAUUCAAACUUCAACUGGCCAUAUCUCUUAAACCGUAGCUCCGAUUGGUGUGAUUCUUUUUGCAACGUGUCAUCAUAGCCAAACCCUACCACCUGGACCUUGUCACAAUACUUUUCACACAACUAGAAUCUGUCUAUGAUAGUUUUACUAUUAUGCCAUGCAUGCACUUUAGUACACAUCAUAGUUUUGAACCCCAUGUCACAAGUUGUUUUGCACUUAGGAUAUUUCCAUGCUAGUUAACUGUGUUGAAUGUUCAUUUGGUUUUUCUGAGACUUUGUGCUUUGCAUGUUCUUCUUGGUUCUCUGAAACGAUUGUUGAGAGUGACGAAUAGUUCUAUGAAGUAAAUUUCUGAGAGUGGUAUAAUCUUCAUCAACUAUUACCAGGCAAGUUCACAUUUGACCAUUUUUCCAAUUACCUAUGUUUAUAUUAUGCACUUAGUCCUUUUGUGGUAGGAUUGCAUGGUAGGAUUUAUUGUUACCAGAUGGCUAUGCCGUUACCUAGUAGUUCAUUUGAGGUAGGUAUGAUCUAUACAUCCUUGUCACCACCGUGUAAGUUUAUUUUUGCCUCGCUAAAUGUAGACGUGGUUUGGGAAGCGAACAUGGCGAGACAUGAGUGACAAACUAGUAAUCAAGACCAAGACUUGUAAAUGAACUACCUGGGCGGUAUUUGAUUUGAAUGGUGGUGAAGUACAGUGGGAGCAUGCAUGGUUAAUCCAUGGUGGUGCACCACUAGUGGUUGGCCGCUCAGGCUCAAAGAGAUGAAUCGUAUUCUCAUGUCUAGAAGCUUAUGUGUGCAGCCACAAGCCAAUAUGGGCUCUGGCUUAGUUGAGUAGUUAGUGUGACCCCUUCCGGGAUGGGCUAGCAGAUGUAGAAUGAUGUAGGUGUACCGGCCUAUCCAUGGGUUAAGGGGUGACAUUUUUGAAAGAGUAUGUCUCGGUCAUCCUGUUCUCAAACGCCAGGCAGUGCGAGAACUCCAGGGGAGGCGAUCGAGUCUUGUGGGGAAAAGUGCGCAAACCUCUGUAGAGUGUUUUUUUUGAACUUGACAGUGGGAGAGAACUCCCACUGUAUAUUUUCACAUAUCUAUAUAAAUGGGGUGUUUACAUAGACAUACCACUCACACACAUCCAGCUCCACUCUUGGUGGAACCACCAGGGGUGGGGCAACUACACCAUGGUCACUGCUAUACACUUGUCUCUAAGUAUUUAAAGAGGGAAGAAUAAAACACAGUAUGUCUCAGCUAAGUGUGCCACAAUAUGAAAGCAGGGCAGCUCUACGUGUACCCUGAACUCUAUGUUGCAGAAGUCCCAAGUUCUCUUUGAAUCGAUGGAACCAAGAUGCAAUGCUUGGGGUUACACCUCUGAAGUGUUUAUUGUUUCUUUCCUUCCACAAACUCCAGGUAGUAGUGAAAAAUGCUUCAAUGAAGAAAGGAUUGGGCCAGUUGGGUUGUGCGUUUUGCAACGCAUCAAACCUAUUUUGAAAAUCAAUCCAGUGAACACCUAUCUUGGCCCAACACCUUUCGCUGAACUGGCAGGUGAAGAUCAUAUGCUCGAGAGUCUCAUCUGCAUUUUGCCCACAAAGGAGACAUGUGAUGUCAUUCCCAAUGUCAUAGUGUCUUCUUCUCAGCAUGUCACAUGUGUUCAACCUGUCGUGCAGUAGCAACCAUCCAAAUACUUUGAUUUUCAUCAUACAGUUUGAUUUCCAAAGGAGCGGGAAGAUGGGAUGAGCUGUUGCAUCACGGGAGAAGUUGUUAUAGUAGUCUUUUGGCUUGUACCCAGCUGUCCCCCAAGCAUAGAGCCAAACAUCAGAUAUUGUUGUGGAUGGGUGUAUGCGGAAUGCUGCAUGUUGGACAUCUUGCACCUCGUUGAGCGCACGAGCAGACAGCGGUAGGUGAAAGGUUUCAUGCAGUUCAGUGUUGGCCCAGAAGUCAGCGACCGUCAUGUCUUCCUGCAGAGCAAAUGAAAAGGCACGCGGGUGCGAUGUUUGUAGCACAUCAUUUGACCACAAGUCUUUCCAGAGCAGCGUAGUCGAGCCAUCAACUACUUGGACACGAGUGAUCCCUCGGUAGAUGGGCGUUAAUUUGAGAAUGUCUUUCCACCAGAAAGAACCGACUAGAUCAACCGCAUGAGGCACCUGGUUAGCAUACUGAUUAUCCCAAAGCAUAGUAACCCAUGGUACGUCCAGUUUGUUAUAGAACUUGUGGAGAAAUUUUAGCAGGAGGGCUUCGUUGUAGAUUGUAAUGUUGAUCACUCCUAACCCACAUUUACACUUGGGCUUGCACACUAGUUCCCAAGCCGCAAGCGAAUUACAUUUGUCACCUUGGUCGGUUUUCUUUGUCCAGAGACAUCUCCUUCUAAUCUUGUCAAGAAUUUCAAUUAGAUUCGGAGGGAACUUGAGCGUGCACAUGGCAAACACCAGAAGGGAUGUGACCGAUGCAUUGAGCCAGGAGAGGCGGCCCCCAUAGGACAUCAUAGCGAUCGUGGCAGUGAGACGAUGCUCCAUUUUGCAAACUAGAGGCAUGAAUUCUUGAAUGGUUGGUCUUGUAGUGCCAAGUGGCAGGCCAAGGUAGGUGAAAGGCAUUGUACCUAUAGUGCAGCCAAAAUGGCAGCAAGGCUAGAGGUUGCACUUGCGUCCAGGUUGAUUGGUAUGAGCGUCGACUUGUGAAAGUUAAUUUUGAGGCCAAUAGAGGAUGCAUAGUCAGAGAGAAUGUUCUUGACACGGGCAGCCUGUUAUGGGCAAGCAGGCAAGACAAGGAGGGUGUCGUCCGCAUAUUGGAUCACUGGGUAAUCAUUUUGCCCAUUGCAUGGAAAAGGCAGGCUGAUAUCUCCAUGUCGAUAAGCAUCAUUGCCGUGGCUUGAAGUAGUUCAGCUGCCAGGACGAAAAUGAGGGGGGACAGAGGAUCACCUUGCCGCACACCGCAUCGACAAAGGAACUGUCGGCCUGGGACCCCAUUAAGAAGUUUGGACGAGCGACCCGAGGAGAAGAGGCACUUGAUCCAGGAGAUCCACUUGUCAUUGAAACCCAUCUGCUGCAUAAUGCAAAUCAUUGGUUCAUGCGUGAUGGUAUCGAAUGCUUUGGCGAAAUCAAGUUUAAGAAUAAUGAUUGGCCGGCCCAAGUUUUGACAGUGAUAAAGAUAUUGAUAAUCUCAUGCCAGACAAUUCUGUAUAGUAUGCCCUUUAAUGAACCCAUACUGAUUCCGGUGAAUGAGGGUGAGAAUGACAAGUUGAAGUCUGUCUGCUAGCAGUUUGGUAAUCAACUUGAGGCAGCAGUUGAGCAAUGUAAUGAGUCUGAAAUCAUUGACUGUUUCUGGAGAGUUAGUCUUAGGUAUAAGUGUGAUAAGACCAUCAUUGAUACUUGUGACAUCUAACGUACCUUCAUAGAACCGAUCACAUAGGGUGUAAAAGUCAUGUCGAAUGAUGGGCCAGCAGGCUUUCAAAAACGCCCCACUAAAGCCAUCUGGGCCAGGUGCGUGGUCCGGAGGCAUACCUUUGACCACAUUAUCGAUUUCCUCAUGUGAAAAAGGCGUGGUAAGUUGGUCAAGAUUUGUAGCGCAGGGGAUAAUGUUUGGAAGAUCAAAUUUCAUGUCUGAAGGGGAGACCGUACCCAGGCGGUUUUUGUAAGUUUGAAACAAGAGGGCCUCUUUUGCAGGAUGAUUGUCGACCAAUGUGCCAUCCUCAAGCUUGAGUGAGGAGAUAUUGUUUUGUCGAUAACGUUCCCUGGCCACUGCUUGGAAAAAUUUGGAGUUUUCAUCGCCAAACUUGAUCCAACGAAUAGUACAACGCUUCUUCCAAUAAAGUUUUUGAUAUUUGAGCAGUCUCAGCAAGUGUGACUUUAGGAUACGUUUGAAGUUCAUUUCUGGAAUUGAAAGGAUUCGUUUAUUCUGCCAGGACAUGGUUACAGUUCGUGAUGGCCACUAAUAGACGAGAAAUAUUCUUACUCCAGAUUUUGAGAGCGUGUCGAAGAGCUUUGAAUUUUCGGCAAGGGAUUGUGGCAGCAUUUGCGUUCCAAACUGGCCAUUCCCAAACCUCUCUAACUAUGUCCAUAAACCCUGGGUGUAAGGUCCAGUAGGAUUCAAAACGAAAGAGCUUGGAUCGGGGGAUUUUGGUCUCUAUGGUGACAAUGCAAGGGAUGUGAUCAGAAACGGGCUUGCCAAGGGGUUUAACGAGCAUCUUAGGAUAUGUGUUACUCCAAUGCAAGGAUGUGAAGAACCAGUCAAUCUGUUCAAGCAAAGGAUCGGUCUGCAUAUUGCUCCAAGUGUAGGUUCUACCUUUUACCGGAAGCUCAAUCAGUUGCUGCUGACGAAUGAUGUCAUUGAACGUAAUCAUGUCGUGAAUGUUACCCCCAGGUUUAUUAUGAUUGUCUGGAGCUCUCAUGUAGUUAAAGUCGCCCAAAAGUAACCAGUCUUGGUUACGGGGUAUUUGAACAUCGUACAACCAUUGCGUGAAAACAUCCCUGUCUGUACCAGUGCAAGGCCCGUACACGUUAACUAACGUCCAACGUUGAGAGGAUUGCAUGCUAACGAACUCGAUGGCUAGCGCAAAUGGAUCAGAUGAGAGUACUGAACCAGAGAAAACCGAGCUUUUCCAGAUUGUAAGUAACCCCCAGAGGCGCCGCGCGAAGGGACAAAAGCAAAACGAUCAAAUUGUCUAGGAUAGCAAGUUUUAAUAGAAGCAAAAGUAACCUCAGGCAUCUUAGUCUCCUGAAGACAAGUGAUAGCAAAACCACUGGUAGAGAUAGCAUUAUUCAGAGCCAGUCGCUUCUUCUCAGAAUUGAGCCCACGGAUAUUCCAUGAGAGCACAUUCCAGCAGCUCAACGACGUCAUAUAGAACUCCAAUAUUAAGCAGAGGUGUGAGAGAGAUCCUCUCCCUGGUCAUCACUGUCAAUCAAAGAGGCAGAAUAUUCGGGCACGACAGCAGUUUCAGCAAGCAGGGCUUCUUCAGAAAGUUCAGUAGCAGGUAUAGCACAUCUGUUAACUCCAAUGGAUUGUAGAGUAACUAUAGGAGUUGGGGGCGGGACCUCACCAGCAGAAGUAGCAGCAGAUGCUGAUGUGCCAAUAGACGGGAUGACACAGGGCUUAACUUUGGAAUUGUUCUUGCGACUGUCAGAGAGGGGAGGAACCUUGACCGCAUCAUACGUGUUGGAGCGGAGACUGCGACGCACUUCAGUUGUGGAGAUAGGGGCAGCAGCCCUGGUCCUACGGGGGCGCGGGCCAGUGGUGGCCAUAGAAGCAGUUGCCUCUGAGAUCACAGAAGGUUCUGAAGGUGGAAUGUGCACAACUUGUUCUGUGUCCAUUGGGGCGUCUUAAGUGUUGGGCGGCAUGGCGGGCUCAAUGGCGUUUUCCACACUAGCAUGUUCAGAUAGGUCCUCAAUGAUCACAGCGGAGGCAGCCAAAGCAGAAGUAGAGCUUGAUUGCUAGGAAAAGGUCAGACUAGUAGAAUCCUGUGUGAUCAAGACAGACAACUGGACCUGGUUUGUUCUCAGACCAAACCCCUCUCUCCAAGGUCCAAAAGUUGCAAGCAUUGGGCUAACAGCUUGGAAGAUGAAUGUGUUAAGAUUCAGGCGUGGGAUUGGGUCAUUCAGCAGCCUGGAAAGGAUCUCAUCUCCUUGAGCAGAUAAACCAAAUCUGACACCUUGAUCAUUGAUCUCCAGUGUGAUGUUAAGAGAUUCAAAGCUUGCACUGUCAGACAGCUGUAUAGCUGGAUCAGCCGGGAUGAGAAUGUCAGACUGGGUCGAGCUUGAACUGUCAGACUGGGUGAUCGAAUCAUUCCAAGCUUGGAGAGCAUUAUCAGUGACAUUGUUUUCAGGGACUAACCCAUGUUGCACAGUCAGACCCUGCGCAGCAAGCCAGGCUUGGUAGUUCACCAAAUGGAGCGGCAUUUGCGGGAGUGGAGGAGCAGCGGGCGCCUCCCAAGUGCCCCAUCCAGUGUUGUCAUCCACUUGUUGAGCCUCAUUGUUGCCAGCUGCGGGUGCACCAUUCUGAAUGAGCCAAUUGUGAACUUGCUGCUGAUAUAACUGUUCUGCAGUGAGUUCAGGGCCAAACUGUGGAUGUGGGUUGCCAUCGGGGGGUGGCAUUUCCUCAGGUGCAGCAGGUACAUCAGGGAGGAGGCCAUUCCAGUCGUUGCUGCGACGGAUGGUCACUACUACUGUCCAACUGUCGUGCGCACCACCCAGCUGCCAUACCACAAAGCUCUUGGGGAUGAGGCGCAGACUAAGUACUCUGACUUUUAGAAGGAUGAAUCUGCGGUCCUGACGCGGAUUAUACCAGGAAACUAAGGAACCAUAUCCACCCAAGGCCUUAGUGAUGUAAUAGUCCAUUUGGUAGUCAUACGGAAAGCCGAAGAACAUAAUCCAAAUCUCAGGCCCAAACGGUGCAGCUCUACGAUUAAGAGCCGCAUUGUGCGAAACGAAGGUGAUCAACAGAUCUUCAUCUUCAAGCUCAAGCGGUGUGUUGACAACAUUAUCUCUCAUAAAGGAAUCCACAAAACCGAAAAUCCCAACACCAAGGGGGUGAUCACUGACCUCUGUAGUAAAAAGCUGUGAUUCUUGAAACAGAGUUGUGAUCCGAUGGCGGACGGUGGCCCGGCGAUGCAGGGGCACAUACUCACUGGCUUCUGCAAUGGCCAGGAACUCAUGGCUGAGUGGAGCAAUCGAGCCAACGACCAUGCCGCUGUGCACAAGAUGAUCGGCCGGCCCUGGCUCACCCGCAAAACCCGGCGGGAGGAAAGGCACAGGGUUUAGUGGGUAGUUCGCCAUUGUGGUGGAAGGGAUCAGAGGGGAGGACGGUGGUGCAGUGAUGGGAUGUAACUGCAAUGGCGCAAGCUGCAGCAAAGCGUCAGACUGUGGCGAUGGGACUGGACGGGAUGUGGCCCGUUGGGUUCUCGAGGAGGAAGCUGAAGCGUGAAUGGGGGUAGGAGGCAAAGUUGCCUUUGCAACCUCUGUAGAGAGUUAAAACCUAAUCGAUUAGCCGUGUCCCCGGUUACAGACAACUUGAGCAUCUAGUAGUGGAAAUGAUGGGAGAUCUCAUCACUCUUAAUUAAACAGUUGGGUUUUAAAUGAAACAUUGGGAAUGGAUUGAGUUGUGUUUGCCAACUCAUACUAUGCUAUACUGUAGUGAUAGACUAAUAUCUUUUAUUCUAGGGAAAAACUAGCUUUAUGCAAAAACUAAACUUAGAGCUUUCCACCAGCCAAAUUGCAUGUACAAAUAGGUUCAUUAUUCUUAUGAUGUGACUUGCCAGUACAUUCAAUGUACUGACCUAUAGGGCUGCAACGUCUUAUGUUGCAGGAAUUUCUACGACGAGUAAGAAUUAUGUUGUAGGGUUAUGGUCUACACUCAACUUGCCGUUGGCGUUGAUGGGACUCCACACCCGUUCGAUUGUUUCCACUGAGAUUUAUGAGGUAUAUAUCAGUUUUGCAUUAUUUAUACAUUUGAUUGAACUUUGAUAUAUACAUUGAUGUACUGUGUGUGCCAGCAUAUCGAUCCAGGGAUGGCCCGGAUACACAGAGGCUUGACAGUUUGAGCUCGGGUCGCUACAGAGAUGGUAUCAGAGCACAUGUUGACUAUAGGACGUGACCCUAGAAACUGGAAAGCCCUUAGGAAAAGAUUUCUCUAAAAGUUUAUUUUCAAAAAGAUCCUUUACCUCUCUUCUUUUCUGAGCUUUAUCAAAUCUUUCCUUUUACCCCAAAUAGGUAGGCAAUAUCCCUUUUCCCUUUCACCACGCGGAGGAUCAACUGAUGAGACCACUCCAAGAAGGGCAAGAUAUCGGCCAACUGAUGGCCACUUCAAAGUAAAGAGGAUUUCAUCAUGCAUUAGAACAGUUAAUGCUACGACAGUCGAAGACUCGAAGAAUUUGAAGACACUGAAGAAUUCCAAGAUUUAUAUGACCUUUAGAAGACCAAACCCUUGUUGUGUACUCACGUUAGAUGCGAUGAUUUGUGAGCUGUCAUAUUUGGUGUGUGUUUUCCGAUGCAAUAAAUAAAACUUAUUUUCAAAACUAUAUUGUUUGUAUUUUGUGUAUCUUUCUCUAUCCCUCUUAUCUCAUCCCAAAACCCUUGGACCCAAUAGAUGAUGAAUGAAGAUGGACUUGUAUUCUCUGGACCGAUCACUCGGUUAGAGGAAGAGCUAUGGAUUCAAAACAUGGAGAGUCACUUCGAGAGCAAUUUGGUUGCAAGGAAGUAUGAGGUUCAAUAUGCUCUUUAAUACUUUACAAAAAGUGCUACAACAUGGUGGAAAAUGCAUCAAGCCAUACAAGGAUGUAAUGGAGCAAAAACUUGGGAGGAAUUGAAGAAGACUCUAUUGGGAUCCCGUCUUAUCCGGAAGCACGGUGAUAAACUGAUGAAGAAACCUUGUGCCUGCAAGAUAUGUGGAGAAAUAGGACACACCCAUGAAGAACACAAGGAUGGAUGCCCUCAUUAUGAAGGAAAUCACCCAGCAGAAGAGUGCCCAACUAGGCAGGUUACUUGUUUCUUGUGUGAAGGAACUACGCACUACCCUGCCCAGUGUCAUAUUUACCCCAGGGUACAAGAAAUUACCAAGAAGAAGUGGGGUUUGAUCGACAAGAGAUAGAAGAAUUGAUCGGAAUGAAGAAGUCGAGGAAGAGAAAGAGCAUGUAUCCCCAGAACAACCCAGUUUCUACAGAAAAGGACCUGAGUCAUAUCACUUGUUACAGCUGCAAGGAUUUAGCUCAUUAUUCUAGCAAAUGCCCACCAAGGAAGCCAAGAACCCAAGGAGCCAAGAUAACCACCAGGAACCCCUGGAUUUGUCUGACGCCAUUUGUUUACGCUGCAAAGGAGUAGGACAUUUUGUCAGAGAAUGUUCAGACCCGAGGAAAGCUUGAGCAGAGUAGUUGAGAUCUUGAUAUUGGAAUAAAGCAUGUAAUAAAUGUGGAACGCACUUUUAUUUUCGUGGGGGGUGUUGAUACGUCUCCAACGUAUCUAUAAUUUUUGAUUGCUCCAUGCUAUAUUAUCUACUGUUUUGGACUAUAUUGGGCUUUAUUUUCCACUUUUAUAUUAUUUUUGGGACUAACCUAUUAACCGGAGGCCCAGCCCAGAAUUACUGUUUUUUUGCCUAUUUCAGUGUUUUGGAUAAACGGAAUAUCAAACGGAGUCCAAACGGAAUAAAAUCUUCGGGAACGUGAUUUUCUCACCGAACGUGAUCCAUGAGACUUGGACCUUGCUCUAAGGAACAAAAGAGGCGGUCACGAGGGUGGGGGGUGCCCCCCCUAGGGCGCGCCCCCUGCCUCGUGGGCCCCUCGUUGCUCCUUCGGCGUACUUCUUCCUCCUAUAUAUACACAUGUACCCCCAAACGAUCAGAAGAGGAGCCAAAAACCUAAUUCCACCGCCGCAACUUUCUGUAUCAGAAGAGAUCCCAUCUUGGGGCCUGUUCCGGAGCUCUGCCAGAAGAGGGCCGUCAUCACGGAGGGCUUCUACAUCAUCCUAGCCCCUCUGAUGAAGUGUGAGUUGUUUACCUCAGACCUUCGGGUCCAUAGUUAGUAGCUAGAUGGCUUCUUCUCUCUCUUUGAAUCUCAAUACAAAGUUCUCCCCCUCUCUUGUGGAGAUCUAUUCGAUGUAAUCUUCUUUUUGCGGUGUGUUUGUUGAGACCGAUGAAUUGUGGGUUUAUGAUCAAGUCUAUCUAUGAAUAAUAUUUGAAUCUUCUCUGAAUUCUUUUAUGUAUGAUUGGUUAUCUAUGCAACUCUCUUCGAAUUGUCCGUUUGGUUUGGCCAACUAGAUUGGUAGUUCUUGCCAUGGGAGAACUGCUUAGCUUUGGGUUCGAUCUUGUGGUGUCCUUACCUAGUGACAGAAGGGGCAGCAAGGCACGUAUUGUAUCGUUGCCAUCGAGGAUAAAAAGAUGGGGUUUAUUUCAUAUUGCAUGAAUUUAUCUCUCUACAUCAUGUCAUCUUGCUUAAGGCGUUACUCUGUUUUUAACUUAAUACUCUAGAUGCAUGCUGGAUAGCGGUCGAUGAGUGGAGUAAUAGUAGUAGAUGCAGAAUCGUUUCGAUCUACAUGUCACGGACGUGAUGCCUAUAUACAUGAUCAUGCCUAGAUAUUCUCAUAACUAUGCUCAAUUCUGUCAAUUGCUCAAUAGUAAUUUGUUCACCCACCGUAGAAUACUUAUGCUCUUGAGAGAAGCCACUAGUGAAACCUAUGGCCCCCGGGUCUAUUCUCAUCAUAUCAAUCUCCAUCACUUUAAAUCUUGCUUUGUUUUUACUUUGCUUUUACUUUUUAAUUUGCAUCUUUAUACCAAAAAUACCAAAAAUAUUAUAUCUAUCAGAUCUCAUUCUCGUAAGUGACCGUGAAGGGCUUGACAACCCCUAAUCGCGUUGGUUGCGAGUAGCUAUCGCUUUGUGCAGGUACGAGGGACUUGAGCGUGGGCUCCUACUGGAUUGAUACCUUGGUUCUCAAAAACUGAGGGAAAUACUUACGCUACUGUGCUGCAUCAUCCCUUCGUCUUCGGGGAAAACCAACGCUAGCUCAAGAUGUAGCAGGUGUUGAGUUGAGUUACCGAAUGGAAAUUGUAAUAGCUCAUGAAGCAAUAAAAAUUGAGGUGUUUGGAAUCUCAUAUGAAAUGUUAUGAGUUGUUUGUUGAUUGUGAGUGCCUCUCUCACUAUGUCACCCAGACAUAAACCUUGAACCCAUGGACAAGCUGACCCCAAAACCUUCACUAAAAAAACGACAUUUCACCCAAGGAAAUACAUGCAUUAUCCUAAGUACCCCUUCUAUCUUAUACCUGCAGAUGGCAACCCUUUACGAGUCUUUUCUCAAGGGCCCAGAAACGAUCAUGACCCUAACUAGUGAUCAGGAUUACCCAAAGAUCCUCAAGGACAUGAUGAAGCAUAUUCAUCUUGAAGGAGAUGCAGUCUACAAGGGUUAUCCUUUCAUGGAGAAUGGAGUUGAACUUUGGUACGUGGAGGUACACCUCCACCGUGUGAAGGGAGUUUUCCCAAAGAGUAUGGGGCAAUACUUUUUCAUUUCUCGAGUACCCCGAGCAACAUUCUUCGACUCUGUUCGUGAAACUGCUAUGGAAGCCAUACGUCAGAUUGGAGAAAUACUUGAAGCCAGACUUCGUUAUACUCAGGAAUACCCGAGGGAGGUGCAUGCAGAGAUGAUGGAGAUGAAGCUCAUGGCCACCAUGAUGAAGCAAAAGGUCGAUGAUUUCAAGGACCACAUUGUACAAUUCCAGUGGGACUAAAUUAUCUUCAAGAAGGGCAAAUGAAUAAAGAUGGAAGUAAUGCUUGACCAUAGCAAACUAUGUGGAUGGCAGCUUUUUGUAAUAGAGUACUUUUGAAAUUUGAGUUUUGAGUAGUGGUUAAGGAUGUAAUAAAGGAUUUGAUAUGAAGAGAAUUAUGGAUGAACCAGUGCAUUUUUUGGCGAUACCUGUCUGUGCGAACACUUGACCAAUGGAAAAGGAAAUGUAUGCCAUAGAGUGAAGUUUGGACAAAUGAGUUGGAGUUUGGUUUUAGUUAUGAUGGUUACCCCAAGAGUAUGAAGGAAUGAAGUACUAUUGGAUUUAAAGGAGAUGUAAUGUUGGAAUAUGGAACAAUAGUAACUCCAAGGAUGAGUUAAAGAUAUACAAGUGUUGAAGUGGGCCAUAACCCACAGGACCCAGGAUUUGAUAAGGAAACAAGCACAAUCUUGUUGAAGAAAAUAAUUCUGAAAGAAGCCAUGAUUUCAUCAGCAUACGUUUCAUAGGAGGUUACAUAAACCCAGGAGUUGUGAAUAAACGAUAGAGGUUUUCUUUGGCUUGCAGAACCAAUGGAUUUAUCCGAACCCAGUUCGUGGAGAAGAGAAGUUCUGCAAUGCUUGUGAGGAUGCCCAAGGGCUAGAAUGCGUGAUUCACUAUCUGCGUAUGUGGUAAUGAUUCAAGUACGACAUGGAUUGGCCCCCAUACCGGAGACUUCUAUCAUGAGCUAUCAUAUGAUUGAUAGAAAAUCAGAGAGCCUUAAAACCCUAGAAGAGUGUCGACACGACAAGCCAAAAGCCUUAGAAUGGCAGGAUGAUGGAAACCCUGUACAAGCACCUAUUGCCAACCGUAGGUUAUGCGGUGAGGUUCAACCCAGACCCAUUUCCUGUAGGAGGAACCAGAAAUUGUCGACCACCAUGAGGUUUUCGAUAGUUGUUUAGCAUUGGCGCCAGACCUGUCAAGUCUCAGAAGGAUCCUAUUUUGAUGCAAGGAAUCCUGAUAUUGAUGAAAAGGCCAUGCCCUUACCAGAAGAGCAAAAGUGAAGGGGUUAUCUCAGAGAAUAUGAGAAGACCGACACCGUCAACGCAAAGGAUGGAGUUCAUGAGUUUUAUUGGAACUGUAACCAUGCUUCUAAGGGUGGUAGCACCCCAUUUCUUGUGUUGAUGAAUGGAUUUUCAAGGAGAACCCCCAAACCUAACAUUCUCUCUAGCCUCUUCGAAUCUCGAGGACGAUAUUCAUUUUAAGGGUGGUAGUUUGUAACAUCCCAAAAUUCUAAAAUUUGGAAUGUUAUGUUAAAUAAUUAAUUAUGAUUGUUUGUUUGUUGUGUGAUUGAUUGUGUGAAAAUGAUUGGAAAUUGAAAACUUUUUGAAAGUGGAAAGAGAGGGAAUAAAAGGACUUUCCCGAAACUUUUCAUCUUGCAUUUUGAUCUUCCUGAAUUCAAAUUCAUUUCAUCAUAAAACCCUAGAGUGAAGAUAAUAUAACUUCUUCCAUUUAAAGAAAUGAAAAAAGGGGUUUGAAAAUGAUUUGAAUUCCAUUUGAAAAAUUUUAAAUUUAGAAACUUUAAGCAACUCAAUGAGUACAUGAGGGAAGAUAAAAUGACUUCUUCAGAUCGAUGGAAGAGAGUUGGAAGUUUCAAAGGAAUAAUUUGAAGUCACUUUGAAGUUAUUUAAAACUCAUUUUUCCAUUUGAAGUUGUUUGAAAUUCCAAAUUUCUAAUCCUCUUGGGAGUUAUUUAGUUUUAAUUCAAAUUAUUUUUCCCCUAAAAAUAAAUAGAUGGGAAUAAGGGUAAAUUGAUUCCCUUCAAUAGAAAAUUAGGAGAAAUAUAUCUGAAAUCAUUUUCCUAUUUUAAAAAUGAUUUUUAUUGAUUUUAAAUGCAAUAGUAGCACUGUUUGAAUUUUAUGAAUUUUUAUGGAAUUUCGUUGAACUUGAAAAAUAAUUCAUCUUAUUGCUGCUAUUUUUCUGAGCAUUUUGGUAUAUAAUAUUCCUACAUAAUUUUUUUAGUUAUUUUCCUAUGUUGAAGUUUUUGUUUCUACAAAAAAAAACAUGCGCCCGCCAGCCGGCCCAGGGCCUUCGGCCCAAGAGCCAGCCAGCAUACCGAGCCGGCCCAGCAGCGCCCCAGGCCGCCCGAGGCCUUACGCCUCGCUCGCCCGCGCCCCUCUUCCCUCGCUCGCUCUCUCCCACUGCCGCUGCCAGUGGGGCCCGCAACCCUCCGUCCCUAACCUCCCGCUCCUCCCAUUCAGAUAGGGCACGCGCGUGCUGCCCGCAACUGCCGGCAGCUCCGCUCGGGAUAGAGCUCAUCCGCAGUCUCCGCAGCCUCUUCUUGCACCUAUAAAUUCCCCCGACUCCCCUCGUUCGAUUCUGCAAUUCCGCAACGAUCCACGCCGCUCACAGCCGCCGCCUUCGUCGUUUGGAUCUUGCCCGCCGGAGCUACCUUGCCGGUCCGUUCCAUCGUCCGUAAGACUUCCUCGACCCCGUUCUUCUUUGUCAAUUGACUCCCCGCGUCGAGGCGCAUCUGAUUGACAAAAAUUUGCCGCCUAGGUCGUACCAGAGACGUCGCCCCGACGCGCCGUGCUCUUGCCGAAGCACCGGAGCUCCGCCGCCACCCUCCGCUCGUCGCUGGCCACCCCACCGCCCGCCGACCCCACCAGCACGCCGCCCACGCCGCGCCUGACCUCCCCGACCCCUUCGUCGCCGCUGAGGACCACCAGAGACGCCGCCCUGUCCGCCGUCCGCCGCCUGACGCCAGCGGCACCGCACCUGUUCGCCGUCCUCGCUCGCUAUGAGCCGCUGAUCCUCGCUCAUUUUUUGUUGUUGUUGUUGUAUUAGAUCGGGUAACCGUGGUUUUAUUAAACCGUGCGGUUUAGUAAAAAACCGGUCUCCGGUUGUCUUUUUAUUUAGCCACGGUAGCCGUUUUAUUUAUUCAGUGGCCGUCCGCCGUUUAGCCUGAGCCGCGAACGCUGCUCAGCCACCCGGAAGCCGCCACGUGGCCAGGGACCUAGUCGUGAAUAAAACUUUCAUAGUUAAGUCCCUGAGUUUCCAAUUUAGCCCCUAAACUUCGAAUGGUUGUAUCUUUUUAACCGUAGCUCCAAAUUCGACGAAACCAGUGGCAAGAUGUUCGUCUUGAUUAGUUUUAUCCAGAGAACCAACUUUGAAAACUUUUGGCCAAAUUCAAAUUUGAACUUUAUUCAGAUUUGAAUUCAAACUUCAACUGGCCAUAUCUCUUAAACCGUAGCUCCGAUUGGUGUGAUUCUUUUUGCAACGUGUCAUCAUAGCCAAACCCUACCACCUGGACCUUGUCACAAUACUUUUCACACAACUAGAAUCUGUCUAUGAUAGUUUUACUAUUAUGCCAUGCAUGCACUUUAGUACACAUCAUAGUUUUGAACCCCAUGUCACAAGUUGUUUUGCACUUAGGAUAUUUCCAUGCUAGUUAACUGUGUUGAAUGUUCAUUUGGUUUUUCUGAGACUUUGUGCUUUGCAUGUUCUUCUUGGUUCUCUGAAAUGAUUGCUGAGAGUGACGAAUAGUUCUAUGAAGUAAAUUUCUGAGAGUGGUAUAAUCUUCAUCAACUAUUACCAGGCAAGUUCACAUUUGACCAUUUUUCCAAUUACCUAUGUUUAUAUUAUGCACUUAGUCCUUUUGUGGUAGGAUUGCAUGGUAGGAUUUAUUGUUACCAGAUGGCUAUGCCGUUACCUAGUAGUUCAUUUGAGGUAGGUAUGAUCUAUACAUCCUUGUCACCACCGUGUAAGUUUAUUUUUGCCUCGCUAAAUGUAGACGUGGUUUGGGAAGCGAACAUGGCGAGACAUGAGUGACAAAGUAGUAAUCAAGAUCAAGACUUGUAAAUGAACUACCUGGGCGGUAUUUGGUUUGAAUGGUGGCGAAGUACAGUGGGAGCAUGCAUGGUUAAUCCAUGGUGGUGCACCACUAGUGGUUGGCCGCUCAGGCUCAAAGAGAUGAAUCGUAUUCUCAUGUCUAGAAGCUUAUGUGUGCAGCCACAAGCCAAUAUGGGCUCUGGCUUAGUUGAGUAGUUAGUGUGACCCCUUCCGGGAUGGGCUAGCAGAUGUAGAAUGAUGUAGGUGUACCGGCCUAUCCCUGGGUUAAGGGGGAACAUUUUAGAAAGACUAUGUCUCGGUCAUCCUGUUCUCAAACGCCAGGCAGUGCGAGAACUCCAGGGGAGGCGAUCGAGUCUUGUGGGGAAAAGUGCGCAAACCUCUGCAGAGUGUUAAAAUCUAAUCGAUUAGCCGUGUCACCGGUUACGGACAACUUGAGAAUCUAGUAGUGGAAAUGCUGGGAGAUCUCAUCACUCUUAAUUAAACAGUUGGGUUUUAAAUGAAACUUUGGGAAUGGAUUGAGUUGGGUUUGCCAACUCAUCCUAUGCUAUACUAUAGUGAUAGACUAAUAUCUUUUAUUCUAGGGAAAAACUAGCUUUAUGCAAAAACUAAACUUAGGGCUUUCCACCAGCCAAAUUGCAUGUACAAAUAGGUUCAUUAUUCUUAUGAUGUGAAUUACCAGUACAUUCAAUGUACUGACCUACAGGGCUGCAACGUCUUAUGUUGCAGGAAUUUCUAAGACGAGUAAGAAUUACGUGGUAGGGUUACGGUCUACACUCAACUUGCCAUUGGCGUUGAUGGGACUCUGCGCCCAUUCGAUUGUUUCCCUGAGAUUUAUGAGGUAUAUAUCAGUUUUACGUUAUUUAUACAUGUGAUUGAACUUUGAUAUAUACAUUGAUGUACUGUGUGUGCCAGCAUACCGAUCCAGGGAUGGCACGGAUACACAGAGGCUUGACCGUUUGAGGUCGGGUUGCUACAGCAAAUCAGCUAGAUCUUUCAAGGCAAACUCUGAGAUCAAAUCAUGCAGAAUGGCAUUAGUAGCACUUUGUGAUGAACUUGCAACUAUGAUGCAUCCACAUAUAUGAGAACAAAGAUAACUACUUUUCCCUUGUUAUAAAUGAACAAAGAUGUAUCAGCUUGGAAGCACUAAAACCAAGACAUUUCAAUUGAGAGCUCAACCUGGAGUACCAUGCUUUAGGUGCUUGUUUCAAGCUAUAGAGUGCUUUGUCAAGCUUGCACACAUAAUGUGGUGUUUUCUUACUCUCAUAUCCUGGUGGUUGUCUCAUGAAUACCUCCUCUUCCAGAACACCAUGUAAAAACGCAUUCUGUACAUCUAGCUAUCUCAAGCUCGAUCCCUUGGAUACAGCACUAGCUAACACAAAUCUUAUAGUUGCAGCUUUUACAACCGGACUGAAGGUAUCCUCAUAGUCUAUGCCAUAGCGUUGUUUAAAGCCCUUUGCAACUAGACGUGCCUUAUAUCUGUCAAUGGAGCCAUCUGCUUUCUUUUUAAUUCUAUACACCCACUUGCAAUCAAUAAUAUUUUUACCUCUCUUAUCAGGCACAAGAUGCCAAGUUUUGUUCCUCAUAAGUGCAGAAUAUUCCUCAUCCAUUGCUUUCUUCCAUUUAGGGUCACCAAGUGCAUCAUUCAGUGUCAUUGCUUCCCCUGAAAUACAUAGCAUGCCAUACCGUAUAGUACCAUCAGUUUGUAUUUUGGGAUUAUGGAUACCUUUUUGUAACCUGGUCAUAACUCGCAAGGGAGCUUCUUGUUGCAUGUGUACAGGAACAAGAUCCAUUGGCGCAGAAGAUCCACCUCUUGCUACUGAAUCUGCUGGUGAUGCAGAAGAUCCAUCGGACACUGGCGCAGAAGAUCCACUGGACCUUGGUGUGGCCCCCCUGCCACUGGACGCCCAGGAAACCACAUGGCUUCCAGGCAUAGACGAUCCGCUGCCAGGUUGCAUGUGCGCGGGACGCGAGGAGGAGCCGACCGCGCGACUGGUCCCACUGGGCCCACUAUCGGGUGACGCGUCGGCGUGGGAGUGGCCCUCCCAGGAAUCUGGGCCGCUGCCACCUUGUACGCGAUCCAAGAAAGAUCUGUGCGCACGAUCCGAGGCCUGCAAGAGCGCAGGAGUACCAAGGAAUUCAACUGAUAUGAUUACUCUACUUAUUGAUGUGCAAUAAUGUAAUAUGACUAUUAAGAAGCAUUCUAACUGUGGAGGUGGUUUCACACUUCUUACUACAACAAAGGUGAUUGAAGGAUUCCUCGGCAGAAACUAGAACGCACACCUUCAAUAAUUGACGAGCUAAUUGGUUGUUGAACUUCAUGUUGAAGAUAUCUCAUGUAGGCCCAGGCCGGCGCAUAUAGUUAGUUGAGGAGUUGGUUAGCUUAGAGAUAGACUAUCAUCUAAUUAAACUUUUGUAUCUCUAUCUCCUAAUCUCUUGUACUCCAAGUUAUGUAUGCGUACAUGGGAUAAGCCUCAUCUCAAUCAAUAAAUACCCGCGGCCCUCUCUCGUGGAGGGUAGAACGCUUCCGAUAUAUUUCCUAUAUGGUCAUCAGAGCUUUCUCUUCUCGUCCAAAAACCAGAAAACCUAGAUUGCCAUCCUUCCCACCAUGUCAUCCUCCUCCAACCCCCCGACUCUCUCUGGUCUUGGUUACCAAAUCAGUGAGAAGCUCACCGCUGAGAACUACCUGCUGUGGAAGGCACAUAUCCUCCAGCACUUCCUUGGUGCCGGGCUCUAUGGCUAUCUAGACGACAACAUCGUCGAACCAGAGAAGCUCAUGGUCGCGAAGGACAAGGAUGGAAAGGAUCAAGCGGUCCCCAAUCCGGCGCAUGAUUCUUGGGUGCGGCAGGACCAACAGGUCCUUGGCCACAUCAUCAACAAUCUCUCGAUGGAGGUGCUGGUCUCGGUCGUCUCCAUUGGCGUGAGCUCUCUGGACAUCGAUGCGUAACAUGUUUGCUUCACAAUCUCAUUACCGCAUUAAUAAUAUCCAGAUUUCCCUGUCCAGUGCCUAAAAGGGCAAUCAGCGUCGGCAUACUUUGCUCGGAUGCGCAGAUAUGCUGAUGAACUUGCUGCUACCGGGAGACCUCUGCAAGAGGAUGAGCUCACCUCCUUCCUCCUGGCUGGGCUGGACCUCGACUACAACCCCCUUAUCUCAGCCCUCGACGACCGGACGGAUCCUAUCACCAUCGAUGACUUAUACUCACAGGUCUACAACUUUGAUCAGCGGGUGUCGCUGCUCAUGGGAGGCGUGGGCUUCAAGUCCUCUGCAAACUCUGCCCAGCAUGGUGGGCCACCUCCAUCUCGAGGCUUUGGAAAGCCGAGGGAUCAGAAGAAGCAAGGUGGUGGCGGCGGCUACAAGAAGAAACAAGGUGGCGGUGGGCAUCCCUACUACAUCAACACCAAGGGAGCUCGCUCUGGUGCCCCUGGAGGGCCAGGAGGUCUAGGAGGCCUCGAUGGUCCUCCACCCGCCAACAACCACAAGGGGAACGACCCCAUCCAGUGCCAGAUAUGCAUCAAGUUCGGGCACAGCACCAAGGACUGCUGGUAUCAUUUUGAUGAUGAUGCCCUUGAAUAAAAAGUUGUUGCUGCCACCCAGUAUGGGGUGGAUACAAAGUGGUAUGUUGACAGCGAUGCAACCGGUCAUCUCAUCGGCGAACUAGAGAAGUUGACAGUCCGCGACAAGUAUCGUGGGCAGGGUGAAAUCCAUGGCGCAAACAGAUCAGGUAUGAGGAUAGAUCAUGUUGGUCAUUCAGUUUUUCAAACCCCUAACCGUCCCAUCCAUCUUAAAAGAAUUUUACAUUAUCCUCAUGCCCAAACCAGUCUUCUUUCUGUAAAUCAUAUUGCCUUGGAAAAUCAAGUAUUUCUUGAAUUUCACCCCUUCUACUUUUCGAUCAAGGACCAGGCAACGAGGAGAAUCCUCUACAUAUGUAGAUGCAUUGGUGGGCUCUAUCCAUUGAUUCCUCGCUUUAGGAGUUCAAAUAAACAAGUUCUUGGUCUCACCAAAUUAUCUUCGGCAAGGUGGCACGAUCGAUUUGGGCAUCCUUCUUUUGCUAUAGUUCAACGAGUGCUUAGGAAAAAUAAGCUCCCUUUUGUUGGUGAGCCUAGUAGUGAAAAAAAUUGUGAUUCAUGUCAACGAGAAAAAAGUCAUCAACACCCUUCCCCUGUGUCAACUAGCGUUUCUUCCAAACCAUUAGAACUAUUUUUUUUCUGAUGUAUGGGGCAAGCAGCUCUUUCUGUUGGGAGACACAAGUAUUAUGUAAACUUUAUUGAUGAUUAUAGUAAGCAUACUUGGAUCUACCUUAUCAAGCAUAAAUCUGAUGUGUUUCAAGUAUUCCAAAAUUUCCAAGCACUUGUUGAACGAAAAUUCUCUAGCAAAAUAAUCUCUGUCCAAUCGGACUGGGGUGGCGAGUAUGAAAAAUUAAACUCGUUCUUUCAAAAACUGGGAAUUUCCCAUCAUGUCUCUUGUCCCCAUGCGCACCAACAGAAUGGUUCUGCAGAACGCAAGCAUAGACAUAUUGUCAAAGUUGGUCUUUCUCCUUGCUAAUGCAUCCAUGCCAUCGAAGUUUUGGGAUGAAGCAUUCAUCACUGCUACACAUCUCAUUAAUAUGUUGCUAAGCAGGGUUAUCAAUUUUGAAACACCCACCGUGUUGGGGAACGCAGUAUUUAAAAAAAAAUUCCUACGAUCACGCAAGAUUUAUCUAGGAGAUGCAUAGCAAGGAGAGGGGAGAGUGUGUCCACGUAUCCUCGUAGACCGAAAGCGGAGGCAUUUAGUAAUGCGGUUGAUGUAGUCGAACGUCUUUGCGAUCCAACCGAUCAAGUACCAAACGCACAGCACCUCCGCGAUCUGCACACGUUCAGCUCGGUGACGUCCCUCGUACUCUUGAUCCAGUUGAGGCCGAGGGUGAGUUGCGUCAGCAUGAUGGUGUGUUGAUGGUUAUGAUGAAGUUACCAAUGCAAGGAUUCGCCUAAGCACUACGACAAUAUGACCGAGGUGGAAAACUGUGGAGGGGGGCACCGCAACGGUUAAAGAUCAACUCUUGUGUCUAUGAGGUGUCCCCCUCCCCCAUAUAUAAAGGAGGGGAGGAGGAGGAGGGCCGGCCUCAAGGGGCGCUCCCAAGGGGGGGAUUCCUACUCCUAGUAGGAGUAGGUUUCCCCUUUCCUAGUCCAAGUAGGAGAAGAAGGAAGGAGAGGAAGAAGAGAAGGAAAGGGGGCCCGCCCCCCUUAGCCCUAGUCCAAUUCGGUUUGGGCUACGGGAGGCGCGCGCCACCUCUUGGCCUACCUCCUCUCUUCCACCACUAGGCCCAUAAGGCCCAAUAACUUCCCGACGGGGGUUUCGGUAACCCCCAGUACUCCGAAACUUAUCCGAAAUGACCCGAACCAUCCCAGUGUCCAAAUGUAACCUUCCAAUAUAUGAAUCUUUAUGUCUCGACAAUUUCGAGACUCCUCGUCAUGUCCAUCAUCUCAUCCGGGAUUCCUAAAAACCUUCGGUACAUCAAAUCACAUAACUCAUAAUACAUAUCAUCAUCGAACGUUAAGCAUACGGACCCUGCGGGUUCGAGAACUAUGUAGACAUGACCGAGACUCAUCUCCGAUCAAUAACCAAUAGCGGAACCUAGUUGCUCAUAUUGGUUCCUACAUAUUCUACGAAGAUCUUUAUCAGUCAAACCGCAUAACAACGUACAUUGUUGCCUUUGUCAUCGGUAUGUUACUUGCCCGAGAUUCGAUCGUCGGUAUCAUCAUACCUAGUUCAAUCUUGUUACCGGCAAGUCUCUUUACUCGUUCCGUAAUGCUCAUCCCGUGACUAACUCAUUAGUCACAUUGCUUGCAACGCUCAUAGUGAUGUGCAUUACCGAGAGGGCCCAGAUAUACAUCUCCGAUACACAGAGUGACAAAUGCUAAUCUCUAUCUAUGCCAACUCAACAAACACCAUCGGAGACACCUGUAGAGCAUCUUUAUAAUCACCCAGUUACGUUGUGACGUUUGAUAGGACACAAGGUGUUCCUCCGGUAUUCGGGACUUGCAUAAUCUCAUAGUCUGAGGACCAUGUAUAAGUCAUGAAAAAAUAAUAGCAAUAAACUAAAUGAUCAUACUGCUAAGCUAACGGAUAGGUCUUGUCCAUCACAUCUAAAUGGUUUUUUCUUUUCUUGAUUAAUACUCCCUCCGUCCCAUAAUAUAAGACAUUUUUUGACAUUACACUAGAGUCAAAAAACGUCUUACAUUAUAGGACAGAGGGAGUAGUAUUUGUUUUUGGAUGCUUGCAGGUGUUGGAAGAGAACUACUAGGUUGUUGUCCAAGUCACUUCUCACAAAUGUGUGACGCCUGCCCCCACGUGUGAGCCAGCGCAGCCGAAGGCGGCGCACUAACAACGAAACCUAACAAAUUAACUGGCCACACGUGCCAGCCGGUUCCCACGGGUGCGAUGCAUGCCCCCACUUGCAAGCCAGAGGGCGGCCCUACGGACGAGCCGGCAUAGGUGUACAUGAUGCACGCACUAUCUGUUGCGACCGGACCAGCUCGGCGCAUUGCCAGCGGAUGCCAACGGCAAAAUUUCGUGUUUUGACCCUUUUCUGAAACCUAUUAAAGAUCUGACCCUAGGCAGCAGAAGACAUCCUUCAAAUUGAUCACAAUCUUCUUACCCCAACUGAGACCGAGGCUUUCAAGAUGAUUGAGUUAUCCCGUAUACAAAACAAGUAUGUCACACGUGAAAAUAUUUUGUUGAAGGAGCAUAUCAUCGCACUCAAGGGCAUUAUCCGCAAGUUGGAGGACCUCCUACGCUCGAUGUGCGACUAUCCAUCAUCAACAACUCCACCUUCUUCAUAAACAAAGAAGAACUGAGUAUCUGGUAUGGGCACUCCACUUGGCAACUGCCAAGCUUGGGGGAGUGCCCCGGUAUCGUAUCACCAUCACUUCUAUCUUUACCGUUUUCCUUAGUUCGAUCCUUUUGAUAAUAUUUUGAUCUAGUAGAAUAAAACUUCUUAGUAUGAUCUAGUUGUGAGUUUUGCUUUAUGAUCCUUCUAUGUAAUCGAGUCCGUGAGCUAUAUAUAAUAAAGAUUAGUGUUGAGUCAAGGACUUGAUUAUUUUGCCAUAAUCUUGAGUGAAUAAAAGAAAAGAGAAGAAAUAAAAAGAAACAAAGAGAUCAUAUGGAUCUUAUGGAGAGUAAUGAGCUCACAUAGAAAGAGUAUGAUGAAUAAAAGUUGUUGAGAGUUGACAAACAUAGUUUUGGUCAUCGUUGCAAUUAAUAGGAAGUAAUAAAGAAAGAGAGGUCUUCACAUAUAAAUACACUAUCUUGGACAUCUUUUAUGAUUGUGAGCACUCAUUAAAAUAUGACAUGCUAAAGAGUUGACGUUGGACAAGGAAGACAAUGUAAUGGGUUAUGUUUUCUUACAUCUGAGAUAAAUUAUAUUGUCAUGGAUCAUCCAACAUGAUUGAGCUUGCUUUUCCCCCUCAUGCUAGCCAAAUUCUUUGCACCAAGUAGAGAUACUACUUGUGCUUCCAAACACCCCUAAACCAAUUUUUCCAUGAGUGUCCACCAUACCUACCUAUGGAUUGAGUAAGAUCCCUCAAGUAAGUUGUCAUCAGUGCAAGUAAUAAAAAUUGCCCUCUAAAUAUGUAUGACUUAUUAGUGUGGGAGAAAAUAAGCUUUAUAUGAUCGUAUGAUAUGGAAUAAAUAAAAGCGGCGGACUGCAUAAUAAAGGUCCAUAUCACAAGUGGCAAUAUAAAGUGACGUUCUUUCGCAUUAAGAUUUUGUGCAUCCAACCAUAAAAAUGCAUGACAACCUCUACAUCCCUCUGUGAAGGGCCUAUCUUUUUCUUUUAUCUCCUACCUUGCAUAAGAGUCAUGGUGAUCUUCACCCUUCCUUUGUACAUUUUAUCUUUUGGCAAGCACAACAUGUUGGAAAGAUCCUGGUAUAUCUGGCUAAUUGGAUGUGAAUUUUCAUGAACUAUUAUUGUUGACAUUACCCUUGAGGUAAAACGUUGGGAGGCAAAACUAUAAGCCCCUAUCUUUCUCUGUGUCCGAUUAAAACUCCAUACCCAUAAGUAUUGCGUGAGUGUUAGCAAUUGUGGAAGACUAUAUGAUAGUUGAGUAUGUGUACUUGCUGAAAAGCUCUUAUAUUGACUCUUUCCUAUGUUAUGAUAAAUUGCAAUUGCUCCAAUGACUGAGAUUAUAGUUUGUUAGUUUUCAAUGAAGUUUGUGAUUCAUACUUGAAAUUGUGAUUGAAUUGUUACUCUAGCAUAAGAGAUCAUAUGACAAGAAUUAUAUAAGUUGUUGUUUUAAGAAUGAUCAUAAUGCCCUCAUGUACGUAUUUUAUUUUUAUCGACACCUCUAUCUCUAAACAUGUGGACAUAUUUUUCGAUUUCGGCUUUCGCUUGAGGACAAGCGAGGUCUAAGCUUGGGGGAGUUGAUAUGUCCAUUUUGCAUCAUGCUUUUAUAUCCAUAUUUAUUGCAUUAUGGGCUGUUAUUACACAUUAUGUCACAAUACUUAUGCCUAUUCUCUCUUAUUUUACAUGGUUUACAUAAAGAGGGAGAAUGUCGGCAGCUGGGAUUCUGGGCUGGAAAAGGAGCAAAUAUUAGAGACCUAUAGUACACAGCUCCAAAAGUCCUGAAACUUCACGGAAGUCAUUUUUAGAAUAUAUAAAAAAUAUUGAGCGCAAGAAGUUCCAGAGGGGGCCCACACCCUGGCCACGAGGGUGGGGGCCAGCCCUACCCCCCUGGGUGCGCCCCCUGCCUCGUGGGCCACCUGGUGGCCCUCCGAUGCCCAUCUUCUGCUAUAUGGAGUCCUUCGAUGAGAAAAAAAUGAUAAGCAAGCUUUCGGGAUGAGACUCCGCCACCACUAGGCGGAACCUUGGCGGAACCAAUCUAGGGCUCUGGCGUAGCUAUUCUGCCGGGGAAACUUCCCUCUGGGAGGGGGAAAUCAUCGCCAUCGUCAUCACCAAUGAUCUUCUCAUUGGGAGGGGGUCAAUCUCUAAGUCUGGGAUUGGUACCCGUGGGUUGCUAGUAGUGUUGAUUACUCCUUGUAGUUUAUGCUAGUUGGUUUAUUUGGUGGAAGAUCAUAUGUUCAGAUCCUAUAUGCAUAUUAAUAUCCCUCUGGUUAUGAACAUGAAUAUGCUUUGUGAGUAGUUACGUUUGUUCCUGAGGACAUAGGAGAAGUCCUGCUAUUAGUAGUCAUGUGAAUUUGGUAUUCGUUCGAUAUUUUGAUGAGAUGUAUGUUAUCUCUCCUCUAGUGGUGUUAUCACUACAAAAAAAGACACAUCCGUGACAUUUUGGGCCGAACGAUAUUUUUUCUGUCAUACAUAUGACACUUCUAUGACGAUAAUUGUGACAAAACCCGGUAUCAUCAUAGAUGUGAUGGGAUCCUACGUCUAUGACAAAAAAUCAUGACAGAAAAUGGGCUUUUCGUCCGGGGCGGGCCAGAGACGCAGCUGCAUGACAUUCUUUGGGCCAUCCAUGAUGGAAAAAACCGUGGUAGAAGCGAGGGGGAGGAAAAUUUCGGGGAGUUCCCGGUUACGGUGGGAGGUCGGGGGCCGAGCGAUGCGCGUUUCUCUCGUACACGUACGCACGUGUGUGCGAGGCGUUGGCUCUAACUGAACCCGAGCGAUUGCACUGCAGGCUACGCAUUAUUGAACCCGAGCGAUCGAUCGAUGGAUGUUAACUGAACCCGAUCGAGCGAUUCCUUCGCUACUGCUGCUAAUUNNNNNNNNNNNNNNNNNNNNNNNNNNNNNNNNNNNNNNNNNNNNNNNNNNNNNNNNNNNNNNNNNNNNNNNNNNNNNNNNNNNNNNNNNNNNNNNNNNNNNNNNNNNNNNNNNNNNNNNNNNNNNNNNNNNNNNNNNNNNNNNNNNNNNNNNNNNNNNNNNNNNNNNNNNNNNNNNNNNNNNNNNNNNNNNNNNNNNNNNNNNNNNNNNNNNNNNNNNNNNNNNNNNNNNNNNNNNNNNNNNNNNNNNNNNNNNNNNNNNNNNNNNNNNNNNNNNNNNNNNNNNNNNNNNNNNNNNNNNNNNNNNNNNNNNNNNNNNNNNNNNNNNNNNNNNNNNNNNNNNNNNNNNNNNNNNNNNNNNNNNNNNNNNNNNNNNNNNNNNNNNNNNNNNNNNNNNNNNNNNNNNNNNNNNNNNNNNNNNNNNNNNNNNNNNNNNNNNNNNNNNNNNNNNNNNNNNNNNNNNNNNNNNNNNNNNNNNNNNNNNNNNNNNNNNNNNNNNNNNNNNNNNNNNNNNNNNNNNNNNNNNNNNNNNNNNNNNNNNNNNNNNNNNNNNNNNNNNNNNNNNNNNNNNNNNNNNNNNNNNNNNNNNNNNNNNNNNNNNNNNNNNNNNNNNNNNGUGGAGGGGUGCCCGUGGAGGGGUGGUUGAACUGGACCCCGUGGUGUGGAGGGCUGGAUGAACAGUAGACGGUGGAGGGGUGGUUGAACAGUAGCCGGUGGAGUAACGCGCGGUGGAGGCUGGAUGAACAGGAGCCCGUGGAGGCUGGAGGAGGUCGACGGUGGAGAUGAACAGUAUCCCGUGGAGUCCCGUUUUGCGGUACGCCACACCCCUCCCAGUAAACAGGACCCCCGUUUCGACCGUAGCGCUCCAACACAAGUCAGUUUCCUCCAUUUUGCGGUACGCCACACCCCUCCCGAUCAACAGGACCCCCGUUUCAACCGUAGGAGGUCCGUUUCCUCCGUUUUGCGGUACGCCACACCCCUCCCGAUGAACAUGAUCCCGUUUCGAACAUGGCCAGUCGAACACAAGGCCGUUUCCUCCAUUCUGCGGUACGCCAGGCCUCGUUUCCAUCGCCUAUUCCGUCCAAGCCCUCCCGAUGAACACAACGCAUUCCGUUGCCUCCCCAUGAACACGACGCAUUUUGUUGCCUCCCCAUGAACACGACACAUUUCGUUGCCUCCCCAUGAACACGACGACGACGCUGUUUCUCAGUUCCGACCCAGCCUUGUACAUGAGCCCUCGUCGUACGUAUGCGCGAGUAGGCAUUCGAGACCCCGCCCGUAUGUACACAUACGUGGCCGUAUUUUCUUUCUUGCACCCUGACCGCUGUACAUACGUGUACAUGCUACGUGCGCGCCUCUACUACGACACAUGCGCGCCUCGACAUCGACCAGUAUAUAUGUACGUACACGUUCGCGACCAGAAUGACAACGCUACGUACGCUUCGACCAGGUAGGUCCCGACUGCCAGGCACUUCCUUGCAUGCGAAGAUGUAGCUGGUGGGUCCCAGCAGUCAAGGCACUACUAGGGACAAGCCUAUACACAGAAUCUUACCAGCAGCGCGCUUUAAAAUCAGGCGCUGCUGCUAAGUAGCAGUAGCGCAGGUUUUUAACCCUCGCUACUACUAAGUUGAUAGCAGUAGCGCUGGUUUUUUAGCCUCGCUACUACUAAGCGGUCACUACCGUGCCCCUCGGGACAUGCCAUAGUAGUAGCGCGGGUUUUUAACCCUCGCUACUCCUAAGUUGAUAGCAAUAGCGUUGGUUUUUACCCCUCGCUACUACUAAGCUGUCUCUACCGUGCCCCUGGGCCAUGCCAUAGUAGUAGCGAGGGUUAUAAAACCGUGCUACUACUAAGUUUUUACCCCUCACUACUACUAAGAGGUCUCAACCGUGCCCCUCCGGGACAUGCCAUAGUAGUAGCGAGGGGUAAAAUCCCUCGCUACUACUAAAGGUGCCAUUUUGAAACUCUACCCCCCUGGAUCGCCUUUUGGGUUUUGUAAAAAGCAAAAGAAAAUGAUAAAAACUUCAAAAAUUAAAAUCCUUCUAGAUUUAGUUAUGUUACUACAUCUACUAGUUAGGAAAAUUUAAAAACUUAAAUUUGGACAUGUUUUGCAAAAAGUGUCGGGAAAAUGUAAAACGGCUAUAACUUUUGCAUACGAUGUUAGAAAAAAACGUAUAAUAUAUCAAAAUGUUUCAAAAAUUAAAAUCCUUUGAGAUGUAGUUAUGUUACUACAUCUACUAGUUAGGAAAAUUUAAAAACUUAAAUUUGGACAUGUUUUGCAAAAAGUGUAGGGGAAAUGUAAAACGGCUAUAACUUUUGCAUACAAUGUCAGAAAAAAACGUAUAAUAUAUCAAAAUGUUUAGCACGAAAAUCUGCAUACGAUGUAGACAGCUACGGCCUAUUUGCAAAUUUUUAGAAUCCUCAAAUUCUAAAAGGAAAAAAAAUUAUGCUCAAAUUUCAGUUUUUUUAAUUUUGGUCAAAUCUGGUCAAACUGUGGUCAAACUAAUUCAAGAAGUAUUAGUGUUACUAAAUAAUUAUUUCAGUUUUUGGAAUUUUGGUCAAAUCUGGUCAAACUGUGGUCAAACUUUGGUCAAAAUGUGGUCAAACUCCUUAUUCAAGAAAUAUUAGUGUUACUAAAUAAUUAUUGUUUUUUAGAACAAUUGUUUUAAACUCAAACAGCAAAAUGUGUGACUUCAUGCUCAAGCUAAACUCCCGAGGGUUAAUAGGAUUGACAUCUUACUAUUGUCAGGAAAGCAACAAGUGCAGACCUGGAAUCGAGGGAGAAUAGAACCCGGAAGUUAAGCGUGCUCAGGCUGGAGUGGUGAGAGGAUGGGUGACCGUCCGGGAAGUUAGAUGAUUUGGAAUGAUGAGGGGUGAUUAGAGAUAAAAUUGAGCAGCGAUGAGGGUGAUUAGAUAUUAGAGGUUAAAAUAAUUCAGAAAUUUGAAAAUUCGCGCAAAAAAUUCGAAAAAAAAUUCUGCGGGUUAGUAGUAGCAUGGGUUUUUAACCACACUACUACUAACGGACGUAGUAGUAGCGCGGGUGGCACCCGCGCUGCUGCUAUACGUUAGCUGUAGCGCCUUAUUAGUAGCGCCGGCCCACGCGCUGCUAAUAGGCCCAAAACCCGCGCUGCUGCUAGGCUCUUCCCUAGUAGUGAGGAGGGGAAUUGUUUUAUUUUGUUUUGCCCGGACGCACUUCCUUCCGUCCGAAGGUGUAGCUAGUGGGUCCCAGCAGUCAGGGGGGAAACGUUUUUUUCGUGAAAUACGGUGGCCCGUCUGGUGGUCCCCGCUGUUAGGUGGAGGAAUAAUUAUUUUGCACAUAAUAAGGAGGCACUUCCUUGCUGCGGCCGUGGACCCAGGUGUCAGCCACUCCACGUACAGUCCACGUCCGAUGGAAGUCGUUCCUUGACCACGUUGACCACGCUGCACCGAGAGCACCAGGGCAGUGGACGACGGCGAGGCCUAGGAAGGGGACGACGAGGAGCUAGGGAAGACGCGGCAGUGGAAGCCUGUGCGGAGAGGAGUACGAGGGUUCACUGGUUCGGCUACGGUGUGAGGCUGCCGUCACCGCAGGGCCUGGCCAGCGGUGGGAAUAGUAGGGGGCGGUGAGGCGUCCGCAGCAGCACAGCCGACCAUGGGAGGCAGGAGCAUGCGGCACGACCGGCGCAACUUUGGGCGGCUGGAGCAAGAAGACCAGAGGUUGAAGAAGCACUACGGCUGUUGGAUGGACAUCGUACAGUCACUGGAGCUAGAAUCGUUCAUAUUGAUUAAAGUUGACAAAGGCCCCCGUCCCAGUCAACUUAGUAGGCCCACAAGUCAGCCUCCCACCAUGGUGGGUCCCAGCUAGCAGGGGGGUAUUCAUUUUUUUGUGCGUAAUAAGGAGGCACUUCCGGUGGGUCCGAGCUGAUAGCGGGGGGGACGUUUUUUUCGCGAAAUACGCUGGCCCGUACGGUGGGUCUGAGCAGUCAGGGGGGAAACGUUUUUUCGCAAAAUAAGGUGGCCCGUCCGGUCAGUCCCUGUUGUAAGGUGGAGGAAUAAUUAUUUUGCGCGUAAUAAGAAGGCACUUCCUUGCGGCUGCAUGGACCCAGCUGUCAGCCUCUCCACGUACAGUACUCUUCCGAUGGAAGUCGGUCGUUAACCACGUUGACCACGCCGCGCCGAGAGCACUAGGGCGGUGGUCUGGACGAUGGCGAGGCCUAGGAAGGGGACGACGCGGAGCCGGGGAAGACGCAGCAGCGGAAGCCCGCGCGGAGAGGAGUACGAGGGUUCACUGGUUCGGCUGCGGUGUGAGGCUGCCGUCGCCGCAGAAUAACAGGGGGUGUGCGUGAGUGGAGGGAUGGCCUGGCCAGCGGUGGGGGUUGUAUGGGGGCGGUGAGGCCUCCGCGGCAGCACAGCCGGCCACGGGAGGCAGGAGCAGGUGGCACGACCGGCACUGCUUUAGGCGGCUGGACCAAGAAGACCAGAGGUUGAAGAAGCACUAAGGCCGUUGGAUGGACAUCGUACGGUCAUUGAAGCUAGAAACGUUUAUUAUUGACUAAGUUGACAAAGCCCUUGGUACGCUCCAACUUAGUAGGCCCACAGGUCAGCCUCCGAAACAGUGUGCCCCAGAUGUCAAGGAGAGGAAUCAUUUUUUGGGCGGCCGAAGCUAAGAAUAUCCGAGAUUGAAGAAGAAGCACGACAUCCGUUGGAUAGACAUCCAACGUCCACUGCUGCUAGAACCGUGUGUUGACUAUAAUAAGUUGGCAAAGCCUUGCAUACGCGUCAACUUAUUUUUUUAGGGGACACGUCACUUAGUAGGCCCACAAGUGUGUGGCAGAGAACUUAUAGCCCAUUUGCGUUUUUGUAAGAAUGUACAGCCCAUUUUGGAAUUCUAAUGGAAUUUACAACAGCCCAUUUACAGUUUGUUAAAAGUACAGCCCAUUUUCUAGCUAGGAAAAUGAUUAAUAAUUUCAACCAACCGUUGAAGACCGAAUUCAACAAAAUUUCCCACAUUUUGAUGGGCUCCAAAAUAUUUUUAUCCUGAAAUUUUUAGUCAGAUUAAAUAUAAAUUUGUAUUAGGUAAAAAUCCAAUGAAACAUUGCGCGCGCAACAAUGAAAAUUUAAGAUUUUCAAAAUCCAUAAAUAAUAUUUUAUAAACUAAUUUCGUGUUUGGUGCAUUUUUUAUAGUUACUGCCUAGUUUUUAUAAUUACAUCCCAUUUAUUAUUUUUUAAAGCCCAUUUUCCUGUUAAGCCUAAUGUAUCCCUCCUAGGAAAGAUUUGCAGCCCAGCGGGGUGGAGAAUAACAAGUUCACUUUGCCUCGGUAUUCCUCAAAAAGACGUAUAGCUGGGCUAGCCAUUUUCAUCUUGAAAAAAUUAGUAUCUGGGCUGGAUGUCUGGCCUGGGCUAGACGGGCCACAACCCGCCUAGUUAAUACCCUGCUCUCCUCUGAAAAACAACGAAAUCAUCGCCAAGAAAAACUCUGCAGUGCUCACGCUUCAAAAAGACAAAUACUGCUUGAGCUGCUUGGUCCCAGCUGUCGGCCGCACCUUGUGCAAUUCUCUCGUUUAUAUUGACUACAUAGGUUGACAAUGGUGUGGGACCGUGAUGUCAGGAAACCAGGAGAAAGCAAAAAACAUAUAGUUGUACAUAAUAAGGAGGCACUUGCGUACGUACGGCUAUGGCCCUAGUGGGUCCCUAGUGUCAUCCAGUCAAAAUAAAGUCAUCUCCUGAAUCCUCAUGUUCGUUGACGAUGUUAACAAUGCUCGGCGCCACGGCGAGCGCAACAACUCGAAGGACAACGGAGAGGGCCUCGCGGGCCCUACGGAUGGUCUGAUACAGCGCCCGCUACUCAUUCAGGAAGCCAGGAUCAUCGGACACCUAUGAGCACCUUCGAGAAACUGAGACGGCAUGAAACGGUAAGGCCGCGCUUGGGAGCUCUGGUUUAUUUCAAACCUGUAUUAACAUACAAGUGUAAUUUACUCAUCAUCGAAAACAACGCGUAAAAUAUAGGCGUAAUGAAACCGAGGGCCCGAGGUCCAUAAGUAAAACCGGCGGGUUACGCGUGUAAUUUGAGAGACCAGUGUAUUUUAUGAGCACUGCUAUAUGGACGACAUUACCAGACGAGUGUCACCUCCAGAAGGACCAACUCUACGACCUCGCCAACUCCAGCACGUACGCACCUAUCCCCUGCGGCUCCCCUGCCUGCACGGAGCUCGGUAGCAGCCACAGCAGUGGUUGCUCCGCCGGCUCCGACCAAUGCAAGUAUAUCCUCGACUACGGCGACGACAGGGUCACCGCCGGGACAUACAUCAGCGACACGCUGAACUUGUCGCCCACCAUCGCGGUCAAGGGCUUCCGGAUCGGGUGCAGCCACGCCGUGAGGGGCACCUUCAGUGACCAGACCGCCGGCGUCCUGGCCCUCGGCGGCGGCGCCGGGUCCCUCCUUGCACAGACCGCGGAGACCUUCGGCAACGCCUUCUCCUACUGUGUCCCGCACCCGAGCUCCGAUGGAUUCCUCUCGCUGGGCGGGCCGGUGGGGAAAUCGUCGCAGUUCGCGAGCACGCCUCUGAUCAAGAACCAACACGCUCCAACCUUCUACAUCGUCCGCCUAGAGGCAAUCACCGUGGCCGGGAGGCGGCUCGACAUGCCGCCGGCUACAUUCGCCGGUGGUGCGGUGAUGGACUCAGGGGCGGUCGUCACGCAGCUGCCACCGUCGGCAUACGCAGCGCUGCGGGCAGCGUUCAGGAGCGCCAUGACGGCGUAUGGCCCGCUUGCGGAUCCCGUACGCAACCUUGACAUGUGCUAUGACUUGACCCGCUUCCUCGAGGUCAAUGUCCCCAAGGUGUCCCUAGUGUUCGCAGGCUGUGCCACCUUGGAGCUCGAGCCGGCGUCCAUCAUGCUGGACGGUUGCCUGGCUUUCACGGCCUCCCCUGGCAGCCACGGCUCCAUCGGAUUCAUCGGCAACGUGCAGCAGCAGACCUACGAGGUUUUGUACGAUGUCGGCAGCGGGAGCGUGGGAUUCCGCAGUGGCGCGUGCUGAUGUGGCAAGCUGCAGGACAACCACGGCCAGUUGUACGUGUGAUGCAUGAUUGGCCCCCUAAUAUAUAUCUGGGGUCUACAAGCUAGCUUGCUCAUUGGGAUGGAGCUAGUUUGUGAGUAUAAAUAAAUGCAAGAAAGAAGAUUGAUGUAAUACUUAUAUAUGCAUGUAAUUUUAUAUAGUUCUAUAUAUGCAUGUAAUUUUGUUCAACGGUUGUAUGAUUGUAAACCUUAUAAUAUAACCUUACACAUUGUCAAGGAAUUCAACCGAUAUAAUUACUCUACUUAUUGAUGUGCAAUAAUGUAAUAUGACUAUUAAGAAGCAUUCUGAUUGUGGAGGUGGUUUCGCACUUUUUACUACAACAAAGGUGUUUGAAGGAUUCCUCGGCAGAAACUAGAACGCACUCCUUCAAUAAUUGACGAGCUAAUUGGUUGUUGAACUUCAGACAAAGAUUGUUGGGCAUGAAAGCGGUCACCAGCGGGUUGAUUGGCCUCACCAGCUCAUACGUGUUCAUGAGGCGUGGUUUUUUUCUUUUCUUGAUUAAUAGUAUUUGUUUCUGGAUGCUUGCAUUGUAAGAUUUGGAAGCGUUCCUACUCCUCGAUGAGGAGCCGCGUUGGUUUAUAUUGAACGAGGCAGAACAGCUCUGCCGUGGCUUACAAGAAGAGGAAACUGAUCACAAGGAUUCGGUUGUAAGGAGGACUCCUAAACAGCUACGCGAGGGAGAGAGAUAGAAUAGAGUUGAGAUUACAAUGCGGAGAUAAACGUGAACUCUAACACCCUCCCUUAAUCUCAACUAUUCUAUGUUUAGAUUCCUCUUGAACUCUUCAAAUGGUUUUGCUGGUAGUGCCUUGGUGAACCCAUCAGCCACUUGAUCUUUGGAAGGGAUGAACCAUAUCUCAAGUUUCUUUGCUACAACCCUUUCAGGCACAAAGUGAAAAUCAAUCUCUAUAUGCUUGGUUCUUGCAUGAAACACUGGGUUUGCAGACAAGUAUGUUGGUCCCAAAUUAUCACACCAUAAACAUGAGAUGCGAUUCUGCUUGCCCCCCAUUUCAUCCAGUAGUGAUUCAAUCUAAAUGAUUUCUGCAGUGGCAUUAGCUAAGGAUUUAUACUCAGCCUCUGUACUUGACCUUGAUACAGUGGCUUGUUUCCUAGCACUCCAAGAAACAAGAUUAGGCCCAAAGAACACUGCAAAGCCUCCAGUUGAUUUUCUAUCAUCACUGCAAUCUGCCCAAUCAGCAUCAGAGAAUGCACUCACAAUACUAGAAUUAGAGCGUCUGAAAUGCAGUCCUACUCCCAUAGUAUGUUUGACAUAUCUUACAAUUCUCUUAAUAGCUGUCCAAUGUGCAGUAGUGGGUGCAUGGAGAUAUUGACAAACUUUGUUAACAGCAAAUGAGAUAUCUGGGCGAGUAAGAGUCAAGUACUGUAAUGCUCCAACAAUACUUCUAUAAUUUGAGUUAUCUUCCUCGUGAAGUGGCUCACCUUCAUAUGUUGAAAGUUUCUCUGAGGAGGACAAAGGUGUAGGUACAGGCUUGCAGUUUUUCAUCCCCAUACGACAUAGAAGCUUAGUAACAUACUUCUCUUGUUUUAGUACUAUGCCAUCUUGAGUCUUCUUAACAUCAAUGCCUAGAAAGAAGUGCAAAUGUAACAUCCCAAAAUUCUAAAAUUUGGAAUGUUAUGUUAAAUAAUUAAUUAUGAUUGUUUGUUUGUUGUGUGAUUGAUUGUGUGAAAAUGAUUGGAAAUUGAAAACUUUUUGAAAGUUGAAUGAGAGGGAAUAAAAGGACUUUCCCAAAACUUUUCAUCUUGCAUUUUGAUCUUCCUGAAUUCAAAUUCAUUUCAUCACAAAACCCUAGAGUGAAGAUACUAUGCCUUCUUCCAUUUAAAGAAAUGAAAAAAGGGGUUUGAAAAUGAUUUGAAUUCCAUUUGAAACAUUUCGAAUUUAGCAACUUUAAGAGCAUCUCCAGCCGUUCGCCCCCCCAGGACGCAUAAAAAUCGCCCCUUGGGGGCGAGCCGGCGAUACAAUCGGCGCUGGGAGCGGUUUCGUGCCCAGUCGUUGCCCCCAGGCGCCGAUAUUGGCCCACUUAUCAUCCCCAUUUUGGCUUAUAAAGGGCCCAUAUGGGCGACAAUAGGCCCAUAUUCGGCAUGGUUUGCCGUUGUUCGGCGUUCAAUUAUGCACAUAAAUUUUUUUAUCACAUAUUUCAUCACAGAAAUAUCAAAUACUUCAACAAAAUAGUACAACAACAAAUAGUUCAAUACAAUUUAUAUAGUGCAACAAAUAAAAACUCAUAUUCCAUCACACGUCGCGCCCGAUGUCGCCCUUGAGCCUCCAUAGAUGCUCUAUCAGAUCUUGCUGCACUUGAUGAUGCACCUGUGGGUCUCGGAUCUCCUGACGCAUACUGAGAUAGGCAGUCCAGGUUGCCGAUAGCUGGUGAUCAACUUCGGCUAGAGGACCCUGCCUGUAGUCUGGUUCAGUGUCAAACACUGGGUCUUCUUGCUCGCUCUCGAUGAUCAUGUUGUGCAAGAUGACACAGCAAGUCAUAAUCUCCCACAUUUGAUCUUUCGACCAGGUCUGAGCGGGGUACCGGACAACAGCAAAUCGAGAUUGGAGCACACCAAAUGCCCUCUCGACAUCCUUCCUGCAAGCCUCCUGAACCUUCGCAAACCAGGCGUUCUUGCCUCCUGGCAUAGGGUUUGAGAUCGUCUUCACAAAUGUCGACCAUCUCGGAUAGAUGCCAUCAGCUAGAUAGUACCCCUUGUUGUAGUGCCGCCCAUUGAUCUCGAAGUUCACCGGAGGAGAAUGACCUUCAACAAGCUUGGCAAAGACAGGAGAGCACUGCAGCACGUUGAUGUCAUUGUGAGUUCCUGGCAUACCAAAGAAGGAGUGCCAAAUCCAGAGAUCCUGUGUGGCCACCGCCUCAAGUACCACACUGCAACCGUCUUUGGUGCCUUUGUACAUCCCCUGCCAAGCAAAUGGGCAAUUCUUCCAUUUCCAAUGCAUGCAGUCGACGCUUCCAAGCAUCCCAGGAAAUCCUCUUGCUGCAUUCUGUGCUAGGAUCCGAGAAGUGUCUUCCGCAUUGGGUGUUCUCCAGUACUGCGGUCCAAACACGGCCACCACUGUCCGACAGAACUUGUAGAAACACUCUAUGCUGGUGGACUCGGCCAUGCACCCAUAGUCGUCGAAUGAAUCACUGGGAGCUCUGUAUGCAAGCAUCCUCAUCGCUGUCAUGCAGUUCUGAAUGGAGGUGAAUCCAAGGGCGCCGGUGCAAUCCAUCUUGCACUUGAAGUAGUUGUCGAACUCCUGGAUGGAAUUCACAAUCCUGAGGAAGAGCUUUCGGCUCAUCCGAUAACGGCGCCGAAAUGUUUUCUCGCCGUGAAGUGGAGCAUCGGCGAAGUAGUCGGAGUAGAGCAUGCAGUAGCCUUCGAGACGAUGCUGGUUCAUUGCUUUCACCCGCCCCGGCGCCGAGCCACCUCGCUGCAGCUUUUCAUUGCUCGCCAGCAGCUGGGCGAGGGCAGCGAGCAACAUGAGAUGCUCUUCUUCAUGGACGUCGGCCUCGGCUUCCUCCUCCAGCAGCGCGGCGAGCGCUUCCUCGUCAUCCGAGUCCAUCGCCGAGGCAGGCAAAUCGCCGAACACCUUGCGCCCGGCGGGCGUGUACCCGCUGCUAAACUGCCCCUCCGCGGCCGGAAACGGCCAGCUACUGUUGGAGGGGCUGCCGCGGCGAAGCUCUGCUAUUUUUCUGGCGGGGAAUGGCUAUCUAGCGGUGAAGGCCGGCGGCAGGCGCCGGGAUAUAGCUAGUGGCGGCCGAGGGCGCGGGGGGUGGGAGGCGAGUCGGGGAAGAAAACCUUGACUUUUCCCCUGCCAGUGUGGGCUAGCCGCGCUUUUCCCUUGCGCCGGAGCUCCCAAUUUCCCCUAGUGCGCCGGGUUUGGCCUGUGACCGCCGAGCGGAAAAAGGGGCCGAACCGGCGAUUUUCGGCGUCCUGGGGGCGCGAGUGGGGCAUUUUUUUUGGCGCCGGCGGCGAAAAAGUGGCCUGGGGGCCUGUUGGGGGUGCGGCCGGAGAUGCUCUAAGCAAUUCAAUGAGUUCAUGAGGGAAGAUAAAAUGACUUCUUCAAAUUAAAGGAAGAGAGUUGGAAGUUUCAAAGAAUAAUUUGAAGACACUUUGAAGUUAUUUGAAAGUCAUUUUUCCAUUUGAAGUUGUUUGAAAUUCCAGAUAUCAAAUCCUCUUGGGAGUUAUUUAGUUUUAAUUCAAAUUAUUUUUCUCCUAAAAAUAAAUAGAUGGAAAUAAGGGUAAAAUGAUUCCCUUCAAUAGAAAAUUAGGAGAAAAUAUAUUUGAAAUCAUUUUGCUAUUUUAAAAAUGAUUUUUACUGAUUUUAAAUGCAAUAGUAGCACUGUUUGACUUUUAUGAAUAUUUAUGGAAUUUAGUUGAACUUGAAAAAUAAUUCAUCUUAUUGCUGCUAUUUUUCUGAGCAUUUUGGUAUAUAAUAUUCCUACGUAAUUUUUUAGUUAUUUUCCUAUGUUGAAGUUUUUUUUCUGCAAAAAAAACACGCGCCCGCCAGCCGGCCCACGGUCUACGGCCCAAGAGCCAGCCCGCACACCAAGCCGGCCCAGCAGCGCCCCAGGCCGCCCGAGGCCUUAUGCCUCGCUCGCCCACGCCCCUCUUCCCUUGCUCGCUCUCUCCCACCGCCGCUGCCAGUGGGGCCCGCAACCCUUCGUCCCUAACCUCCUGCUCCUCCCGUUGAGAUAGAGCACGCGUGUGCCGCCCGGAACUGCCGGCUGCUUCGCUCAGGAUAGAGCUCAUCCCCAGUCUCCGCAGCCUCUUCUCGCGCCUAUAAAUUCCUCCGACUCCCCUCGUUCGAUUCUGCCACUCCGCAAUGACCCACGCCACUCACAGCCACCGCCUUCGUCGUUUGGAUCUCGCCCGCCGGAGCUACCUGGCCGGUCCGUUCCCCCAUCCGUAGGACUGCCACGACCCGUUCUUCUUUGUCAAUUGACUCCCCGCGUCGAGGCGCAUCUGAUUGACAAAAUUUUGUCGCCUUGGUCGUACCAGAGACGACGCACCGACACGCCGCGCUCUCGCCGGAGCACCGGAGCUCCACCGCCUCCCUCUGCUCAUCGCUGGCCACCCCACCGCCCGCCGACCCCACCAGCACGCCGCCCACGCCGCGCCCGACCUCCUCGACCCCUUCAUCGCCGUUGCCCGCUGAGGACCGCCGGAGACGCCGUCGUGUCCGCCGUCCGCCGCCUGACGCCAGCGCCGCCGCCCCUGUUCGCCGUCCUCGCUCGCUGUGAGCCACUGACCCUCAGUCAUUUUUGUUGUUGUUGUUGUUGUAUUAGAUCGGGUAACCGUGGUUUUAUUAAAUCGAGCAGUUUAGUAAAAAAACCGGUCUCCGGUUUUCUUUUUAUUUAGCCGCGGUAGCCGUUUUAUUUAUUCAGUGGCCGUCUGCCGUUUAGCCUGAGCCGCGAACGCUUCUCAGUCACCCGGAAGCCGCCACGUGGCAAGGGACCUGGUCACGAAUAAAACUUUCACAAUUAAGUCCCUGAGAUUUCAGUUUAGCCUCUAAACUUCGAAUGGUUAUAUCUUUUUAACCGUAACUGCAAAUUCGACGAAACCAGCGGCAAAAUGUUCGUGUCGAAUAGUUUUAUCAGGAGAACCAACUUUGGAAACUUUUGGCCAAAUUCAAACUUGAACUUUAUUCAGAUUUGAAUUCAAACAUCAAAUGGCCAUAUCUCUUAAACCGUAGCUCCGAUUGGUGUGAUUCUUUUUGCAACGUGUCAUCGUAGCCAAACCCUACCACCUAGACCUUGUCACAAUCUGUCUAUGAUAGUUUUACUUUUAUGCCAUGCAUGCACUUUAGUACACAUCACAGUUUUGAACCCCAUGUCACAAGUUGUUUUGCACUUAGGAUAUUUCUAUGCUAGUUAACUGUGUUGAAUGUUCAUUUGGUUUUUCUGAGACUUUGUGCUUUGCAUGUUCUUCUUGGUUCUCUGAAACGAUUGCUGAGAGUGACGAAUAGUUCUAUGAAGUAAAUUUCUGAGAGUGGUAUAAUCUUCAUCAACUAUUACCAGGCAAGUUCACAUUUGACCAUUUUUCCAAUUACCUAUGUUUAUAUUAUGCACUUAGUCCUUUUGUGGUAGGAUUGCAUGGUAGGAUUUAUUGUUGCCAGAUGGCUAUGCCGCUACCUAGUAGUUCAUUUGAGGUAGGUAUGAUCUAUACAUCCUUGUCACCACCGUCUAAGUUUAUUUUUGCCUCUCUAAAUGUAGACGUGGUUUGGGAAGCGAACAUGGCGAGACAUGAGUGACAAAGUAGUAAUCAGGACUAAGACUUGUAAAUGAACUACCUGGGCGGUAUUUGGUUUGAAUGGUGGCCAAGUACAGUGGGAGCAUGCAUGGUUAAUCCAUGGUGGUGCACCACUAGUGGUUGGCCGCUCAGGCUCAAAGAGAUGAAUCGUAUUCUCAUGUCUAGAAGCUUAUGUGUGGAGCCACAAGCCAAUAUGGACUCUGGCUUAGUUGAGUAGUUAGUGUGACCCCUUCCGGGAUGGUCUAGUAGAUGUAGAAUGAUGUAGGUGUACCGGCCUAUCCGUGGGUUAAGGGGGCACAUUUUCGAAAGACUAUGUCUCGGUCAUCCUGUUCUCAAACGCCAGGCAGUGCGAGAACUCCAGGGGAGGCGAUCGAGUCUUGUGGGGAAAAGUGCGCAAACCUCUGCAGAGUGUUAAAACCUAAUCGAUUAGCCGUGUCACCGGUUACGGACAACUUGAGAAUCUAGUAGUGGAAAUGCUGGGAGAUCUCAUCACUCUUAAUUAAACAGUUGGGUUUUAAAUGAAACUUUGGGAAUGGAUUGAGUUGGGUUUGCCAACUCAUCCUAUGCUAUACUGUAGUAAUAGACUAAUAUCUUUUAUUCUAGGGAAAAACUAGCUUUAUGCAAAAACUAAACUUAGGGCUUUCCACCAGCCAAAUUGCAUGUACAAAUAGGUUCAUUAUUCUUAUGAUGUGACUUACCAAUACAUUCAAUGUACUGACCUACAGGGCUGCAACGUCUUAUGUUGCAGGAAUUUCUACGACGAGUAAGAAUUACGUUGUAGGGUUACGGUCUACAUUCAACUUGCCGUUGGCGUUGAUGGGACUCCGCACCCAUUCGAUUGUUUCCGCUGAGAUUUAUGAGGUAUAUAUCAGUUUUACGUUAUUUAUACAUGUGAUUGAACUUUGAUAUAUACAUUGAUGUACUAUGUGUGCCAGCAUACCGAUCCUGGGAUGGCACGGAUACACAGAUGCUUGACCGUUUGAGGUCGGGUUGCUACAGCAAAUCACCUAGAUCUUUCAAGGCAAACUCUGAGCUCAAAUCAUGCAGAAUGGCAUUAGUAGCACUUUGUGAUGAACUUGCAACUAUGAUGCAUCCACAUAUAUGAGAACAAAGAUAACUACUUUUCCCUUGUUAUAAAUGAACAAAGAUGUAUCAGCUUUGGAAGCACUAAAACCAAGACAUUUCAAUUGAGAGCUCAACCUGGAGUACCAUGCUUUAGGUGCUUGUUUCAAGCUAUAGAGUGCUUUGUCAAGCUUGCACACAUAAUGUGGUGUUUUCUUACUCUCAUAUCCUGGUGGUUGUCUCAUGAAUACGUCCUCUUCCAGAACACCAUGUAAAAACGCGUUCUGUACAUCUAGCUAUCUCAAGCUCCAUCCCUUGGAUACAGCAAUAGCUAACACAAAUCUUAUAGUUGCAGCUUUUACAACCGGACUAAAGGUAUCCUCAUAGUCUAUGCCAUAGCGUUGUUUAAAGCCCUUUGCAACUAGACGUGCCUUAUAUUUGUCAAUGGAGCCAUCUGCUUUCUUUUUAAUUCUAUACACCCACUUGCAAUCAAUAAUAUUUUUACCUCUCUGAUCAGGCACAAGAUGCCAAGUUUUGUUCCUCAUAAGUGCAGAAUAUUCCUCAUCCAUUGCUUUCUUCCUUUUAGGGUCACCAAGUGCAUCAUUUAGUGGCAUUGGUUCCCCUGAAAUACAUAGCAUGCCAUACCGUAUAGUACCAUCAGUUCGUAUUUUGGGAUUAUGGAUACCUUUUUGUAACCUGGUCAUAACUCGCAAGGGAGCUUCUUGUUGCAUGUGUACAGGAACAGGAUCCAUUAGCGCAGAAGAUCCGCCUCUUGCUACUGAAUCUGCUGGUGAUGCAGAAGAUCCAUCGGACACCGGCGCAGAAGAUCCAGUGGACCUUGGUGUGGCCCCCUGCCACUGGACGCCCAGGAAACCACAAGGCUUGCAAGCAUACACGAUCCGCUGCCAGGUUGCAUGCGCGCGGGACACGAGGAGGAGCCGACCACGCGACUGGUCCCACUGGGCCCACUGUCGGGUGACGCAUCGGCGUGGGAGUGGCCCUCCCAGGAAUCUCGGCCACUGCCGCCUUGUACGCGAUCCAAGAAAGAUCUGUGUGCAUGAUCCGAGGCCUACAAGAGCGCAGGAGUACCAAGGAAUUCAACUGAUAUGAUUACUCUACUUAUUGAUAUGCAAUAAUGUAAUAUGACUAUUAAGAAGCAUUCUGACUGUGGAGGUGGUUUCACACUUCUUACUACAACAAAGCUGAUUGAAGGAUUCCUCGGCAGAAACUAGAACGCGCACCUUCAAUAAUUGACGAGAUAAUUGGUUGUUGAACUUCAUGUUGAAGAUAUCUCAUGUAGGCCCAGGACGGCGCAUAUAGUUAGUUGAGGAGUUGGUUAGCUUAGAGAUAGACUAUCAUCUAAUUAAACUUUUGUAUCUCUAUCUCCUAAUCUCUUGUACUCCAAGUUAUGUAUGCCUACAUGGGAUAAGCCUCAUCUCAAUCAAUAAAUACCCGUGGCCCUCUCUCGUGGAGGGUAGAACGCUUCCGAUAUAUUUCCUAUAUGGUCAUCAGAGCUUUCUCUUCCUUCUCGUCCAAAAACCAGAAAACCUAGAUUGCCGUCCUUCCCACCAUGUUGUCCUCCUCCAACCCCCCGACUCUCUCUGGUCUUGGUUCCCAAAUCAGCGAGAAGCUCACCCCCGAGAACUACCUGCUGUGGAAGGCACAUAUCCUCGAGCACUUCCUUGGUGCCGGGCUCUAUGGCUAUCUGGACGACACUAUCGUCGAACCAGAGAAGCUCAUGGUCGCGAAGGACAAGGAUGGAAAGGAUCAAGCGGUCCCCAAUCUGGCGCAUGAUGCUUGGGUGCGGCAGGACCAACAGGUCCUUGGCCACAUCAUCAACAAUCUCUCGAAGGAGGUGCUGGUCUCGGUCGUCUCCAUUGGCGUGAGCUCUCUGGACAUCGAUGCGUAACAUGUUUGCCUCACAAUCUCAUUACCGCAUUAAUAAUCUCUGGAUUUCCCUGUCCAGUGCCCAAAAGGGCAAUCAGCGUCGGCAUACUUUGCUCGGAUGCGUAGAUAUGCUGAUGAACUUGCUGCUACCGGGAGACCUCUGCAAGAGGCUGAGCUCAUCUCCUUCCUCCUGGCUGGGCUGGACCUCGACUACAACCCCCUUAUCUCAGCCCUCGACGCCCGGACGGGGCCUAUCACCAUCGAUGACCUGUACUCACAGGUCUACAACUUCGAUCAGUGGGUGUUGCUGCUCACGGGAGGCGUGGGCUUCAAGUCCUGUGCGAACUUUGCCCAGCAUGGUGGGCCACCUCCAUCUCGAGGCUUUGGAAAGCCGAGGGAUCAGAAGAAGCAAGGUGGUGGCGGCGGCUACAAGAAGAAACAAGGUGGCGGUGGGCAUCCCUACUACAUCAACACCAAGGGAGCUCGCUCUGGUGCCCCUGGAGGGCCAGGAGGUCUAGGAGGCCCCGGUAGUCCUCCACCCGCCAACAACCACAAGGGGAACGACCCCAUCCAGUGCCAGAUAUGCAUCAAGUUCGGGCAUAGCGCCAAGGACUGCUGGUAUCAUUUUGAUGAUGAUGCCCUUGAAUAAAAAGUUGUUGCUGCCACCCAGUAUGGGGUGGAUACAAAGUGGUAUGUUGACAGCGGUGCAACCGGUCAUCUCAUCGGCGAACUAGAGAAGUUGACAGUCCGCGACAAGUAUCGUGGGCAGGGUGAAAUCCAUGGCGCAAACGGAUCAAGUAUGAGGAUAGAUAAUGUUGGUAAUUCAGUUUUUCAAACCCCUAGCCGUCCCAUCCAUCUUAAAAGAAUUUUACAUUAUCCUCAUUCCCAAACCAAUCUUCUUUCUGUACAUCGUAUUGCCUUGGAAAAUCAAGUAUUUCUUGAAUUUCACCCCUUCUACUUUUCAAUCAAGGACUAGGCAACGAGGAGAAUCCUCUACAUAUGUAGAUGCGUUGGCGGGCUCUAUCCAUUGAUUCCUCGCUUUAGGAGUUCAAAUAAACAAGUUCUUGGUCUCACCAAAUUAUCUUCGGCAAGGUGGCACGAUCGAUUUGGGCAUCCUUCUUUUGCUAUAGUUCAACGAGUGCUUAGGAAAAAUAAGCUCCCUUUUGUUGGUGAGCCUAGUAGUGAAAAAAAAUUGUGAUUCAUGUCAACGAGCAAAAAGUCAUUAACUCCCUUACCCUGUGUCAACUAGUGUUUCUUCCAAAGCAUUAGAACUAUUUUUUUCUGAUGUAUGGGGCAAGCAGCUCUUUCUGUUGGGAGACACAAGUAUUAUGUAAACUUUAUUGAUGAUUAUAGUAAGCAUACUUCGAUCUACCUUAUCAAGCAUAAAUCUGAUGUGUUUCAAGUAUUCCAAAAUUUCCAAGCACUUGUUGAACGAAAAUUCUCUAGCAAAAUAAUCUCUGUCCAAUCGGACUGGGGUGGCGAGUAUGAAAAAUUAAACUCGUUCUUUCAAAAACUGGGAAUUUCCCAUCAUGUCUCUUGUCCCCAUGCGCACCAACAGAAUGGCUCUGCAGAACGCAAGCAUGGACAUAUUGUCAAAGUUGGUAUUUCUCCUUGCUAAUGCAUCCAUUCCAUCGAAGUUUUGGGAUGAAGCAUUCAUCACUGCUACACAUCUCAUUAAUAUGUUGCUAAGCAGGGUUAUCAAUUUUGAAACACCCACCGUGUUGGGGAACGCAGUAUUUUAAAAAAAAUCCUAUGAUCACGCAAGAUUUAUCUAGCAGAUGCAUAGCAACGAGAGGGGAGAGUGUGUCCACGUAUCCUCGUAGACCGAAAGCGGAGGCGUUUAGUAACGCGGUUGAUAUAGUCGAACGUCUUCGCGAUCCAACCGAUCAAGUACCGAACGCACAAUACCUCCGUGAUCUGCACACGUUCAGCUCGGUGAGGUCCCUCGUACUCUUGAUCUAGUUGAGGCCGAGGGUGAGUUGCGUCAGUAUGAUGGUGUGUUGAUGGUUAUGAUGAAGUUACCAACGCAAGGAUUCGCCUAAGCACUACGACAAUAUGACCAAGGUGGAAAACUGUGGAGGGGGCACCGCAACGGUUAAAGAUCAACUUGUGUGUCUAUGAGGUGCCCCCCUCCCCCGUAUAUAAAGGAGGGGAGGAGGAGGAGGACCAGCCUCAAGGGGCGCGCCCAAGGGGGGGAUUCCUACUCCUAGUAGGAGUAGGUUUCCCCUUUCCUAGUCCAAGUAGGAGAAGAAGGAAGGAGAGGAAGAAGAGAAGGAAAGGGGGGCCGGCCCCCUUAGCCCUAGUCCAAUUCGGUUUGGGCUACGGGAGGUGCGCGCCACCUCUUGUCCUACCUCCUCUCUUCCACCACUAGGCCCAUAAGGCCCAAUAACUUCCUGACGGGGGUUUCGGUAACCCCCGGUACUCCGAAACUUAUCCGAAACAACCCGAACCAUCCCAGUGUCCAAAUGUAACCUUCCAAUAUAUGAAUCUUUAUGUCUCGACCAUUUCGAGACUCCUCGUCAUGUCCAUCAUCUCAUCUGGGACUCCGAAAAACCUUCGGUACAUCAAAUCACAUAACUCAUAACACAUAUCGUCAUCGAACGUUAAGCAUACGGACCCUACGGAUUCGAGAACUAUGUAGACAUGACCGAGACUCAUCUCCGAUCAAUAACCAAUAGCGGAACCUAGAUGCUCAUAUUGGUUCCUACAUAUUCUACGAAGAUCUUUAUCGGUCAAACCGCAUAACAACAUACGUUGUUGCCUUUGUCAUCGGUAUGUUACUUGCCCGAGAUUCGAUCGUCAGUAUCAUCAUACCUAGUUCAAUCUUGUUACCGACAAGUCUCUUUACUCGUUCCGUAAUGCUCAUCCCGUGACUAACUCAUUAGUCACAUUGCUUGCAACGCUCAUAGUGAUGUGCAUUACCGAGAGGGGCCAGAUAUACCUCUCCGAUACACAGAGUGACAAAUGCUAAUCUCUAUCUAUGCCAACUCAACAAACACCAUCGGAGACACCUGUAGAGCAUCUUUAUAAUCACCCAGUUACGUUGUGACGUUUGAUAGGACACAAGGUGUUCCUGCGGUAUUUCGGACUAGCAUAAUCUCAUAGUCUGAGGACCAUGUAUAAGUCAUGAAAAAAAUAAUAGCAAUAAACUAAAUGAUCAUACUGCUAAGCUAAUAGAUAGGUCUUGUCCAUCACAUCUAUACGGUUUUUUCUUUUCUUGAUUAAUACUCCCUCCGUCCCAUAAUAUAAGACAUUUUUUGACAUUACACUAGAGUCAAAAAACGUCUUACAUUAUAGGACGGAGGGAGUAGUAUUUGUUUUAGGAUACUUGCAGGUGUUGGAAGAGAACUACUAGGUUGUUGUCCAAGUCGCUGCUCACAAAUGUGUGACGCCCGCCCCCAUGCGUGAGCCAGCGCAACCAGAGGCGGCGGACUACCAACGAAACCUAACAAAUUAACUGGCCACAUGUGCCAGACGGUUCCCACGGGUGCGAUGCCUGCCCCCACCUGCAAGCCAGAGGUCGGCCCUACGCAUGAGCCGGCAUAGGUGUACAUGACGCACGCACUAUCUGUUGUGAUCGGACCAGCUCGGCGCAUUGCCAGCGGAUGCCGACGGCAAAAUUUAAUGUUUUGACCCUUUUCUGAAACCUAUUAAAGAUCUGACCCUAGGCAGCAGAAGACAUCCUUCAAAUUGAUCACAAUCUUCUUACCCCAACUGAGAUCGAGGCUUUCAAGAUGAUUGAGUUAUCCCGUAUACAAAACAAGUAUGUCACACGUGAAAAUAUUUUGUUGAAGGAGCAUAUCAUUGCACUCAAGGGCAUUAUCCGCAAGUUGGAGGACGUCCUACGCUCGAUGUGCGACUAUCCAUCAUCAACAACUCCACCUUAUUCACAAACAAAGAAGAACUGAGUAUCUGGUAUGGGCACUCCACUUGGCAACUGCCAAGCUUGGGGGAGUGCCCCGGUAUCGUAUCACCAUCACUUCUAUCUUUACCGUUUUCCUUAGUUCGAUCCUUUUGAUAAUAUUUUGAUCUAGUAGAAUAAAACUUUUUAGUAUGAUCUAGUUGUGAGUUUUGCUUUAUGAUCCUUCUAUGUAAUCGAGUCCGUGAGCUAUAUAUAAUAAAGAUUAGUGUUGAGUCAAGGACUUGAUUAUUUUGCCAUAAUCUUGAGUGAAUAAAAGAAAAGAGAAGAAAUAAAAAGAAACAAAGAGAUCAUAUGGAUCUUAUGGAGAGUAAUGAGCUCACAUAGAAAGAGUAUGAUGAAUAAAAGUUGUUGAGAGUUGACAAACAUAGUUUCGGUCAUCGUUGCAAUUAAUAGGAAGUAAUAAAGAAAGAGAGGUCUUCACAUAUAAAUACACUAUCUUGGACAUCUUUUAUGAUUGUGAGCACUCAUUAAAAUAUGACAUGCUAAAGAGUUGACGUUGGACAAGGAAGACAACGUAAUGGGUUAUGUUUUCUUACAUCUGAGAUAAAUUAUAUUGUCAAGGAUCAUCCAACAUGAUUGAGCUUGCUUUUCCCCCUCACGCUAGCCAAAUUCUUUGCACCAAGUAGAGAUACUACUUGUGCUUCCAAACACCCUUAAACCAGUUUUGCCAUGAGUGUCCACCAUACCUACCUAUGGAUUGAGUAAGAUCCCUCAAGUAAGUUGUCAUCGGUGCAAGCAAUAAAAAUUGCCCUCUAAAUAUGUAUGACUUAUUAGUGUGGGAGAAAAUAAGCUUUAUACGAUCGUAUGAUAUGGAAGGAAUAAAAGCGACGGACUGCAUAAUAAUGGUCCAUAUCACAAGUGGCAAUAUAAAGUGACGUUCUUUCGCAUUAAGAUUUUGUGCAUCCAACCAUAAAAAUGCAUGACAACCUCUACAUCCCUCUGUGAAGGGCCUAUCUUUUUCUUUUAUCUCCUACCUUGCAUAAGAGUCAUGGUGAUCUUCACCCUUCCUUUUUACAUUUUAUCUUUUGGCAAGCACAACAUGUUGGAAAGAUCCUAGUAUAUAUGGAUAAUUGGAUGUGAAUUUUCAUGAACUAUUAUUGUUGACAUUACCCUUGAGGUAAAACGUUGGGAGGCAAAACUGUAAGCCCCUAUCUUUCUCUGUGUCCGAUUAAAACUCCAUACCCAUAAGUAUUGCGUGAGUGUUAGCAAUUGUGGAAGACUAUAUGAUAGUUGAGUAUGUUUACUUGCUGAAAAGCUCUUAUAUUGACUCUUUCCUAUGUUAUGAUAAAUUGCAAUUGCUCCAAUGACUGAGAUUAUAGUUUGUUAGUUUUCAAUGAAGUUUGUGAUUCAUACUUGAAAUUGUGAUUGAAUUGUUACUCUAGCAUAAGAGAUCAUAUGACAAGAAUUAUAUAAGUUGUUGUUUUAAGAAUGAUCAUAAUGCCCUCAUGUACGUAUUUUAUUUUUAUCGACACCUCUAUCUCUAAACAUGUGGACAUAUUUUUCGAUUUCGGCUUUCGCUUGAGGACAAGCGAGGUCUAAGCUUGGGGGAGUUGAUAUGUCCAUUUUGCAUCAUGCUUUUAUAUUGAUAUUUAUUGCAUUAUGGGAUGUUAUUACACAUUAUGUCACAAUACUUAUGCCUUUUCUCUUUUAUUUUACAUGGUUUACAUAAAGAGGGAGAAUGCCGGCAGCUGGGAUUCUGGGCUGGAAAAGGAGCAAAUAUUAGAGACCUAUAGUACACAGCUCCAAAAGUCCUGAAACAUCACGGAAGUUCCAGAGGGAGGCCACACCCUGGCCACGAGGGUGGGGGCCAGCCUUACCCCCUGGGUGCGCCCCCUGCCUCGUGGGCCACCUGGUGGCCCUCCGAUGCCCAUCUUCUGCUAUAUGGAGUCCUUCGAUGAGAAAAAAAUGAUAAGCAAGCUUUCGGGAUGAGACUCCGCCGCCACUAGGCAGAACCUUGGCGGAAUCAAUCUAGGGCUCUGGCAUAGAUAUUCUGCCGGGGAAAGUUCCCUCUAGGAGGGGGAAAUCAUCGCCAUCGUCAUCACCAACGAUCCUCUCACUGGGAGGGGGUCAAUCUCCAUCAACAUCUUCACCAGCACCAUCUCCUCUCAAAACCUAGUUCAUCUCUUGUAUCCAAUUCUUGUCUCUAAGUCUGGGAUUGGUACCCGUGGGUUGCUAGUAGUGUUGAUUACUCCUUGUAGUUUAUGCUAGUUAGUUUAUUUGGUGAAGAUCAUAUGUUCAGAUCCUAUAUGCAUAUUAAUACCCCUCUGAAUAUGAACAUGAAUAUGCUUUGUGAGUAGUUACGUUUGUUCGUGAGGACAUAGGAGAAGUUCUGCUAUUAGUAGUCAUGUGAAUUUGGUAUUCGUUCGAUAUUUUGAUGAGAUGUAUGUUAUCUCUCCUCUAGUGGUGUUAUCACUACAAAAAAAACAAACAUCCGUGACAUUUUGGGCCGAAUGAAAAAAAUUUCUGUCAUACAUAUGACACUUCUAUGACGAUAAUUGUGACAAAACCCGGUAUCAUCAUAGAUGUGGUGGGAUCCUACUUCUAUAACAAUAAAUCUUGACAGAAAAUGGGUUUUCCUCCUGGGCAGGCCAGAGACGCAGCUGCAUGACAUUCUUUGGGCCGUCCAUGACGGAAAAAACUGUGGUAGAAGCGAGGGGGAGGAAAAUUUCGGGGAGUUCCCGGUUACGGUGGGAGGUCGGGGGCCGAGCGAUGCGCAUUUCUCUCGUACACGUACGCACGUGUGUGCGAGGCGUUGGCUCUAACUGAACCCGAGCGAUUGCACUGCAGGCUACGCGUUACUGAACCCGAGCGAUCGAUCGAUGGCUGUUAACUGAACCCGAUCGAGCGAUUCCUUCGCUACUGCUGCUAACUGAAUCCGAUCGAUGGGAUGAAUAGUGAGCGUUGCAGGGAGGGUUGGAUGAACAGUGAGCGGUGGCGUUGCCUCUGGAUGAACAGGACCCCGUGGUGUGGUGGAGGGCUGGAUGAACAGUAGAUGGUGGAGGGGUGCCCGUGGAGGGGUGAUGAACAGGACCAAGUGGUGUGGAGGGCUGGAUGAACAGUAGACGGUGGANNNNNNNNNNNNNNNNNNNNNNNNNNNNNNNNNNNNNNNNNNNNNNNNNNNNNNNNNNNNNNNNNNNNNNNNNNNNNNNNNNNNNNNNNNNNNNNNNNNNNNNNNNNNNNNNNNNNNNNNNNNNNNNNNNNNNNNNNNNNNNNNNNNNNNNNNNNNNNNNNNNNNNNNNNNNNNNNNNNNNNNNNNNNNNNNNNNNNNNNNNNNNNNNNNNNNNNNNNNNNNNNNNNNNNNNNNNNNNNNNNNNNNNNNNNNNNNNNNNNNNNNNNNNNNNNNNNNNNNNNNNNNNNNNNNNGGAUGAACAGGAGCCCAUGGAGGCUGGAGGAGGUCGACGGUGGAGAUGAACAGUAUACCGUGGUGUCCCGUUUUGCGGUACGCCACACCCCUCCCGGUAAACAGGACCCCCGUUUCGACCGUAGCGCUCCAACACAAGUCAGUUUCCUCCAUUUUGCGGUACGCCACACCCCUCCCGAUCAACAGGACCCCCGUUUCAACCGUAGGAGGUCCGUUUCCUCCGUUUUGCGGUAUGCCACACCCUCCCGAUCAACAGGACCCCCGUUUCGACCGUAGGAGGUCUGUUUCCUCCGUUUUGCGGUACGCCACACCCCUCCCGAUGAACAGGAUCCCGUUUCGAACGUGGCCGGUUGAACACAAGGCCGUUUCCUCCAUUCUGUGGUACGCCAGGCCUCGUUUCCAUCGCCUAUUCCGUCCAAGCCCUCCCGAUGAACACAACGCAUUCCGUUGCCUCCCCAUGAACACGACGCAUUUCGUUGCCUCCCCAUGAACAUGACACAUUCCGUUGCCUCCCCAUGAACACGACGACGACGCUGUUUCUCCGUUCCGACCCAGCCUUGUACAUGAGCCCUCGUCGUACGUAUGCGCGAGUAGGCGUUCGAGACCCCACCCGUAUGUACACAUACGUGGCCGUAUUUUCUUUCUUGCACCCUGACCGCUGUACGUACGUGUACAUGCUAUGUGCGCGCCUCUACUACGACACAUGCGCGCCUCUACAUCGACCAGUAUAUAUGUACGUACACGUUCGCGACCAGAAUGACAACUCUACGUACGCUUCGACCAGGUAGGUCCCGACUGUCAGGCACUUCCUUGCGUGCGAAGAUGUAGCUGGUGGGUCCCAGCAGUCAAGGCACUACUAGGGAAAAGCCUAUACACAGAAUCUUACCAGCAGCGCGCUUUAAAAUCAGGCGCUGCUGCUAAGUAGCAGUAGCGCGGGUUUUUAACCCUCGCUACUACUAAGUUGAUAGAAGUAGCGCUGGUUUUUGACCCUCGCUACUACUAAGCGGUCUCUACCGUGCCCCCCGGGACAUGCCAUAGUAGUAGCACGGGUUUUUAACCCUGGCUACUACUAAGUUGAUAGCAGUAGCGCUGGUUUUUACCCCUCGCUACUACUAAGCGGUCUCUACCGUGCCCCUGGGCCAUGCCAUAGUAGUAGCGAGGGUUAUAAACCCGUGCUACUACUAAGUUUUUACCCCUUGCUACUACUGAGGGGCCUCAACCGUGCCCCUCCGGGACAUGCCAUAGUAGUAGCGAGGGGUAAAAUCCCUCGCUACUACUAAAGGUCCCAUUUUAAAACUCUACCCCCCCCCCUCGGUGGAUCGCCUUUUCGGUAUUGUAAAAAGCAAUAGAAAAUGAUAAAAACUUCAAAAAUUAAAAUCAUUCGAGAUGUAAUUAUGUUACUACAUAUACUAGUUAGGAAAAUUUAAAAACUUAAGUUUGGACAUGUUUUGCAAAAAGUGUAGGGAAAAUGUAAAACGGCUAUAACUUUUGCAUACGAUGUUAGAAAAAAACGUAUAAUAUAUCAAAAUGUUUCAAAAAUUAAAAUUGUAUGGCCCAGGCCCGGGGGCUCCUGUCGGUGUACUAGAGUAGGGGUACCCUAGUAUCCCGAACUUGUGCACGGGCAGUCGCAGCAUCCCGCGGCAAGGCUUGCCGGGUGACCGCCAAGAUCCUCCGUGGUUCCUUUGGAGCCAUUCAAGAACAAAGUGUCCAAGUCAAGAAGACAAGACCCCGGCAAGAGGAGCUUGCCGGGAAGACCACUUAAGGCAUUUCAAGGAACUUGCCGCGGUGCACCACGUGUUCCGGCAAGACCCGGUGAGCGACAAGCUCCCGGACGCGACAAGACAACGACCGCGGCAAGGCGCUUGCCGCGGCAAGCCACCUCUGCGCGCCCGCGCUCCAGCACAUCCACCAACGUGUCGCUCUGGGGCCCUUCCAGGCGUAUGUGGCGGAAGGCUGUGCAGCUAGGGACGUGCGGUGGCAAGCGGCGCUGACAAGAUCACCAUCGUGGCGAACGGUGGCGUCCCUGGCGGUCCCUUUUCGCACUGUUUAGGCGACACAGACGGGCAUUUAAGACCCUUGUCCCCUGCCGUCAGGGUUAGGUAUGAUACACUGUAGCAGGUAGCUGUGCCUACCACAGCAUCUUUCCAUUUUUGCCCUUUACCUCCGUUGCCACCUGUCGGUAGCCUCUUGAUCAUAUAAAAGGAGGCCCGUGUGCAACGUAGAGGGGGGUUAGCCAGUUCGAACAUUCGCGCUCCCGAGCUAGAAAUCAAUACAAAACCACAAAGCAGGAGUAGGGUUUUACGCAUCCGUGCGGCCCGAACCUGGGUAAAUCGCUCGCGUGCUUUGCCUCGAUUUGCUCUUUGCACGAUCUCCGCCCCCGCCGAACCGAAAGGGACCCGGCCCGCCGGUCCCAUAGGUGCCCGUGGAUCAGCACCCCGGCAUCCUUGCCCGUGCACAAGUUCGGGAUACUAGGGUACCCCUACUCUAGUACACCGACAAGAGCCCCCGGGCCUGGGCCAUACACGGUGCCGAGUGCUGUUGGGCCAGGCCCAAAACAGGGCACGGGCACGCACGGCCUAGGUUACGCCGUAUCUCACUCCGUAUCCACCGCGCCCUCCCCAAACGGCACGCGUUGCAUGCGGCGUCGUGGGAGAGGUCGUGGGGGUUUCUUUAUUCGUAAAUGCGGAACGUCCGCCCCCUCCCCCCUUUAUAAGCAGGGGAAACAGGGGCAGUUGGCCCACUCGCCCGUUGCCGUUCCCAAUCUCAGGAAUCUCCGCCGCUCCCUUGCCUCCCCAAAGCUGAGAGUGAGAGCAGCGCUCCACCCCCCAUCGCCACUAGCACCACCAACGCCAUCGACCUCCUCCACUACUUCCGCCAUGGCUCCAAAAGCCGACAAGGGAAAGACCAUGAAGACGACCGAGGCGCAGCGGCUCGCGGCGCUGCGGAAGGAGCGGUCCGUUUUCCCCCCCAAGCUCGGCGCGAAGGAGCUGAGGGAGAACUACUAUGGUUCUGGCCGGCGGAGACGCGCGCGCAUCCGCGCACAAAGGUUCUCCCCGCCGCCGCUUGGAAGAAGGCUCCGAAUGGGUACCCCUUCUUCGCAUUGUUCUUCUAUUGCGGGCUCUGCCCGCCCUUCUCUGAUUUCUUCUGCGACAUCAUGAACACCUAUGGAUUCCAUCUCCUUGACUUCACCCCCAACGCCGUCCUGACAAUGGCAGUUUUCGCACACCUCUGCGAAAACUUUGUCGGAGUCCUUCCCAACGUAGCCCUCUUCCACCACUUUUUCAUACCCCGAGUAGAGAGAGGAGAGCCUCUAUCCGGCGGGAUUGCCUGGAUCUCAAGGCCCGGCAAGAAAGAGACUUAUCUGGAGGGAGAAUUCCGCGGCAAGUGGGAGGAGUGGAGAGCUGAUUGGUGCUGGAUUGACGAGGAGAGCCCGCAGCCAUUUACUGUCCGACGCCGAACCCCAGUAGCACGCGGCAGCGAUUGGAGUGACAUGGCUCCGGAGGACGCCAGGCUGAAGAUUGCCGUCACCAGGAUCCUGCGCCUGAGGCUUGCCGGGCUUACUGUUGGCGCUGUUGGCGCAGACUUCCUUCGCCGCCGCAUCGCCCCCCUGCAGGAACGGGGGAGGCCCACUUGGGAGUUCAAGAACGCGACAGACAUCAUGAGGCUGCGGCCAGGCCUCAAUUACAACUUCACAGUCCUGGAGCUCAACGCGAUGCUGCAGGAGCUGUUCAAAUAUGACCCCCAGCAUCCCGAGGUGUUCAGGUUGCCGGGGGGCGUCGUGCCUUUGUGCAACAAUUCCGCGCUCGACCGCAUCCGUGCAAUGAUGCCGGAGUGCAAGUCGCACGAGAUUGUGCCAACUUGGCAGGAGCCUGCAGACGAGGUCGUGCAGCAAUUCUUCGACGACUUGGUGGAAGUGCCAAUCCGCCUUGACGAGAAGGACGGCCUCACCCGUGACACCACGGAUGCGGAGAUGGCGCUCAUCGCCACUAGGCUGGAGGAGGCAGCGGCAGCCGCAGCCGCGGGCGAGUUCGGGUUCACUGUGGAGGAGGCCGAUGCAACAGAAGCGGCAAGCCGUACCGAGUGAGGGGAGCCCGCCGGCAAGAAGGGGCUUGCCGGGCAAGACGCCGAGCCGAGCGAGCCCGCCAAGGACACGAGCGGCUCGUUGCAAAUCGACUCUUCUUCCACCUCGUCUUCAGACAGCCCACCAGAAGCAGAGCCUCCAUCCCCAUGAAGAAGGCGUCUCCGCAAGGUUGGUGAUGUGGCGGAGCGGCAAGCGGGCCAACAGUCGCCACGCCGCGUGACACGCUCGACCACGGCAAACACCGUUGCCGCGGGAGCGCCUCAUGCUACGACGGCAACUGGAGCGGAGUCUAGCCGGACCAUCGCUUCAGUCCCUGCCGCUACUCACGCCGCGCCGACAGCCGGAGCGGGGUCGUCUCAGACCGCCGCCACUGCUCCCGCCAAGCGGCCAAGGGAAGCUUCUCCUCCGCCUCCUCGCGCCGGGCGCGCGCCAGGCUUCGACUUCUCCGCGUUAAGCUCCGACGAGGAAGAAGAAGAAGAGUUAGCUUCUCUUGUUGUACUUGCAUUUCUUCAACUCUUGCUGUUGGUCUUGUUCCUCACUUGCUUUUACCUGAAUCUGUUCCUCUUUAGGACUCUGGCCCAGAGAGCGGCAAAGAGAGCUAAGGCCCCGGUGAUCAUCAUCGAGGACGAGCCCACUGCGACAACAGGUGGCGCGCCUGAGACAACCUUGCCGGAGCCGGCGACUUUCCUCCAUGGCAGCCCCCAGCGUAAGUGUGUGAAUUAUUUUCCGGGGCGAGGCGCGCAUGGGUACUUGUCUUUGCUGAUAUCUGCUUGUUGACAUGUGUAGGAGCCGAGCAGCCCCACCAGGAGCCAAGGGAGAAUCCCCCGACAAGGGAGAAUUCUCCGGCAAGGGAAGGCUUCCCGGUGAGGGAGAAGUCUCCGGCAAGGGAGGGUUCUCCGGCGAGGGACGGCGCCAGCGGCCCCCCGACGACGGAGACCACGACCGUAGAGCUUGGUGCAGGUACUCCCCUUGCUUCAAAACUUCUCUUGGAUCCUUCUUUUCUUGAUCUUUAUGGGUUUCUGCUGGAUUCUGUUUGACUCUUCUCCCCUUUUCUGGCUGUCAGAUCCAUCCGCUGCGGAGCAGAUGGAGACAGAGGUCGCCGCCGAUGAAGCAGCCGGUGCUGGAGACGCCACCGGCGCAGAGGCCGCCAAGGCUGACGCUGCAGCAACUGGCGAGGAAUCUGGCGAUCGUACUGACGGCCCAGAGGCCGCAGGAGCGCCAGGCGCUACGCCGACCGCCGACCCAUCCGUCGAAGCCGCAGCGCCAAGUUCCAAGGAGCCCCAGCCGAGCGUUUAUUUGAAGGCCACCGACGACGUCUUCAUCAAUCUUCCCUGGGCAUCAAGCUCCAGAGCGCCGGUCGAGGGGGAGCUCUUCGACGGAGAAGUGCUCGCCUCCGCGGGGCUGAAGCUGGUCGACGCGCCAAGCAGCAGCAGCAACGAGCCCGAAGAAGAGCGGCUGCUACGCAGGUUGAUGUCGCUCUACCGCGUGCGACAAGCCAAGCUGGAGUCUCGCGAGGCGCUUGUUGCGAGGGCGGGAGCAGACAUUGAAAAGCGUGCGGAAGAGCUCGGGGGUUUCCACCGGGAAGCCCUCCGAUCCCUGGCGGAGGAGCGGGAGCAGCUCGCUGAAGCGCGGAAGGUCUUUCUCCUCGAGAAGGCUGAAGCCGAAGAGCGCCAGCGACAUGCCGCUGUGAAGCUAGCCGCGGAAGAGGGCGAGCUGGCGCAGCGGAAGGUCAAUCUCGACGCCCACGAGGAGGAGCUUGCCUCGCGCGAGGAGAAGCUUGGCGGAGCCCUCAAGCAAGCGGAGGACGCUGCCGCCGCCGCCGAGGCCGCCAAGGAGGAGUUGAAGACGAAGGUGGCGCGGCUGGAGGCCGAUCUCUCCGAGAAGGGCAAGGAGCUCAGCGUCGCCAAGGCCUCCAACGUGGAUCUUGAGUUGAAGCUAACCACUUUGACCAAGACUCUGGACAGCGCCAAGAAGCGGGAGGCGGCCUUGGAGGAGGAAAUCAAGGCCGACAAGGCGCUGCUGGAGAGCGCUGCCACCACCCAGAACACCUUCAGGGAGACUGUGACGCACUGGACGGAGAGUCUGGUGACCGCCGCCACAGAUAUCGACAAGGAGCUGGCGCAGCUGGGGAUGGAAGAUCUUGGGUGUCCCUCCGACGACAACCUCCAGCCCAGCGCCAAGCUCGUCCUAUUCUUCAAGGGCGUGGCGACGGCCCUUCAGCGACUCCGAGAGAGGAUCCCCAAGCAACUAGCUGACGAGUCGCGCGAGAUCUGCGCAGGAGCCCUCGAGAAAGUGUUGAUGAAGGUGGCCUUCCGCAAUCCGGGCCUCCGCCUCACCAACAUCCUCAGGUCCUUGCCGCCAGAAGCUGAUCUGGAAGAGCUCAAGGCCCUUGUCGCACCUAUUGUGGACAAGGUGAGCGGGAUCAAGCGGGUCGAAGGCGAUCGCGUAGAUUAGGCCGCUCAUUUCCUCUUUUCUUGUCGCUGCCCAUCAUGUCACAAAAACAAUCUGUUAGAGUUGCGACAAGCUAUCUUUGUAAUGUAACUUGAUUGUGGGCAAUGAUUGCAAUGUUACUCCCUUUACUUGAUUCCUCCCUUUGUAUGUUUUUGCCCUACGCUUUUAGGAAACUUGCCGGUGCAGGCACCUGAGCCGCGAGCGCUGAGUGCGGAACGUCAGCAGCCUGCUGGCGGUGCCGCUACCGGCAAGAAACCUUGUCGCAACUAGUUGCAGCUCACUUAAGUUGCUGAGCGAACUCGAAACAAAGUAAGGGCGCUAGCGGCUCACUUAAGUUGCUGAGCGGACUCGAAGCAAAGUAAGGGCGCUAGCAGCUCACUUAAGUUGUUGAGCGGACUCGAAACAAAGUAGGGGCGCAACUAGCUGUGAGUUGGUUCCUCCGCGCACAGGUUUCCCAUACAAAGUGUGGUCGUUCAAGGGAGAUAACUUAAAAUUUUAAAAAAUUUGAUUGCUCAAACUUUGGCAACUUAGCUUUUCUGUUGUUUGCUUCCUGGCAAGGCGAAACUUUCUUGAACGACGCCUGGCCCAUACCAUCCAUCGUCUUCUCCAUUCCCCCCCGGUAAACUUAUGGGCGAGGGGAACCUUGCUUUCAAAAGGAAGAAGAGACAAUACAGAUAUGGAGCUUUACGGCUCGUUAUUGCUUACCGUGGAGUAGGUGCUGCACAAAGUGUCAGAUCAUAUAUGCCAGAAAAUAGAAAGCAUAAAAUUGACAAAAUGUGCGGAGCACAUGAGCUUUACUUAUGCACGGGAUCUGCGCCCGGCUUUGUACAAAGGAUUACAUGCAACAGCGGCAAGACUUGUACAAAAGGUGGUUGCCGGAACAGGUUCCGACAACCACGCCUUACGGGUAAAACUUACGAAGAUGCUCAAUGUUCCAGGAGUUGCUCACCGGAAUGCCAUCUUCGGUCUCAAGGCGGACAGCGCCAGGCCUAGUGACUCGUUUCACCUGGUAAGGGCCUUCCCACUUCGGCGUCAACUUGUUGGAAUUCUUGGCGGACUAAACGCGCCGAAGAACAAGGUCGUCUUCCUCGAGACUUCUGGUGUUAACUUUGCGGCUAUGGUAGCGGUGCAAAGCUUGCUGGUAGCGAGCAGCUCGCACAGCAGCCUGAAGACGGUCUUCCUCAAGGAGCAGCGCGUCAUCUUGUUGCAGCCGCUCUUGCUCGAGCUCAUCAUAAGCGAGCACUCGAGGUGACCCGUAUACGAUUUCUGUGGGGAUAACUGCCUCUGCUCCAUAGACUAGAGCAAAAGGUGUCUGUCCAGUGGCUCGAUUUGGCGUCGUUCUGAUCGACCAAAGAACCACCGGCAGCUCCUCGAUCCAGUUUCUUCCGCACUUGUGCAGCCUGUCGAAAGUUCUGGUCUUGAGCCCGCGCAGCACUUCAGCAUUUGCCCUCUCCGCUUGACCGAUGCUUCUCGGGUGAGCAACAGAAGCGAAGCAGACCUUGGCGUACUGCGUGAAGGUGCAGCUCGUAAAUUGCGUGCCGUUGUCGGUGAUUAUCCUGUUAGGGAUCCCGAAGCGGCAAACAAUCGACCUGAAGAACUUGACUGCUGACUGUGCUGUCACCUUCCUCACUGGUUCCACUUCCGGCCACUUUGUGAACUUGUCGAUUGCAACGUACAAGUACUCAAAGCCCCCGACAGCUCGGGGAAAGGGGCCGAGGAUGUCGAGCCCCUAGACCGAAAAUGGCCAGGAUAAAAGGAUCGUCUAGAGAGCUUGAGCUGGUUGGUGUAUCUGCUUGGAAUGAAACUGACACGCUUCACACUUGGUUACUUGGGCAAUUGCAUCCUGGAGGGCUGUUGGCCAGAAGAAACCUUGCCGGAAAGCUUUACCGACAAGUGCUGUUGCGCCAAUGUGGUGACCACAUAUGCCUCCAUGUAUUUCUGCCAACAGCUUUUGUCCAUCUUCCCGGGGAAUACACUUCAAUUUCACACCGUUGAGUCUUCUUCUGUACAGUGUCUUGUCGACAAACUGGUACAUACUUGACUGCCGGGCUACACUCUCCGCUUCUUCUUGCUCUUCGGGAAGUCCUCCUGUCUGAAGGAAAUGGACAAUCUGCUGUGCCCAUGCUGGAGCUUGUGGCUCGACAACAAGGACUAAAGGCAAAUCUGCUGCUGCAGGAACAUCAGCUUCCACGGCAAGAACCUGCGGCUCUGCCGGAGCUUGACGUUCCCCGACAAGCUUGCCGGAGGAAAUCUUGUCGGGAGCUUCUGCUUCAACGGAACAAACCCUAGGGCUUGCCGGAGCAUCUUGUUCCUUAGCGCUCUUGGUGUUGAUCUUGGAGACUGCUGCGGGAAUAUUCGCUUCUACGGCAAGAACCUGCGGCUCUGCCAGAGCGUGACGUUCCCCGGCAAGCUUGCCGGAGCAAAACUUGUCGGGAGCUCCUGCUUCAACGGAACAAACCCUAGGGUCUUCCGGAGCAGACUGCUCCUCAGCACUCUUGGCGUUGAUCUUGGGGACCUUCUUGGCGGCGGCUUCGGGAAGCUCUGCCGGCAAAUAGUCACCAGAAACCAACUUCCUCUUCUUGCUCUGUCCAGUUGAUGGCGUUACGGACGGCUGAGUCAGCUUGAGCCCAAAGAUCCCUGGUUGCACAGGUAACUUAAGUGCGGCACACUUUGACAGGCCAUCUGCAAUGGCAUUCUGAGCUCUUGGAACAUGCUCCAUUUGUAGGCCGUCAAAGUGUUCUUCUAGUUUUCUCACUUCAUCGACGUAAGCUUCCAUCAACGGACUCUGAUAACUCUUGUUUACUUGGCGGACGACAAGCUGUGAGUCACCCCUGACAAUGAGCUUCUUGAUCCCAAGGUCUGCCGCGAUCCUGAGACCGGCAAGCAAGCCUUCAUACUCUGCAGUAUUGUUUGUUGCUUGCUCCUUGGGAAAGUGCAUCUGGACUACGUACUUGAGGUGCUCUCCGGUGGGUGCGACAAGCAGCACGCCAGCGCCGGCGCCUUGCAGCGAAAAGGCACCAUCAAAGUACAUUAGCCACUCUUUGCUUGCUUCUUUGUCGGGGAUGCUCGUUUCUGGAAUUUCUUCAUCUGGUGUUGGCGUCCAUUCUGCUAUGACUUCUGCCAAUGCUCUACUCUGGAUAGUUGAAGUGCUUUCAAACUUGAGGCCAAAGCUUGACAGUUCCAGUGCCCACUCAACAAUCCUGCCUGUCGCUUCUGGAUUCUGCAGUAUCCUCUUCAGCGGAAAGCGAGUGACAACUGUGAUCUCAUGUGCUUGGAAGUAAUGGCGCAGCUUUCUCGAGGCCAUGAGAAGCCGAAAAGCAAUUUCUGCACACCAGAGUACCUUGACCUAGCGCCCUGCAGAAGGGAACUGACAAAGUAAACUGGGCGCUGCACCAUCUUCUUGUGUAUCUCGUCGUGUAUCUACGCAGAUCCAUCUUUGUCGGGACCAGAGCUUGUCGCUGGAUGCGCUUGCUGCGGUUGCUGGCUCAUCAUCUGCCUCCCUCUCUUCUACUAACGCAGCACUAACCACUUGAUUGGUUGCCGCUAUGUACAGCAGCAACUUCUCUUGUGGCCUAGGUGCGACAAGUAUUGGAGGGGAGGACAGGUAUCUCUUCAGGUCUUGCAGCGCAGCCUCCGCUUCCGGAGUCCAUUUCAUUGGACCUGCCUUUUUCAAUAAUUUGAAAAACGGCAGGGCGCGCUCAGCAGACCGAGAGAUAAACCUGCUGAGAGCAGCCACGCAACCGGCAAGUUUCUGUACAUCCUUGACGCGCUUUGGUGCUUCAAUCUGCUCAAUGGCCUUGAUCUUGUCGGGAUUGGCUUCAAUUUCCCGCUGAGACACGAAGAACCCGAGAAGCUUGCCGGAGGGAACUCCAAACACACACUUCUCUGGGUUGAGCUUGAGGCUGAUCUUGCGCAGAUUUGCAAAGGUCUCGUCUAAAUCUUGAAUCAGGGUUGCUCUGUCCUUGCUCUUGACCACUAUAUCAUCCAUGUAGGCUUCCACAUUUCUGUGUAUUUGUGGCUCAAGAGCAACAUGGACUACUCUUGCAAAUGUCGAACCAGCAUUUUUUAAUCAAAAAGGCAUCCGUACGAAAUAGUACGUGCCACAUGGAGUAAUAAAUGCGGUCUUCUCCUCAUCCUCUUCUGCCAUGAAGAUCUGAUGAUAUCCUGAGUAUGCGUCAAGAAAUGAAAGCAAAUCACAUCCGGCUGUGGAGUCAACAAUCUGGUCAAUGCGCGGCAAAGGAAAUGGGUCUUUGGGACAAGCUUUGUUGACAUCGGUAAAAUUGAUACAAAGUCUCCAUUUCCCGUUUGCCUUGCGCACGACUACAGGAUUGGCCAACCACGUGGGAUGGAGCACUCCUCUGACAAGGCUUGCUGCUUCCAGUUUCUUGAUCUCUUCUGCAAUGAAUUCUUGGCGCUCCACUGCCUGCUUCCUGACUUUCUGCUUGACGGGCCGCGCAUGGGGACAAACGGCAAGGUGGUGCUCAAUCACUUUCCUGGGAACACCGGGGAUGUCAGACGGCUGCCAUGCAAACACGUCGACAUUCGCCCGCAGGAAAGCAACGAGUGCUCUUUCCUAUUUAGGGUCGAGCGUGGCACUGAUGGUGAAGGUACCACCAGUGCCGUCCUCCUUGGCGGAUACCUUCUUCGUCUCUGGCGAAGCUGCCAUCGUCUUCUUGCACUUGCCGGUGGAGCUCGAUGGUGCGUCCUCGACGGCGGCGCAGCACUCCGAAGAGGUGCGCUUGCCGGAGUGGGCAUCAGAACUCUUGCCGGACUUGGUCUUCUUCCCCCCGGGAGCUUCAGCGGCAAGUGGAUUGUGAUCUGCCGUGGCUGCUGCUUCCCGGUAGAUCUUGUCGGCACAGAUAAGAGCAUCCUUCUUGUCGCCGGGGACAGAAAUGACGCUUAUCGGGCCUGGCAUCUUCAGCAUGUUAUAUGCGUAGUGAGAGGCUUCCAUGAACUUGGCGAGUGCUGGACGACCAAGUAUCCCAUUGUAAGGCAAUGGAAUAUCGGCAACGUCGAAUGUGACCUUCUCAGUCCUGAAGUUUAGCUCGCUGCCAAAUGUUAUCGGCAGCGUGACCUUCCCCUUCGGCUUGCUCCUUCCCGGAUUGAUUCCUUGGAAUGUGCCGGUCUCUUCGAGCUCGCUGUCAGGGAUUUGAAGUUUUUGGAGUAUAGCGCAGGAGAUCAGGUUUAAGCCGGCCCCGCCGUCAACUAGCAUCUUGGUGACUUUGAGGUUGCGGAUAGUUGGUGAUACCAACAUCGGCAAACACCCGACCGCAGUUGUGCGAUCAGGGUGAUCCUCAAUGUCGAAGAUGAUAGGCGUGCUGGACCACUUCAGAAGCGUGCGUGAUUCGAUAGGUGGUUCUGCUGCAUUAACUUCCCGCACCCACUGUUUGAGUUGGCGGUGCGAGGUAUGCAGAGAAGCACCACCUUCAACGCACAAGACCUCUGUGGCUUUCUGAAACUCCUGCUCACUGCUCUCAACAUCAUCCAUGUCUUCGUCGUCAUCGUCGUCUUCAUUGUUGUCGCGGCCACGGGGAGAUCUGUCUCCUUGCCGCUGCUAGGCCUUACCGCGGCGUCCUCCUCGGCCGGCGCGCUUCUUGCCAGAUUCUGCAGCGCCACCUUGGGCCCUCUCCUUGUCUCACCGCUCAUACUCAGCCUUUUGCUGCUGGACAAGCUGCUCAACCUUUUUGCAGCUCUGGAGGUCAUGGACCUUGGUGCGGUGAAUCUUGCAGUAUUGCUUGUCGGAGCCGUCCUGCUUGUCGGCGGCAGCCACAGCCUGGCAGUUGGCGCAUGCGGCAAUCUCCUUGCCGGAGCUACCAACUUUGGCCUUCUUGGCGCCACCUUCGUUGCCGGGCUGCUCAGCGACUCGCACCUCUUUGCUGUUCUUCUUCCUGUUCCGCCGCCGGUUCUUCUUUGCCGGGGCAAUAUCGUCACUGUCAGAUCCUUCUGCUCCCGUCUUCUCUCCGCGGAGUCUCCUCCCUUCCUUAGCGCGUGCACACUUGUCGGCCAGGGCAUAUAGCUCACUGACGUCUCUGAUCCUGCACAUCACCAUCUCCUCCCGCAUCCUGCGGUUACGCACGUUCUGAUGAAACGCGCUGAUGACCGCGGUGGGGUGGACGUCUGGGAUGUUGUACUGUACACGGCUGAACCUCUGAAUAUACUUGCGCAGGGGCUCUCCUUCCUUCUGGACGAGCAGAUGAAGAUCACUCUCUUGGCCAUGAGGUUUGUGGCCGCCUGUAAAGGCGCUGACAAACUGAUGGCAUAGAUCAGCCCAGGAGGAUAUGGAGUUGUCCGGCAAAUGCAUGAGCCAGGACCUGACGUUGGGCUUGAGCACCAACGAGAAGUAGUUGGCAAGGAUCUUGUCGUCCCGCCCCCCAGCAGCCUGCACCGCGAUGGUGUAGAUGCUGAGGACCUCCGACGGAUGCGACUUGCCAUCGUACUUCUCUGGUACAUCUGGUUUUAAAUUCUUCGUACUGGGCCACUGGACUUGCCGCAGCUCACGAGUGAACGCAGGGCAACCUACCGCGUAUGGCAAGUCGCCUGGUUCCCCUGGCGCAUGCAUGUCAACAGAGGGCCCAGCGCGCUGGUCUUAUUGACGCCGCGCUUCUCUCCGGCGCUCGAUGCGAGUACGAGCGUCUUCUUGUUGUCAUUCUUGAAGAACUUGGCACUGAUCGCGACGAGCUUGCGGAUCUGAUGACGCGGUGGAGUCGCUGUCGAGGUGGACCCGGCGAGUCGGCGAUCUUGGCCUUCGGGGUGGAGAGUGCACAGUAGUUGCACGCCCACCAGUCUUGUCGUCUCUGGCUCGUGCCUGGCUGGCUUGCCGCGGCUGAGACGUGCUCGGCUGCCGUGGAGUGUCGCCGUUGGCGAAGCCGAUGAGACUCUGGAUAGUGGCCCUCCAGUCGUCGAUCUUGUCCGCCGCUGGAGGGUAGUCUAGGAGCAGCUGAGCUCGCGCCAAAGCUUCUGCUGCGGUGGCGGGUGGCGGUGGCGAACGGUGCGAGGAGCGGGAUAUGCUCGGACUUCUAACUACGUUAGAAGGAGCAGUAUCUUGUCCAGGCGACCGUGUCUCGCUCGCGCCAGCAGGUUGACGAGCAUGGUGGUCCUGAGCGCUCCGAGAUCCACCAGCUCGAUCUUGAUCUAGCGAACGCAUGGUACCGUGAGUACCAUGACGCUGCCGGUCCCGCGCCUCCUGAGAUGGGCGCGGUGCAUGCACGGACACCGAGGUCUUGGAGUGCGCCCGGUCAUUGUGGGAGCCGGCUACGCCGCCCAUGGGCAGCGCAGCCUUGUCCUGGGACCUGUCAGUACCGUGAGUUCCCUUGUCGACGCGUGUCCUUCCGCCGGUGCCUGCCCCACCAACCGGUUGCUCCGGCGGUGGCUGGCUCGACGCGGACGGAGCAGCUGCCUCCGAAACUUUCUUCUUCGGCGGCAUGUUGAUGAAGAUCUAGCUCGCGAGAACGCCGGAUCUGGUUCACACAACUUCGACGCCCCCUACCUGGCGCGCCAAAGAUGCCGGGGUCUUGUCUUCUUGACUUGGACACUUUGUUCUUGAAUGGCUCCAAAGGAACCACGGAGGAUCUUGGCGGUCACCCGGCAAGCCUUGCCGCGGGAUGCUGCGACUGCCCGUGCACAGGUUCGGGAUACUAGGGUACCCCUACUCUAGUACACCGACAAAAAUCCUUCGAGAUGUAGUUAUGUUACUACAUCUACUAGUUAGGAAAAUUUAAAAACUUAAAUUUGGACAUGUUUUGCAAAAAGUGUAGGGAAAAUGUAAAACGGCUAUAACUUUUGCAUACGAUGUGAGAAAAAAACGUAUAAUAUAUAAAAAUGUUCAGCACAAAAAUCCGCAUACGAUGGAGACCGCCUACGGCCUGUUUGCAAAUUUUUAGAAUCCUCAAAUUGUAAAAGGCAAAAAAGUUAUGCUCAAAUUUCAGUUUUUUUUAAUUUUGGUCAAAUCUGGUCAAACUAUGGACAAACUACUUAUUCAAGAAGUAUUAGUGUUACUAAAUAAUUAUUCAAGAAUAUUAGUGUUACUAACUAAUUAUUUCAGUUUUUGGAAUUUUGGUCAAAUAUUAGUGUUACUAAAUAAUUAUUGUUUUUUAGAACAAUAGUUUUGAACUCAAACAGCGAAAUGUGUGACUUCAUGCUCAAGCAAAACUCCCGAGGGUGAAUAGGAUUGACAUCUUACUGUUGUCAGGAAAACAACAAGUGCAGACUUGGAAUCGAGGGAGAAUAGAACCCGGAAGUUAAGCGUGCUCAGGCUGGAGCAGUCAGAGGAUGGGUGACCGUCCGGGAAGUUAGAUGAUUUGGAAUGAUGAGGGGUGAUUAGAGAUUAAAUUGAGCAGUGAUGAGGGUGAUUAGAGAUUAGAGGUUAAAAUAAUUCAGAAAUUUGAAAAUUCGCGCAAAAAAUUCGAAAAAAUUUCCACGAGUUAGUAGUAGCGCGGGUUUUUACCCACGCUACUACUAACGGAUGUAGUAGUAGCGCGCGUGGCACCCGCGCUGCUGCUAUACGUUCGCUGUAGAGCCUUAUUAGUAGCGCCGGCCCCCGCGCUGCUAAUAGGCCCAAAACCCGUGCUGCUGCUAGGCUUUUCCCUAGUAGUGAGGGGGCAAAUCGUUUUCUUUUGUUUUGCCCGGACGCACUUCCUUGCGUCCGAAGGUGUAGCUAGUUAGAUGAUUUGGAAUGAUGAGGGGUGAUUAGAGAUUAAAUUGAGCAGUGAUGAGGGUGAUUAGAGAUUAGAGGUUAAAAUAAUUCAAAAAUUUGAAAAUUCGCGCAAAAAAUUCGAAAAAAAUUCCGCGGGUUAGUAGUAGCGCGGGUUUUUACCCACGCUACUACUAACGGAUGUAGUUGUAGCGCGGGUGGCACCCGAUCUGCUGCUAUACGUUAGCUGUAGCGCCUUAUUAGUACUGCCGGCCCCCGCGCUGCUAAUAGGCCCAAAACCCGCGCUGUUGCUGGGCUUUUCCCUAGUAGUGAGGGGGCGAAUCGUUUUCUUUUGUUUUGCCCGGACGCACUUCCUUGCGUCCGAAGGUGUAGCUAGUGGGUCCCAGCAGUCAGGAGGGAAACGUUUUUUUCGUGAAAUACGGUGGCCCGUCUGGUGGUCCCCACUGUCAGGUGGAGGAAUAAUUAUUUUGCACGUAAUAAGGAGGCACUUCCUUGCUGCGGCCAUGGACCCAGGUGUCAGCCUCUCCACGUACAGUCCACGUCCGAUGGAAGUCGUUCCUUGACCACGUUGACCACGCCGCGCUUAGAGCACCAGGGUAGUGGACGACGGCGAGGCCUAGGAAGGGGACGAUGGGGAGCCAGGGAAGACGCGGCAGUGGAAGCCUGUGCGGAGAGGAGUACGAGGGUUCACUGGUUCGGCUACGGUGUGAGGCUGCCGUCGCCGCAGGGCCUGGCCAGCGGUGGGAAUAGUAGGGGCCGGUGAGGCCUCCGCGGCAGCACAACUGGCCAUGGGAGGCAGGAGCAUGCGGCACGACCGGUGCGGCUUUGGGCGGCUGGAGCAAGAAGACCAGAGGUUGAAGAAGCACUACGGCUGUUGGAUGGACAUCGUACGGUCACUGGAGCUAGAAUCGUUCAUAUUGACUAAAGUUGACAAAGGCCCCCAUCCCAGUCAACUUAGUAGGCCCACAAGUCAGCCUCCUACCAUGGUGGGUCCCAGCUAGCAGGGGGUAUUCAUUUUUUUGUGCGUAAUAAGGAGGCACUUCCGGUGGGUCCGAGCUCACAGCGGGGGGAACGUUUUUUUCGCGAAAUACGCUGGCCCGUACGGUGGGUCCGAGCAGUCAGGGGGGAAACGUUUUUUCGCGAAAUAAGGUGGCCCGUCCGGUGGGUCCCUGUUAUAAGGUGCAGGAAUAAUUAUUUUGCGCGUAAUAAGGAGGCACUUCCUUGUGGCCGCAUGGACCCAGCUAUCAGCCUCUCCACGUACAGUACUCUUCCGAUGGAAGUCGGUCGUUGACCACGUUGACCACGCCGCCCCGAGAGCACCAAGGCGAUGGUCUGGAUGACGGCGAGGCCUAGGAAGGGGACGACGCGGAGCUGAGGAAGACGCAGCAGCGGAAGCCCGCGCGGAGAGGGGUAUGAGGGUUCACUGGUUCGGAUGCGGUGUGAGGAUGUCGUCGCCGCAGAAUAACAGGGGGUGUGGGUGAGUGGAGGGAUGGCCUGGCCAGCGGUGGGAGUAGUAUGGGGGCGGUGAGGCCUCCGUGGCAGCACAGCCAGCCACGGGAGGCCGGAGUAGGCGGCACGACCGGCACUUCUUUGGGCGGCUGGACCAAGAAGACCAGAGGUUGAAGAAGCACUACGGCCGUUGGAUGGACAUCGUACAGUCAUUGAAGCUAGAAACGUUUAUUAUUGACUAAGUUGACAAAGCCCUUGGUACGCUCCAACUUAGUAGGCCCACAGGUCAGCCUCCGAAACAGUGCGCCCCAGAUGUCAGGGAGAGGAAUCAUUUUUUGGGCGGCCGAAGCUAAGAAUAUCCGAGAUUGAAGAAGAAGCACGACAUCCGUUGGAUAGACAUCCAACGGCCACUGCUGCUAGAACCGUACGUGUGUUGACUAUAAUAAGUUGGCAAAACCUUGCAUACGCGUCAACUUAUUUUUUUAGGGGACGCGUCACUUAGUAGGCCCACAAGUGUGUGGCAGAGAACUUAUAGCCAAUUUGCAUUUUGUAAGAAUGUACAACCCAUUUUGUAAUUCUAAUGGAAUUUACAACAGCCUAUUUACAGUUUUUUAAAAGUACAGCCCAUUUUCUAGCUAGGACAAUGAUUAAUAAUUUCAACCAACCGUUGAAGACAGAAUUCAAUAAAAUUUCCCACAUUUUGAUGGGCUCCGAAAUAUUUUUAUCCCGAAAUUUUUAGUCAAAUUAAAUAUAAAUUUGUAUUACGUAAAAAUCCAACGAAACAUUGCGCGCGCAACAAUGAAAAUUUAAGAUUUUCAAAAUCCAUAAAUAAUAUUUUAUAAACUAAUUUCGUGUUUGGUGCAUUUUUUAUAGUUACUGCCCAGUUUUUAUAAUUACAUCCCAUUUAUUAUUUUUUAAAGCCCAUUUUCCUGUUAAGCCUAAUGCAUCCCUCCUAGGAAAGAUUUGCAGCCCAGCGGGGUGGAGAAUAACAAGUUCACUUUGCCUGGGUAUUCCUCAAAAAGACGUAUAGCUGGGGUAGCCAUUUUCAUCUUGAAAAAAUUAGUAUCUGGGCUGGAUAUCUGGCCUGGGCUAGACGGGCCACAGCCCGCCCAGUUAAUACCCUGCUCUCCUCUGAACAACAACGAGAUCAUCGCCAAGAAAAACUCUGCAGUGCUCACGCCUCAAAAACACAAAUACUGCUCGAGCUGCUUGGUCCCAGCUGUCGGCCGCACCUUGUGCAAUUCUCUCGUUUAUAUUGACUACAUAUGUUGACAAUGGUGUGGGACCGUGAUGUCAGGAAACCAGGAGAAAGCAAAAAAAAAUAUAGUUCUACAUAAUAAGGAGGCACUUGCGUAUGUACGGCUAUGGCCCUAGUGUCAUCCAUUCAAAAUCUAGUCAUCUCCUGAAUCCUCACGUUCGUUGACGAUGUUAACAAUGCUCAGUGCCACGGCGAGCGCAACAACUCGAAGGACAACGGAGUGGGCCUCGCGGGCCCUACGGAUGGUCUGAUACAGCGCCCGCUACUCAUUCAGGAAGCCAGGAUCAUCAGACACCUAUGAGCACCUUCGAGAAACUGAGAUGGCAUGAAACGGUAAGGCCGCGCUUGGGAGCUAUGGUUUAUUUCAAACCUGUAUUAACAUACAAGUGUAAUUUACUCGUCAUCGAAAACAACGUGUAAAAUACAGGCGUAAUGAAACCGAGGGCCCGAGGUCCGUAAGUAAAACCGGCGGGUUACGCGUGUAAUUUGAGAGACCGGUGUAUUUUUAGAGCACUGCUAUAUGGACGACAUUACCAGACGAUACAUGCACGACGUGCGUAUCAUGCCAUCCAUUGGCAAAACUGAAACAGCAGCUAAUGGCUGGAUUAACAAUUAAUCGUCUGAGUGUCAUUCAUCAUUUUUAUCGUGUGUCAAGUACUUCCGAUAUUUUACUAGUCGAAAUCGCCAACCAAGCGCCUUCGCCCGAGACCAUAUUCUUUAAUUUACAAGCGUCAGUUUUACAAGCGGUUUUGGUUGGAAAACGAUGAUCCAAUCACGACCUAAUAUCAUGAGUUGGUCGGAAGAUCAUAUGGUUUCACGUCUAACCUACCCGACUUGUCGUAUAGGAUAUGAAUGAAACAUCAGACGAUGAACUUCUUAAGCAUGGAAACAACAGAAGAGGAUGAUCUUCUUAACAAGAAAAUCACUAGCAUUAGAUCGACAUGCAAAACAAUACGAAGCAUUAUUCUCAGGAGGCACGGUGAACAGCUCGUGAUGCUGCAUGCCACAACAUUCCAAGCUCGACUUUGCAAUCAAACACGGCCUGGCAUUACAUAGACAAUAUUCAGAACAAACUCUUACACAGGAAUAUCUCAGCGGAGUAACUAUUUACUUCUAAACUAAACACAGGAAUAGGAAAAAACACUUGAUGCUGCUCACAGCAAGGGCGUCCCACUCAAAAAUAUCAAAUGCAUGUCUUCUGGCUAACAUCAAUGAGCAAAUUUUGAAAAGGUUUUCCAAUUCCAACAUAUUAAACUAACGUCUUCUUGCUAACAUCAAUGAUUAAACUUUGACAAGCUUUUCCCAUUCAAAAUAUGUAAUGCCUAUGAUCGUGGAGUCCUGUCGCUUCUUGCUAACAUCAAUGAUUAAACUUUGACAAGCUUUUCCCAUUCAAAAUAUGUAAUGCAUAUGAUCGUGGAGUCUUGUCGCUUCUUGUACUUGUUUGGGCACUUCUUGCCCAGGGCACUCCAUGUGUUGUUAAAUUUCCAAUGGUCUCCGCAGACUAGUCAUGUCACCGGUGUCUAAUAUUUAUGGCACCGGGUGUAGCAAUGGAGGGAUUCGGUGUCAAACUAAGAAAAGGUGAAAUUGGAACCUCUUUUGGCCUACAUAGUGGAAGGCCUAAUACUCUGUAAAGCUUCUCGGUCAUUCCUUCUGUAAUGUAGCGCAAACAAUGACUACUUCUUUCUGCAAAGUGGAACGACCAAAUGGACCCAGUAAUGCAGCAGUUUGCCUUGGACACAUUGGCUCCUUUUGUGCAGUUGAUAUCCCUGUAAGCAACAAAAGGUAUGAGGGAAACAAUUACUGAGAAAUAAUGGUUGAUGACUUGUACUCCCAGAAGAAAAACAUCUACUGAUCUACCUUAUCUUAAUGGGAAACAAAGCAGGAGAGAAGCAAUUCUCAAUCAGUGUGAUUCAUUCAUAUUAACUGAGACAUUAUCUUAACAAUGCCUUGUUUCAAGAUGUAUAAAGAACAAAAAAGCAGAAAAGUAUCAUUCCUAAAACAAUGUGACUGAUUCUUUUUAACAGAGACAUUAUCUUAACAAUACCUUGGUUAAACAUGUAGAAAGAACUACAAAGCAGGAUAGUACCAUUUGUAAAACACUGUAUGUCUGUAACUGAUAUAUAAUAACAAAGACAUUAUCUGAACAAUACAUUUCUUAAACAUGUACUCCGGCCGAUCCCUAACAGAAAUGGUACUCCUGCCGAUCCCUAACAAGUGUUUGCAGUUUUGAACUAAGAUUCAGUUCCAGGGUAGAGUGGGCACAACAACAGUAUGUGCUUCCAUCUACCUAUAAUGGGGGUGAUGCAGAGUUUGUUGUAACAAAGCAACAAGCAUCAUGUCUGGGUUGGUUCCAUUUUUGUUCACUACUUAAUGGGAAAAGACAGCAAUACAAUAGCUUCAAUUCAACAUUUAUUUAAAACAGUACCACUACAAGUAGCACAACAUCUCAAAGCACACUGCACAAUCCUGUGGGUGAAGGCCUGUACUGACCUUUCAUGAGACCGACAAUCAUAAAAUACGAAUCUGCCAACAAGAAUAGGAAAUCCAAUCUUGUUUUGUGCAGUUGCACUGAAAUCAAGAAAAGUGUUUCACGUAGCGAAGCAAAAUGUCGCAAUAGCAACAAGUUGAAUAGAUAUCCAUGUAUAAACAGAGGCAAAAAAAGGAAUCAAUUACUAGCUAAUAAAGGAUGAUGAAACAUGCGGCCACAAAAAUGGUAAUCCUGCCAAUCCCUAACAAGUGUUGCAGUUUUGAAAUAAGAUUCACUAGUAAAUUCUGAGAGUGGCAUCAAUUACUGGCUUCUAAAGGGAGUGAUGCUGAAUUUGUUGUAACAAAGCAACAAGCAUCAUGUCUGGGUUGGUCCCAUUUUUGUUCACUACUUAAUGGGAAAAGACAGCAAUACAAUAGCUUCAAUUCAUCGUUUAUUUAAAACAGUACCAAUACAAGUAGCACAUUAUCUCAAAACACACUGCAUGAUCAUGUGGAUGAAGGCAAGUACCAACCUGUCAUGACGCACACAAGAUCACGUACGAAUCUGCCAACACGAAUAGGAAAUCCAAUCUCGUUUUGUGCAGUUGCACUGAAAUCAAGCAAAGUGUUUCGCGUAGCAAAGCAAAAUGUCACAAUAGCAACAAGUUGAAUAGAUAUCCCUAUAUAAACAGAGGCAAAAAAGGAAUCAAUUACCGGCUAAUAAAGGAGGAUGAAACAUGCGGCCACAAAAAUGGUAAUCCCACCAAUCUCUAACAAGUGUUGCAGUUUUGAAAUAAGAUUCAGUAGUUAAUUCUGAGAGUGGCAUCAAUUACUAGCUUAUAAAGGGGGUGAUGCUGAAUUUGUUGUAACAAAGCAGCAAGCAUCAUGUCUGGGUUGGCCCCAUUUUUGCUCACUACUUAAUGGGAAAAGACAGCAAUACAAUAGAUUCAAUUCAUCAUUUAUUUAAAACAGUACCAAUACAAGUAGCACAGCAUCUCAAAGCACACUGCACAAUCAUGUGGAUGAAGGCCUGUACUGACCUUUCAUGAGACGACCAACAUAAAAUACGAAUCUACCAACACGAAUAGGAAAUCCAAUCAUGUUUUGUGCAGUUGCACUAAAAUCAAGCAAAGUUGCCGGCGUGCCAUUUAAGUUUUCUAUAGCAACAAGUUGAAUAGAUAUCCCUGUUUUAAGAGGCAAAAAAGAAAACAAUUACUUGCCAAUAAAGGAGGAUGAAACAUGCAGCCACAAAAAGAAGCAUCUACCUUAUCUUGAUGGAAAACAAAGUAUAGGAUAGUAGCAUUUCUAAAACGGUUGCAUUGAUUCAAAUUAACAGAGAAAUUCUUUUAAAACAGAUCAGUAGUUAAUUCUGAGAUUAACAACAGGAAAAUAGCUGCAUGGGACAUGCCAGCACCAUGUGCGUCCACACGUAUAAAUGGGUGAUGCAGAGUAUGUAGCCAAGCAGCAUAUAUGCGCUGGUCCCAUAUUUGUUCUCUUUGAACCUUCUUCUUAUGUGAGGGCAGCAAAUCUAGUCGUGCACAAACUACCCGACCCCCCAGUUUCUUUCCCUUUUCAACAGAGAGAUUGGUUCCUUACAGAUGUGCGUACUGGGUUACCCCCUUUUUCCCUUUUCGACCUACAAAGUGGCUGGACAGCCAGUCUAUACUAGUUUCCGCCCCUCCUUUCCUCAUUGAACCACGUCCUAGAUUCUUGCUCCAGCCCACCGCACCCUUCUUUCCUCUUUGAACCAAGACCUAGAUUCGACUAGAGAUCGAAAAAGAUCCACAUGCAGCUAGAGCAACGACGGUUUCAAAGAAACUUAUACCUUAGGGUUGUCGGGAUAUGGCAAGGCGUGCGGCGGGAGGCUGGAUCUGCCCACACAUGCAGCUAGAAUAGCGCAGCCGGCAGUGGAUUGCCUCCCUCGCCGAAGGCGAUGGAGUGAAUGCUGCACCUCCUCCCCUUCCCGGUGCGACGGGAUACGGACGCCUCCUUCACUAGCUGUGAGGGGGGAGUGAGACAAGAGGCCAAUGCAGUCUUGUUUAGAUUUGGUGAAGAGAGGGUGAGAGACUGUGAAUAUAGCAACCCCUAGCGAAUGAACGCUGAGCCUCCAGCAUGUAACAUAUAUGUAGUGCGGCGAGUGUGUGGAGAGUGCAAACCCUAGCGAACAAGCGUUGAGGCCCUCGCUUAUAUAUAUACUACUAUAGUACGGACUGAGCUCCAGUGCCUUCACUGCACCUGCUUUUGGCUGUAUGACAGGUGAGCCAGCCACAUUUUGAGCCCACCUGUCGUAAAACCCUAGAGAAAAUUGCACCAACGUGCAAGACGACUGCGUCUCCAAUGCAACCAAGGUGAACUGACGAAGGAUAUCAUCUUUGUGCAUAACAAGCAAAGAGCAUUGAUGGAAGAUAGCUUGUUUUUCGUCGAAAAUCAAUCAGCUUCACCAGCCGACGCAACCAUGAGGCGCAACCAUGAGCAUCGAUAGGUCAUCGUGGUGAUGCAUCAUCCAUUUGGCAUCAAGUUUGGGUGAGGCACCUAAGAAGUUCGACAAAUCCUCAAUGUGGUCUGUUUCUUCUCAGUAAUCAAGCUUGAGGAAGGAAGAACCACGUGGCAGAGGACAGUGAGGCGGAACAACAAUGGCCAUCCAAUUUUGUGCAAUUCCACUAAAAUUGAGGAAGACAUGCCCGGGUAUGGAGACACGCAUCGCUGUUUCCAAAAAUAUAAAAAAGGGUUAGAAACAAAAUCUCAAUUGUCAAUAAGCAUUAAUGAAAAGUAAACCAACAAACAGAAGCAUCAUAAUUAUCUUGAUGGGAACUAAACCAGGAUACCCGAGAAAAAAAGCAUUUCUUCAUUUAACCAGUGAUAGACCAUAUGGACAAUGACCGCACAACCACCAUGUACUUUUUGUUGAAACAACAUGUAUACCUCCACCGAGGCAUAAAUCAGGACAACUUUUUUAUUGGCAUUUCCUCUAUAAUAGUACUAGUAGGUGAUGUUGGACCAGCCGACGAACCCUAGCUACUAUGCAUGGGGAGCUGGGGAGUAGUCGCAUAGAAGAAAACCCGCACGCAGCAACCUGGGGAGCUGGACCAGUACAAGAAGUUAUACCUCAAGUGGGCGAGAUGUCGUUUAGGCGGGCGAGCGGGAUCUGCCCACACGACGGCAGCGAACAAGGGCGCGGAGAUUCUUCGUCCGCGCCAGCGCUGGCUCCGAGAGGACGGUGCGCAUCGGCUUCCUCCGUCACCGAUGGCGACAACGUCAAUGCUGCACCUCCUCACCUCCCGCAGCGUACGGGAUUUGGCCGGAUCUGUGACCACCGGUGAGGAGGGAGAUAGAGUGGGCACAGUCAUCUUGUUUUGAUAUGGAGAGGGUGAGAGAGCGAGACGUGAGAAACUCUAUCAAACAAGAGGCUAUAAUGGAGUAAAAAAAUCUCUCCAUAGCAGUGGUUUUAAAUAGAAUACGCGUGUUCCCGAAAAAAAGUAAUGAAAACUGGCAGAUAAUUUUUUAAGGGUCUGUCUAGGACACAUCUAGAUGUGACAUAGUUAUGUCACAUAUAAGUUGAUGUCCACUCUGUUUGUGGUCUUUUCCUAGUUUUUUUGUUUCUUGUUGCUACAAUAUAUACUUGUGGGAGCUUAGAUGUGAUAUCCUUAAAUAACAUCUAGAUGUGAAUUAGACAAACUGAUUUUCUAACGUACCAAGAAAGAAAAUUUGAUCAAAAACACGCCCCUGCUUCCAGGUCGCGAGAGUCGUCGCGCACACACACAUAGACAUAGACAUGCAUAUCCGUGUUUAUGUAAAAUUCCAUUUCCAUCUCCAUCUCCAAUCAUAUUUGUCCAACUGGCACAUUAUUUACGUUGUUAAUUAUAUACGCAGCAAUAUUAACGUACAACAUCUCUUGUUUGCACACGUCCGGACCACUGCCACGGCCGGCCCUGACCAACCCGAACCCUCUUCAUCACCCGCACGUGCUUCCCGCCCGAAACGGUCAGCCGCAUUCAUGCCCGAUCAGAGCGGACGCGACCUCUCACUAGCGCCGGCAUUGAAGCGGCGCACCGGCCGAGAGAGCGUCGCCUGUGCCGCUUCCGGGUGCACGCGGCUGCUCCGUGUUCAAAGGUCGCAAUAGCCGGCUACAACAUGCGUGAUCUCUUCCAGUAGUAAGUUCUUGGGAGUCCGUGAUACAGCUAGCUGUCCUCCCCCAACUCGGCAAUCUCUUCCAGUAGUGCUAGUACUCCAUGGCGUGAUCCAUCAACAAGCAGGCGGGAAAGUUAUGGUAUACUACUCGGUUUGCGGUGAGUGGCAUGCCGAGCGACCAUGUGGGGUCGAGCCGUGGAGGAGGGUGAGACACGAACACGACAGACGUGAUUUAAACGUUGGUUUUGCUCGAUGGCGCGAUCCAACGAAACGAAACGUUGGUUUCUCUCCGUUUCCAUUUUUUCUUUGGAAAAAUGGAAACUUUUCCACUCCAUUUUCAUUCCUAUUCCAAGGUUUCCCCGUUACAACAUUCCAUCAAAUACAAAGGAAAACUAACACGCAUGCUGAUGCAUCUCAAUGAUUCACAGAUCAUAGCCAAUAUUUACUUCACAACUAAAGAAAAAGUUGUGAGAGCGUGUACGAUAGAAAAACUAUUGAUGGGGUCACUACGACUUAAACCCUAAACCCUAAACAUGAUUUAAUUUCCUGGCUAGGUAGAACCUGUCGAAGGAAAGACGGCUGGCACCCUCGGAUCAUACGAUGCUUUUGUGCAGUUCCACUAAAAUCGACCCGAGCAUCCCUGAUGGCAAAGAUAUUGAAGAAGUGUGAUUAGAAUAAUAGUACUGGCACUAUUUCAUGAGACAUAAACUCAUCACAAGUAGAAGCCGGUAGAAGUAGAGAAAGAUCGACAUGGAGAUGGAGCUACGGCAGUGGAGCAAGUCGGCUCCAAAAGGAAGAUGGACUACCUGGGACGUCAGGUUGUAGCUAGAAGGGCGGUUGGGACGCGGCAUCGGCCCAUACCGCGGUGACCCCCGAUUGGGACGCACCGACUGUCGGUUUUCUCCCUCGCCGAUGUCGACCGCGUGUACGCAGAACAUUGUUCCCUUCCCCCAGCUGCGGGAUCAGGCCCGUCGUUCUAUGCUUGUGAAGAGAGCAACCUAAGCAAGCAGGCUUGUAGCUUAGGCUCCUGCUAGUGUAUAUAUAGUGGUUUUCUUUUUCUCUCUAUAUCAACCAUUUUAUAUUGCGUACGUGUCAUUCAAGAGUGAAAUGAUGGUUGCUUCUUCCGACUAACUUACUGUGUGAUUUGACUGCUCCUUAGUGGCCCCUACACGUACUCCCCCUACAUGUAUGCAACAGUCACACAUACACAUGGACGCAAAAACGCGCGCGACGCCCUAAUGCAUGCAUGUCCGAGCACAUGACGGAACACAAACGGUCACGCUCAAGUGCUCAACCUACACGUGCAUGCACACACAUACUCAGUCAGGGUGAUCUAGUGACCGUAUGAACACCGAAAAAUAUAUAUAUUGAGUGCAAUGAGCUUAUUAUGAAGUCCACUGGCCGUAUUUUUACAAAUAUACAGUGACAGACAGUGUAUUUAUCUCGUGUGAAAUUAAGCCAUAUUAACCGGAGAGGAGGCAUCAUGGACUAGCAUUACUUUGCUGUGUCCCAUCAACUUGCCGAACAAGGAGAAGGUUGCAGGACGGGAGAAGCUUGCGUGCGGUGGCUCGUAGGACAAGGAGAAACUUUUGACUAAUGCAAGCUCUCCCUCGCUCAGGCGGUGGACGUACAACAGUUAAUUCGGUGUCAGAUUGCCAGAAGCAUACACUGUACUACUAGUGCUAUUAAUGUUCGACUUCCCGAACAGCCAAGAGCAAAGUUUACUAGUACUACUACUAUAGUCCAUAAAGGUACGUACUAUACUAGUACUAGGAACCGGAUGGAGGAGCGUCUGCACUCUUAUUAUAAUUUUAAAAUGUGAUAAAGCAAUCUUCAACACAUUUGGUUCUCUUCGAGGGUUCUCGCAUGUGAUAAUGGAAGUUGAUUGCAUGGAACACCCGCCACAAUUCUUGCUUAAUUCUGGCUCAUAUCCUGUUACUAAUAGUAGCGCUCAGUAAUAUUUCCUCUUUUUUUGUUAUUCAGCAUGUAAACAGGUCAGCAAACCUGGCGGCGCAUCUUCCUGCGAACCGUGCUUGUUGCACUUUGAAUGUGGCCGAGAGCUGGCUUGAUGAAACACCUCGCUUCCUACUUCUUUUUUUGCGGGGUACCUCGCUUCCUAGUGACCAGUGUCUUGGCUGAUCGUCCUAAGAAUGCUUAUAUAUGAAUAAAGCUCUCUCAUUUACCCGGAAAAAAGAUUAAGCCAUAUUAACCGGAACGGAGGGAGUAUGGACUAGCACUACUUUUUGGUGUGUCCCGUCAACUCACAGAACAAGGAGAAGCUUGCAGGACAAGGUGAAGCUUGCUUAAGCCUUUUGACUAAAGCAACCUACCCUCGGUGGGCAUGCAUCAGUCCAUUCGGUGUCAGAUUGUCAGAGGCAUACAUUGUAGUACCCAACAUGCGGAGUACCAUCAUUGUUCGACUUCACGAAGGGGCGAAGAGCCAAGCGCAGUAGUACGUGUACUUGGUUUUGCACCUUCAUACUACUCCACCCUCCGUCACAUGUGUUGACAGGGCGCACUUCAUUAUGAUGCAUUUCUCUCAAUGCAUUUCCACCACUAGAGAGACUUUAGACGCGUUUGGUUUGAUGCUCAAUUAAUUAGGGCUUGGUAACCGCAAUCAAGUCCACAAUUUUCUCUCCGUGUACUGUACUACUUCAGAGUGCAUGCAUGUGUGUACCCGGGGUGGAAGCACUGCAUGCAUGUGUAUGCGCAUUAUUCCCUCUAUUAAUAGAUGUAGUGUUAUAACUACCAAUGCUAUUUUUCAGGCCGAUCUCUAGUCGCCUUGGUCCCACAGAUUUUAUUUCUUUUUUCUGAAGCGCGCUGUAUAAACAGUGACGGAUGGAGUAGUAUGAGCAGAUUCAAAGAAGAGCGUGUUGAUGGUUGCUUCUUCAGAGCAACUUACAGUAGGAAAGGUGGGGCUUAUGAUUUGACCGCUCAUUACUCAUUAUUAAUGCGGCGCAAUGACCGGGCUGAGUCUCCCAUACGGUUGUGCACUACCCCCUCGGUUCUUAAAUAUACUCCGGAGUAUUUGUCUUUCUAGAGAUUUCAACGAAUGACUACUCAAAUAUUUGUCUUUUUAGAGAUUCCAAAUGGACUGGAACAUACGGAUGUAUAUAGACAUAUUUUAGAGUGUAGAUUCACUCAUUUUGCUCCGUAUGUAGUCACAUAUGAAGGGAGUACACAUAUUUAGGAACGGAGGGAGUACACAUAUGAAGCAAAAUGAGUGAAUCUACACUCUAAAAUAUGCCUAUUUGAAAUUUGUAAAAAGAUAAAUAUUUAGGAACGAAGGAGUAUAAUUUUGUGCAUGGCACAUGGACCCGGAUGAUGAAGAGGCUUCUCGCAAUGCUAUCAAGCUUCCAUCAUUUGUUUACAUGAUUGACAUACUAUACAAAUAAUUUUCCAGCAACAUGAAAUUGUACAAUGGUGUGAGCUUUCAGCUUUUGUUUCGCGUGUCUUGCCAUCGAUGCUCUUUCGGAAACAAUAAAAAACUAACUUCCUUGCUAAUGCAUGUCAAUUAUUAGCAGAUGAGAGCUAAUAAUUACAUCACAACUGAAGACAAAGUUGUGAGAAGGUGUUAAAUUAAAAUUGAUCCAUGCUUUCAUUGGCAGCAACGUCCCCCCAGCUUUGUCUAAAUCAACAAGGCAUGUUGGGAAAAAAAGUAGCUGUCUGGAGCAUGCAACAUUCCGAUCAUUUUGUGCAGUUCCACUAAAAUAGAGCUGAGCAUCCCUGUUCCAAAGAUAUCAAGUGUGAUUACGAUAAUAGAGGACUGCUGAUGAAACAAUAAACACACAAAUAGAAGCCAGUCACCUUUGCAGUCUCUCUUAAGACUAACUAGUUGGAGAAGAUUAGGCUCGGAGUUGGAUGAGGAGGAUAGAGAAAAACCAAUCUCCCUUUGUGCAGUCACACUGAAAUGUAGAGACGUUGCCCGUGUGACAUUUUAGUACAACUGCACAAAACACUCUUAAGAAAAAAGUGAUUUGUGCAGUUCACCAAAAGGUCGCAAUAGAAACGAGGUGAAAUGGAUAGCGCUGUUUGCAAAAAAGAGGUAGAAAGGAAACAAUUACUGGCCAAUAACAGGUGAUGACACAUGCGACGACAAAAAGUAGCAUAUUCCUUGUCCUAAAGGAAGAUAACAACACGGUUGUGUUUGUCUAAAACGGCGUGAGGACGAGAAUGCAAUAUGGAAAGUACACUGGACGAGCUACGUUUUGGGCAAAGAACUAUGGAAGAUCCACAUGCAGCGACGUGGGAAAACGGGCAGUGGAGCAAGGCCGGAGGGGAUACCUAGAGGUCGUCGGGAUGUAACUAGGUGAGCGGCGGCGGGCGGAAUCUAUGAGCAGGUGGCGUAGGCCCUGCCGUGCCGGAGCUUGGUCAGAGAGAACGGCGUGUACCGCAGAUCGGGACGUGCUGCCUCGGCGCCAUCGAAUGGAGAAACGAUGCACUUCCUCCGUUUCCCCCGGCGGACGGGAUGUAGCCGGAUCAGUGACCAACGGUGAGAGAGAGAGAGGCCACCGCACUCCCUUUCCCCCGACGGACGGGAAGCGGCCGGAUCAGUGACCAACGGUGAGAGAGAGAGAGAGGCCACCGCACUCCCUUUCCCCCGGCGGAUGGGAUGCGGCCGGAUCAGUGACCAACGGUGAGAGAGAGAGGCCACCGGAGCCUUGUGUGAGAUACUCUGAAGAGCGGACUACCUUCUCCUCCAUAAAAAUCGUUUUAUAUUUUGUGUACGUUCCAUUGAGCGCUAUAACUUUAUUUAAAAAUAACGCGGCAACGCGUCAAGUCAAACUUUGUUUCGUGCACGCGUGGUACACGACCUCCCUAGGUAAACAACCGCUACAGGCGUUCAAAUUAGCACGUGGGCUGCCAUUUCGUAAAGAAAUGAGCUCCACCGUGUACCCUCGCGGGUGUGGCUGGGCACGAAGCGUGAGUACGUACACGGUGCACCUAUUCUCUUCUUGUAUACAUACACCACCUACGUGGGGUUGUGUGAGAGAGAUACAAACCUAGAGAAGAGAGUGGGUUCUUGAGAGNNNNNNNNNNNNNNNNNNNNNNNNNNNNNNNNNNNNNNNNNNNNNNNNNNNNNNNNNNNNNNNNNNNNNNNNNNNNNNNNNNNNNNNNNNNNNNNNNNNNNNNNNNNNNNNNNNNNNNNNNNNNNNNNNNNNNNNNNNNNNNNNNNNNNNNNNNNNNNNNNNNNNNNNNNNNNNNUAUUUAACAUAUGCAAUGUGUGUGAAAUAGAGUCCUGGAUAUAACAUAUAUAUAGAGGGGGCGAUCCAUGAGAAGAGAGUGGAGGUAUCAUCGGCUUGAGGUGUCCAUAGAAUCGAAGAGAGGGAUGAUGUGUGUGUGUGCGCGCGCGAUCGAUAAAGAGUGCCAUCGAAUUUGUGUGUGCCCACGUCAAAGAUAUAGAGUGGCUGGCCUAUUGGAACGUGAGAUGGGACAUGUGCAGUUUGUCUCUGUGGCAUGGAUACCUACCUGCAGCGCUCGACUAUCGGUGUGUGGUGGGGGGAGAGGGAGGCCCAAUUAACUAUAGAGGUACAAUGGCUGGUAUAUGUGUGGAGGAGGAGAGAGGCCUACCUCAUGUAUUAAGGAGAUCGAUCUGCCUCAUGUAUUAAGGGAGAUCGAUCGGCAUCCAUGCAUAUGUGCAGGAGAUGAAUAAGGUUGGGAGAGAGACAGAGCUAGAGUGUUGGAGGGGUGGUAGUGGAGUUGCUUCUAACAAAUGGUGGAAUAGGCUUGCUAGCCAAACGGAGGGCAAGCCCGCAAUAUCAAUAAGAGAGGAGAUGGCUGCUUGUUGUCUGUGCACGUGCGUGUGAGAGACGGGUCAGGAGGCAUGCACGAAAGAUGAGGGGGGACGAUGUGGCUGUGGUAAGAAGACGUAACUACAUAGGAAGAUCAAUCUCCCUUAUUAAGAGAAAGGAGAGACAUAACUUGUGAGGUACGUCAAUCGAUGGGGGGGUAGUUAAAGUCGAUCUAGGUAUAUGUUGGGAGAUCGAUCGGUAUACAUGCAUGUGUGUGUUAGAAGCAAAUGAGGCACGAGGAGAAGGAUAGAGAGAGAGGGAUGCAUGUAGGAGGUGGUACGAGAGGCAUACUAUAUCAAGGGGGAGGAGUGUGCGAGUACGAGAACGAUGAAAAGAGUGGUGGGAGUGAGGCAUGGACGGUGACAAGAGAAGAGAGGAAGCUUGUGUUUGUGCUAGGCACACCUGGCUAGAGAGGCAUAUCGAUCGAUGUGUGCCGUAAAGAAGGAGCUAGGGGGCCUACACACACCGUCGGUGAACGACCUAAAGUGAAAAGACGAAUUUGCGCGAUGGAGCUAGAGAAUGCUGAGGGAGUGUGAGAGGGAUGCGGGCGUGUGCAUGCACGAGAGAAAGUUAGUGCUAGCUACAAAGAUUAAAGGGUUGUGUGGGUGUAAAAGACGAAUAGAGAUCAUAUAUACUUCAUUAUAAAAAGCGAAUUCAGAUAUUUGAAGAAUUUAUCAUAGUGUUUCAAACCGACGGAUGUGUGAAUAUAUAUAACGGUGACACACAUGGUGUGGUUAUGAACAUGGUAUACUACAUUUAAUAUAUUUUAUCUCUACUCUUAUAAAAAAACGGAGUUGUUGAUAAUGGUGUGCCUGCCAUCCUACAUUAUAGGCCGUCUGAUUUAUAUCUGGCGGAUAGCAAGGAAACUAUGAUGGUUGAAGUUGGCAACAAUCAUGAUUGUAGAUUCUUAUUGAAAUAGAGAAACGAAUUCAAAUUUAGUUCGAAUUGCAGCGGUAGUAUAGACAUUUGGAAUGCACUAAAAUGUUGGUAUGAGUAGGUUACAUGCAUUAUACAGCAAGCGAAAAAAUUUAAUCGGACAUAACAGGGAUUCAUACUCCCUCCUUCCAUCUAUAUAGGGCGUAAUGAGAUUUUUAAGACCGCCUUUGACUAUUGACAAGAUUAAUAGUACAUGACAUGCACAAUGUGAAAAAUAUAUCAUUGAAAGAACCUUUCACAAACGAAUUUAACGGUGUGCUUUGUGUAAGUUGCAUUUCAUAUAUCAUUGCUCUAAUAUUUGGUCAAAGUUAGCAUCGAAAAACGCAUUAGGCCCUAUAUAGAUGGAAGGAGGGAGUAGCUUUGAAUAGCAUUUGUAUAGUAAAAUGGGGCAAGACUCUCUCUUUGUGUGGUGUGAAUAGUUUUAUUUUUUUCAUUUUCUUUUUGGUUGAGGGAAGUGCGAAUUGAUUUGGUACGUAUAAGUACAAUAUUACUACACGUUAGGCUUGUCCCUAAAAUUCAACCUGCGUCUUGUUAUAUCCCGAAAAUUCAGAUAUCGUGCUCCCAAAACUGGCGCCUUCACAACCCACGCCUUGCUAUCCAGAAAUUACAACGCGUGCGAAAACUCCCUCCAGCUGCCAAAUCCCGAUAGGUGAAAUCCCCCUUCUAACCCUGAGCCGAAAGGGCCGCUAGUUCAAAUCGGUGGGGGGUACUUUUGUAACACACCCUACAUUUUGAACAAGCGCGUUCCUAAGUCAUGCUUCACCCCCUUCCAUCGCCCCCUUUUCGCCAUUCGAAAACCCAGGCCGCCAUAACCUCUCCGCUCCAGCCGCGAAACCCCACCCUCCUCCGUCUGCCACGUCACCGCUGCCCAGCCGGAGCAUCUUCCCCGACGGCGUCGUCGACCGCAAUAGCUCGACGUCCCUCGUCCACCUCCCCGGAUGAGGAUCCGUCGUCCAUCUCGCCGUCCCGCCGGUUCAGCAGCCCCGUCUUCCACCUCCAAGGAGCUGCUCCGACGAUCACUGUGGGAGUCCUGGAUUAGGGGGUCUCCGGACAGCGGGACUAUCUCCAUUGGCCGGACUGUUAGACUAUGAAGAUACAGGAUUGAAGACUUCGUCUCGUGUCCGGAUGGGACUCUACUUGGCGUGGAAGGCAAGCUAGGCAAUACGGAUAUGUGUAUCUCCUCCUUUGUAACCGACCUUGUGUAACCCUAACCUCUCCGGUGUCUAUAUAAACCGGAGGGUUUUAGUCCGUAGGACAACAUACAAUCAUACCAUAGGCUAGCUUCUAGGGUUUAGCCUCUCUGAUCUCGUGGUAGAUCUACUCUAGUAUUACCCAUAUCAUCAAUAUUAAUCAAGAAGGACGUAGGGUUUUACCUUCAAUAAGAGGGCCCGAACCUGGGUAAAACAUUGUGUCCCCUGCCUCCUGUUACCAUCUGCCUUAGACGCACAGUUCGGGACCCCCUACCCGAGAUCCGCCAGUUUUGACACCGAUAAUCGCCUUGUCUAUCACGGCUGCUCCAUCCCCACAGCGCCGCCUUAACCUGCUCCACCGGAACCGCAGCAUCCUCACCGACUCCUCGGACGAAACCGAGGCCUAAUCGGCGCCACCAAAGAGGUUUUACACUCAUCGCAUCGCACCUUCUCCUUAACUCGACCUCCCGGCGCCGAUGGUGCUCCAUCACGCACCCCCAUGGAGCGGCUACCUUGAAACCGGCGCCGUGGGUGACAUCUCCCCGAAGGCUCUCCCCCAGUGCGAGGCCCCUUGGGCGGCGGCGUCCAUAGCAGCCGGAUCUGCUGCUGCUGCUCGGCUCUCGCUCGAUCGCUCGCUCGCCCAGCUGCUGCUGCUCUCCCCCUCGCUCGUGCUGCUGCUCCGCUCCAAUUAAGCCACACUUGAGUCGAAUGAAUCGACUUUUGGGUCAGUCGAUUUUCAGGGGUUGGGGGGCUCGCCGGAGUUAAGGAAGAACCACCCGCAGCGGGGACGGGGGCUCGCCGGAGAGGCACCCCACUAUCUAUCUUAGGGUUCAGGGUGGGGGCGGGGGGCCUACAGGGCUGGCCGGGGCGGCGGUGGCGAGUUGUUUCGGGGCGGCGAGGCGGCGCUGGGGCCGGCGGUUCGGCCGGUGGUGGCUGGCGGCUCAGGGGGGUGCAGGUUGAAGAUGAACUGCAAGCCCUCCCUAAACUACAUGUCAAGUGCCUCUCUGCUACCAUUGCGUUCAGUUUCGAGAGUAGAAUUCAGAUUCCACAGUAAAUUUCAGUUUCAACAGUUCAGUUCGGAGUCAACAGUUUUUACCUCAUCUGUUGUAGUCAGGUGGUUUUUGGUGAUGUUAAUUUUACAUCCAUUUUACAUCAUCUAUUGGAGAUGCUAUUAGAAUCCCACUUGAGAUUGACGAUGUCUGUCUUGUGCUGCUUCAGCCUUCACGUCUUACGGCUCACCGAAGCUGCUCCAACGAUAGAAUGAUCCAUCACAACAGAGCAUUGUCCUGGACGCCGUCUACAGAUUCCUCAGAUCUUCCUCCACACCUCUGACAGCCACCUCUGCCUCAACUGCUUCAGCGACCAACCCAAUGAUGCUGAGGUCGACACGGCUACGGCAAAGAGGUUGUACACUUGUUGCAUCACUUAUUACUAUACAUUCACGUCGAUCCAUUAGGGCUAUUUUGGUUCAAUGGAAAAACAUCGAUCCACUGGUUGUUACCAUCACUCUAAAUUUCUGCAUGCUCUCCUUACAUAAUCUCACCAUAUUUUUUCGUAUGCAUGUCAGAUAUUGUACAUAGUCAUGCUGAACAUGUAGAGAAAAAGAGAAGAGUUUUGCACGGCAAUACAAUGUCAUGCAGACAUCGCUCCAUGGUGGGUUCAAUGGCAAACCCUCCCCACCCCUCUCCAGAUUGUAAUCCAGAGGAAGAUAUCUGUUCUGAGGCGGAUUCGAACGCCGCUGACCACUCCUAUUUACCCCCCAAGGUGUUUGCUCUACCUUGGCAUGAUGAUGUUAGUCAUAUCAUGCAUAUGUUGCCUUGCAGUGUCUACUUUUGACAUCAUAUAUGUCAUCUGCUUAGUUUAGACAUGUUCUGUAAUGCCACCCGUUUAGUUUCUAUAUCAUAUAUGGGAAUUAUGCAGUCUCAUGUCUUUUAGCCAGCCAUAAUAUAUGUGAAAUGUGCAAUGCCAUCCUGUUUAACCAGGCAUCAUAUAUUUGAAUGAUAUCUUGCCCGUCCUUCUAUUCAUUACAUUUCCAUUUGUCAACAAUGUUUGUACAUUAAACUACUCUUCCUGUGAAUCAGCCAUUUGGGUGGGAGAUGGAAAAAUCUGGAGUGAAAACAAGGCCUUCAGAACAGACAGUGCUACCUGUCGAAGCAGAUCUCUUGUUGGGUCCCGAUAGCUCCUCAGAGAUGGAUUCAGAGACAGAUGACCGGUCCUAUUCCCCCACUGAGGUGUAUGCUCUAACUUGGCACGGUUAUACUACUCAUAUCAUGCAUACGGUGUCUUACAUUGCAUAGUUUAGACAUCAUAUACACAAUAUUCAACACCGUGUUCUUAGUUCAGACAUCAUAUCGAAUGCCCUCUGUUUAGCAUAUAAAUCACAUAUGUGAAUUAAAUGAUGCGAUCCUGAUUACUUAGAUUACAUGUAUGUGAAUUAUGUCAUGCGAUCCUGUUUAGUUAUUCAUCAUAUCUUUGAAUUAUGUUAUGCUAUGCUAUCCAGUUUAGAUAGACAUCAUAUAUGUGAAAUUAUGUCAUGCUAUCCGUUUUAGUUAAACAAUAUACAUGUCAACUAUUUCAUGCCCUCUUUUUUCCACACUAUCUAUUGCAUCUGUCUCUCAUACAAUGUUUGUACAUUCAACUAUGUUUCCUGUUUAUCAGCCAUUUGACUUGGAGCGGGUGAUGCCAGUAUCUAGCGGACUAAAAACACGGUCUUCAAAUAAAACAGUGCUACCUCUUGGUGGAGAUAGCACCCCGGUUGUACAUGCACAAGAACCAGCCCUACCACACAUAACCCAAACUCUCGUAGAUUGUACCCCUACUAUGAUGGACAGAGAACCAGCUUCACCCAAUCUAACCCCAACCCCAGCCGAUAGUAACCCAGUUCCUGUUGACACAGCACCAUCUCCACCACAGAGCUCCCAAACAAGAGCAGUUAGUAAGGCAGCUCCAGUGCCCAAAGGACCAGUACUAUCACGGCGAACCCCAACUCCACCAGUUAGUACGCCUAUUCCACUACUAGGAAAAGGGCUAUAGAUGGAAUUGACACUAAUGGCGCACCAGACAUGUGGUGCGCCAUUACUAUAUACUAAUGGCGCACCAUGUGUUGGUGCGCCAUUAGUGUCCAAAUACUAAUGGCGCACCACAUCCACGGUGCGCCAUUAGUAAAAAAAAUUCAAAACUACUAAUGGCGCACCGUGGGAGUGGUGCGCCAUUACUAGUAGUUGAACUAGUAAUGGCGCACCAUGCCACGGUGCGCCAUUAGUAACUUGGCCACCACUUCCACUGAAUGCACCCCCCCCCUCGUGGACCGCCUUUUCAGUUUUAAAAAAAUAAAAAAAUGAUGGAAAUGUCAAAAAAAUAAAAGAAAAUAAGUUUCCCAUGUGAUAUGUAGUCUAGUUGUUGUGAAAAUUUACAAAUAUGAAUUUCGACUUUAUUUGCGAAAUCUCUCGAGAAUUUGUAAAAUGGGCAUAACUUUUGCGUACGAACUCGGAUGAAAAAGUUUUUUAUAUGAAAAAUCAUCUACUCAAAAAGUUACAUCCGAAUUUAACGGGGGGAACCCCGUUAAACAUUUUCAAAAUCCUCAAAAACCUAACAGAAAAAAAGAUAUGGGGCUUUUAAGAUCUGGAGAGGCAAAAAAAAUUCAAACUUACUAAUGGCGCACCUACCCAUGGUGCGCCAUUACUAUCUUCCUGCCUUCAAAAUUCAAAAUAAGUCAAAAAAUAAAAAAAGUUACUAAUGGCGCACCUGCCCAUGGUGCGCCAUUAGUAUCUUCCCGCCUUCAAAAUUCAAAAAAAGUUAAAAAAAAAGUUACUAAUGGCGCACCUGCCCAAUGUGUGCCAUUAGUAUCUUCCCGCCUUCAAAAUUCAAAAUAAAUCAAAAAAAAGUUAGUAAUGGCGCACCUGCCCGCGGUGCGCCAUUACUAUGCCGUAUAUAUGGCUGGGCGUGGUCCUCUCCUCCUUACCUCUUCAUUCUUCUCCAACACUCCACCUCUCCUCCACUCCAUCUCCUCCUCUCAUCCACUCCAUCUUCCCUUCUCUCCUCCACCAUACUACCCUCCUCCUCUNNNNNNNNNNNNNNNNNNNNNNNNNNNNNNNNNNNNNNNNNNNNNNNNNNNNNNNNNNNNNNNNNNNNNNNNNNNNNNNNNNNNNNNNNNNNNNNNNNNNNNNNNNNNNNNNNNNNNNNNNNNNNNNNNNNNNNNNNNNNNNNNNNNNNNNNNNNNNNNNNNNNNNNNNNNNNNNNNNNNNNNNNNNNNNNNNNNNNNNNNNNNNNNNNNNNNNNNNNNNNNNNNNNNNNNNNNNNNNNNNNNNNNNNNNNNNNNNNNNNNNNNNNNNNNNNNNNNNNNNNNNNNNNNNNNNNNNNNNNNNNNNNNNNGUGAGCUCCUCCUCCCUCCUCUCCUCCCAUCCCCUCAUGGUUUCUCCUUCCUCCUCUCCGAUGCUCCGGUGAACUCCUCUCCGGCGACCUUCUCCUCCUCCUCUCCGGCGAACUCCUCCUCCUCCUCUCCGGCGAUGUAGGCGAGCGCCUCUCCGGUGACCUCCUCCUCCUCCUCUCCGGCGAAAUCCUCUCUGGCAAAAGAACACGGCAAAAGAACGUACAAGAUCCAAAAACAGGAACAAACUUUGAAAUAAUAUCGUGCCAAAAAACGAGCAAAAAAUGGGAAAAAAAUCACGAUCCAGAUCCAAAUUCAAAAUUCAAAAAUAGCAAUGGCGCACGGUGGGGGUUAGACGGUCCGCCACUACUAUUUUCCCGCCUUCAAAAUUCAAAAAUACUAAUGGCGCACCAGUGGCCUAUACUAAUGGCGCACCAGUGGCCUAUACUAAUGGCACACCGUGGCCUAUACUAAUGGCGCACCAUGGCAUAUACUAAUGGCGCACCAGUGGUGCGCCAUUAGUAAAAAUACUAGUGGCGUGAUACUAAUGGCGCACCAGUGAUGCGCCAUUAGUAGGCAAAACUGGUGCGCCAUUAGUAGCCCUUUUCCUAGUAGUGUUCCUGUGGAUGAACACUAGUAGAAAACAGGGCUUUGGUCCAGGCCGGGUCAGCCCAUUAGUCCCGGUUCAGUCCAGAACCGGGACCAAUGUGGGAAUUGGUCCCGGUUCAUCUGGACCUUUUGGUCCCGGUUGGUGGGAUGAACCGGGACCAAUGGGCCUCGCUCCUGGACCACCACCAUUGGUCCCGGUUCGUGGCUUGAACCGGGACCAAAGGCUCCCCUUUAGUCCCGGCUCAUGUCACCAACCGGGACCAAUGAGGUGCCUAUAUAUACCUCUCGCUCGCGAGCAGAGCACCCAGUGCUCUGUUGUUCUCUGGCCAAGGGGGAGAGGGCUUUGUGGUGCUCUAGCUCACCUCCUAUGCACAUGAGGUGUUCGAUGGAAUGCCCGAGCCACACUACUUAAGCUUUCUCCUGUUGAAGCUCGACCUCCAAGCUCCAUUUUCCUCGAGAUUUGUCUAGAUUUAGCGGUCCGUCACGCCCCGUCCCCGUCUUCACCGCCGUCGAUCACCCGUGCCGAUCUCAUCACCGAAACCACCGUGGUAAGCCUCUUGUUCUUAUCUUCUUUUUGAAAGGAAAAAUAUUCUUACUUGUAUGUUUAGAUAGAUACUUGUAUCAUUUUCUUACAUUUAUUAUUGCAUCUUAUAUAGUGCGAUGGUUUUGGUAUCCGCCCCCGUCAGCCCUCGUCCUGUCUAUGAUUCAGAUGUGGUAUGUAUAUUAUCUUUAUAACUAUUGGUUCAUUUAUUGUUUAUGAUAAUUAUGCCGACCAACGUGACAUAGAUUUAUUUAUCUAGGAUGUAUGUGAAUCGGAAAUGCCAACCGACCCUAUUGUCGAGAGGUUAAAUUUAGUUGAAGAAGAAAACAAUUUGUUGAAGGAAAAAAUAAAAAAAAUUGAGGAGGAGAAGAUGAUAUUGGAGUUGCAUGUUGCGGAUGUCGUCGAUGAUCACAAGAUCAAGAUGGAUGCAAUGCGCUUGAAGACUAGAAAGAUUAGAAAAUAUGCCAUUCAUACCGAGGCUUGGUAUCAUUAUGCCAUUGGAUCAAUUGUUACCUUGGUUGCGAUUAUGAUCGCAUUUGUUUUCGCAUUGAAAUGUAUUACACAGUUUCAAUGUAUGGUUUAAUUAAUUAGAUGCUCUGGAGAGCUAUAUGUUGUUAGAUGAGAACUAUGUAUGCACUUUGGUUUUAAUGUGAUGAUGAACUUCUAUUAAUUUGGACACUUAAUUAUAUAUAAUGCACGCAGAUGAACUGGCAAUGGAUGUACGGUGACAGACACACCCGCGAGUACAUUAAGGGCGUGCAUGAGUUUCUCAAUGCGGCUGAGGCAAACAAGCAGAAUGGUUUUAUGUGUUGUCCAUGCACUGAAUGUGGGAAUACAAGGUCUUACUCUAAUCGGAAAAUCCUUCACUCCCACCUGCUUUACAAGGGUUUCAUGCCACACUAUAAUGUUUGGACGAGGCACAGAGAAGUAGGGGUUAUGAUGGAAGACGGCGAAGAAGAAGACUACGAUGACAACUAUGUGCCCCCUGAAUACGGUGAUGCUGCAACGGGGGGAGCUGGUGAAGAUCAAGAGGAACCAGACGAUGUGCCCAAUGAUGCUGCAACGGGUGAAGCUGCUGAAGAUCAAGAGGAACCAGACGAUGUGCCCGAUGAUGAUGAUCUCCGCCGGGUCAUUGUCGAUGCAAGGACGCAAUGCGAAAGUCAAAAGGAGAAGCUGAAGUUCGAUCGCAUGUUAGAGGAUCACAAAAAAGGGUUAUACCCCAAUUGCGAAGAUGGCAACACAAAGCUCGGUACCGUACUGGAAUUGCUGUAGUGGAAGGCAGAGAAUGCUGUGGCUGACAAAGGAUUUGAGAAGCUACUGAAAAUAUUGAAGAAGAAGCUUCCAAAGGAUAACGAAUUGCCCGACAGUACAUACGCAGCAAAGAAGGUCGUAUGCCCUCUAGGAUUGGAGGUGGAGAAGAUACAUGCAUGCCCUAAUGACUGCAUCCUCUACCGCGGUGAAUACAAGGAUCUGAACGCAUGCCCGGUAUGCGGUGCAUUGCGGUAUAAGAUCAGACGAGAUGACCCUGGUGAUGUUGACUGCGAGCCCCCCAGGAAGAGGGUUCCUGCGAAGGUGAUGUGGUAUGCUCCUAUAAUACCACGGUUGAAACACCUGUUCAAAAACGAAGAACAUGCCAAGUUGAUGCGAUGGCAUAGUGAGAACCGAAAGAAAGAUGGGAAGUUGAGAGCACCCGCUGACGGGUCACAGUGGAGAAAAAUCGAAAGAAAGUACUGGGAUGAGUUUGCAAAGGACCCAAGGAAUGUAUGGUUUGCUUUAAGCGCGGAUGGCAUUAAUCCUUUCGGGGAGCAGAGCAGCAAUCACAGCACCUGGCACGUGACUCUAUGUAUGUAUAACCUUCCUCCUUGGAUGUGCAUGAAGCGGAAGUUCAUUAUGAUGCCAGUUCUCAUCCAAGGCCCUAAGCAACCCGGCAACGAAAUUGAUGUGUACCUAAGGCCAUUAGUUGAAGAACUUUUACAGCUGUGGAAUGAAAACGGUGUACGUACGUGGGAUGAGCACAGACAGGAGGAAUUUAAACUUAAGGCAUUGCUGUUCGUGACCAUCAACGAUUGGCCCGCUCUCAGUAACCUUUCAGGACAGACAAACAAAGGAUACCACGCAUGCACGCACUGUUUAGAUGACACUGAAAGUAUAACCUGGACAAAUGCAGGAAGAAUGUGUACCUGGGCUAUCGUCGAUUUCUUCUGACCAACCAUCAAUGUCGAAAGAAAGGCAAGCAUUUCAAAGGCGAGACAGAUCACCGGAAGAAGCCCGCCAUGCGCACCGGUGAUCACGUGCUUGCUAUGGUCAAUAAUUUACACUACGUAAUCUUUGGAAAGGGUCCCGGUGGACUAGCUGUUCCGAAUGACGCUGAGGGACACGCACCCAUGUGGAAGAAGAAAUCUAUAUUUUGGGACCUACCCUACUGGAAAGACCUAGAGGUCUGCUCCUCAAUCGACGUGAUGCACGUGACGAAGAACCUUUGCGUGAACCUGCUAGGCUUCUUGGGCGUGUAUGGGAAGACAAAAGAUACACCUAAGGCACGGGAGGACCUACAACGUUUGCACGAAAAAGACGGCAUGCCUCCGAAGCAGUAUAAAGGUCCUGCCAGCUACACUCUUACGAAAGAAGAGAAAAAAAUCUUCUUUGAAUGCCUGCUCAGUAUGAAGGUCACGACUGGCUUCUUGUCGAAUAUAAAGGGAAUAAUAAAUAUGCCAGAGAAAAAGUUUCAGAACCUAAAGUCUCAUGACUGCCACGUGAUUAUGACGCAACUACUUCCGGUUGCAUUGAGGGGGCUUCUACCGGAAAACGUCUGAUUAGCCAUUGUGAAGCUAUGUGCAUUCCUUAAUGCAAUCUCUCAGAAGGUGAUCGAUCCAGAAAUCGUACCAAGGCUAAGGAGUGAUGUGGCGCAAUGUCUUUUCAGUUUCGAGCUGGUGUUCCCACCAUCCUUCUUCAAUAUCAUGACGCACGUCCAAGUUCAUCUUGUCGACAAGAUUUUCAUCCUGGGACCCAUAUUUCUACACAAUAUGUUCCCCUUUGAGAGGUUCAUGGGAGUCCUAAAGAAAUAUGUUCGUAACCGCGCUAGGCCAGAAGGAAGCAUCUCCAUGGGCCAUCAAACAGAGGAUGUUAUCGGGUUUUGUGUUGACUUCAUUCCUGGCCUUAAGAAGAUAGGUCUCCCUAAAUCGCGGUAUGAGGGGAGACUGACUGGCAAAGGCACUCUUGGAAGAGACUCAAUAAUAUGCAGGGACGGAUAUUCUUGGUGUCAAGCACACUACAUAGUUCUACAGAACUCUACCUUGGUGACCCCGUAUGUCGAUGAACACAAGAACAGUCUGCGCUCCAAACACCCGGAGCGGUGCGACGACUGGAUUACAUGUGAACACAUCAGGACUUUCAGUAGUUGGUUGGAAACACGUCUCAGAGGUGACAACACUGUUUGUGAUGAGUUGUACUUGUUGUCCAGGGGACCAUCUUUGACUGUAUUGACUUACAAAGGAUACGAGAUAAAUGGGAAUACAUUUUACACGAUCUCCCAAGAUCAAAAGAGCACCAACCAAAACAGCGAUGUCCGCUUUGAUGCAGCAACCGAAAUCGGAAAGGACACAUAUUAUGGUUACAUAGUGGACAUAUGGGAACUUGACUACGGACCUGAUUUUAAGGUCCCUUUGUUUAAGUGCAAAUGGGUCAAUCUGUUAGGCGGCGGGGUACAGGUAGACCCAUAGUACGGAAUGACAACAGUGGAUCUGAAAAAUCUUGGGUACACUAUCGAACCGUUCGUCCUAGCCAAUGAUGUGGCACAGGUUAUCUAUGUGAAGGACAUGUCUACCAAACCGAGAAAAAGAAGAGAUAAGGAAGCGAAUACAUCAUACGAUGAGCCAAAGCGCCACAUAGUUCUUUCAGGAAAAAGGGACAUCCUGGGAGUGGACGGCAAGACAGACAUGUCUGAAGAUUAUGAAAAGUUUCAUGAAAUUCCUCCCUUCAAUGUCAAGGCUAACCCAAGCAUCCUGAUAAACAAUGAAGAUUAUCCAUGGUUACGGCGCAAUAAGCAAAUGACACAAGCGAAGAAAAAGUGAAGACUUUCUCCCGCAACUAUUAUGAUGAUACCAUGCCAACUUUGUAACACACGAACAUGCUACCAUUAUCCGUUUUGUACAUGCACAUGCUAUGUGGGUGAAAUUAUGAUACCAUCCCAACUUUCAACUUUUUCAGAGUUCAUUUGAAAGUGAUUGUCCAUUUUGUACACGAAGUGCAUCAAGUUUUCUCUAUAAGCGCAUCUAUUCUCAUUUUUUUAGUAAGUUAAUCACAAACUUGUGAUGCAAACAAUUUUCAAAGAAUUCAAAUUUUAACUAUUCAAAUUUGAAAACUAAUGGCACUAACAGAAUGUUUAUAAUUUUUCUAAAACUAAUGGCACUAGCAGAAAGUUUAUAAUUUUGCUAACCUAAAAGCAAACAGAAUUAAAAAUUAAAGCAAAAAACAAAAGAAAAUAAAUAAUGCAAAAAAUUCAAAAAAGCAGGAAAAAACUAUUUUUAUAAUAAAGUUAAUCUCAAAAUAAAAUAAAUAAAGCAACAAAGAAAACAAAAAAACUGAAAAAGUGUUUUCAAAUUUGAAAACUAAUGGCACUAACAGAAAGUUUAUUAUUUUUCUAAAACUAAUGGCACUAACAGAAAGUUUUUAAUUUUGCUAACCUANNNNNNNNNNNNNNNNNNNNNNNNNNNNNNNNNNNNNNNNNNNNNNNNNNNNNNNNNNNNNNNNNNNNNNNNNNNNNNNNNNNNNNNNNNNNNNNNNNNNNNNNNNNNNNNNNNNNNNNNNNNNNNNNNNNNNNNNNNNNNNNNNNNNNNNNNNNNNNNNNNNNNNNNNNNNNNNNNNNNNNNNNNNNNNNNNNNNNNNNNNNNNNNNNNNNNNNNNNNNNNNNNNNNNNNNNNNNNNNNNNNNNNNNNNNNNNNNNNNNNNNNNNNNNNNNNNNNNNNNNNNNNNNNNNNNNNNNNNNNNNNNNNNNNNNNNNNNNNNNNNNNNNNNNNNNNNNNNNNNNNNNNNNNNNNNNNNNNNNNNNNNNNNNNNNNNNNNNNNNNNNNNNNNNNNNNNNNNNNNNNNNNNNNNNNNNNNNNNNNNNNNNNNNNNNNNNNNNNNNNNNNNNNNAUGGCACUAACAGAAAGUUUAUAAUUUUGCUAACCUAAAAGCAAACACAAUUAAAAAUUAAAGCAAAAACCAAAAGAAAUUAAAUUAAAUAAUGCAAAAAACAAAUCAAAAAACAGGAAAAAACUAUUUUUAUAGUAAAGUUAAUCACAAAAUAAAAUAAAUAAAGCAACAAAGAAAAAAACAAAAAAGUGUUUUCAAAUUUGAAAACUAAUGGCAUUAACAAAAAGUUUAUAAUUUUUCUAAAACUAAAAGCAUAAAGAAUUAAAAAAUAAAGCAAAAAACAAAAGAAAAAUAAACAAAGCAACAAAAAACAAAAAAAUGCCACCUACUGGGCCACCACGGCCUGAAUACGACUAGAAACCCUACCAUGGGCCAGGAUUCAGGCCCGCAGCAGGCCCAGUAGGCCCACAGGCAUUGCAGUGACAGAUUAGGCCCAAAAGCCUGCAGUUGAGAGGAGCUCGGGAGGGUGGGCGCAGCAGUGCUUAUAAACCACUCCCGAGCCAUCUCAACUAGCGAGGUGGGACUAAACUUUUGGGCGCGGGGCAGCACAAGGCCAUUGGUCCCGGUUGUUGGCACCAACCAGGACUAAAGGGGGUAUUGGUCACAGUUCGUGGCACAAACAGGGACCAAUGCACCCAUUUAGUCCCGGUUGGUGCCACCAACCGGGACCAUAGGCCUCUGCUUCCCGCCCUUUCGGCUGCUGAAAAGAGACCUAUGGUCCCGGUUGGUGGCACGAACCGGGACCAUAGGUGUGCAUUGGUCACGGUUCGUGCCAUGAACCGGGACCAUUGCUCUGGGUAUAUAAUGUAGCACUUGUGAAAACUUCGCCAACCGCUCCCAUUCGUACCCGACGCCGCCAGGCCGUUCGUCGUCGUUGUCGCCGCCCCGAGCCCGUCGUCGCCCGCUCCCCGUCGCCGUCGCGCCGCGCCGCCGUAGGCCUUCUCCCCUUCGCUGCGUGCGCCAUCUCCGGCCCCCUCCCCGUCGCCCCACGCCGCGUCGCCGGCCUCCCCCGCGCCGUCGCCGGCCUCCUCCCCGUCCCCGGCCUCCUCCCCGUCGCGCCCCCAGUGAGCUCCCCGCCCCUUCCCAUCGAUCCCUGUCGCUCUGACCAUCGCCGCCGCCGCCGCUGCUCUCUGUGUGCGAUAAAUUUUUUCAGAUGUGUAUGUAUAUGCUCAUAUGUAUUUGGAUUUGGCUAUGUAUGUAUGUAUAUGCUCAUAUAUAUGUACGUAUGUAUGUAUAUGCUCUCUGUAUAUGGAUUUGGCUAUGUAUAUGCUCUCUGUAUAUGCUCAUAUGUAUGUAUGUUCAUAUAGCAUUUUUCUAUAUAUGAAUUAUUAUUUUUGUUCAUGGAUAUAUGCUAAAGAAAAUGAGGGGGUGAUAGAUGAUGAUGAGGGGUCGAGAGGGGGACGAUAGGUCGAGAGGGGUCGAGGGGAGAAAAACAAUGUUAUCAGGGACGAGGGUCGUCGAGGGGUCGAGAGAGGGACGAGGGGUCGAGAGGGGUACGAACCGGGACCAAUACUCUGUGUAUAUAAGCAUGACUUAGAAAGAAGAAGAGGAGAGGAAGAAGAGGAGAAAUAAAUAAGAAGAAGAAAAAAGAAGAAAAAGAAGAGGAGAAGAAGAAAGGAAUAGUGGAGAAGAAGAGAAAAUAGAAUAUAUAUUCUAUUUUCUCUUCUUCUCCACUAUUCCUUUCUUCUUCUCCUCUUUUUUUCUUCUUUUUUUCUUCGAUCUUCUCCUCUAGCUAUUCCUUUCUUCUUCUCCUCUUUCUUCUUCUUCUUCUUCUUCUUCUUCUUCUUCUUCUUCUUCUUCUUCUUCUUCUUGUUCUUCUUAAUUUUUAUUGGGAACGAGGGUGUCGAGGAUCGCCGAGGGGUCGAGGGUCGGGAACUAGGGUAGAGGGUCGAGGGAUCGAGGGUCGAGGGUUCCAGGGUCGUCUAGGGGUCGAGGGUUCCAAGGUCGUCGAGGGUUCGAGGGGUCGAGGAUCGCCGAGGGGUCGAGAGAGGUUUCCUAGUGUCAAAGUAUUGAAGAAAUCCAUGGCUUCAUCAUUAGCCGGAAGUAACCAGGGCAUGACGAAGUCCUCCAAAGUUAUUUUGGAAUGGUGUCCUGGAUAGGAUAAUUUGCCUUUUUGUAUGAAUUUCAGCAAAGGCCUUCCAAAUAGCGAUAUUUGGAAGGUUCUUGCUGAACUUUGUACCAAAAGGCGAAUUAUCCUAUCUAGGACUCCGUUCCAAAAUAACUUUGGAGAGCUUCGUACCAUCAUGCACCUGUUACUUUCGCCUAAUGAUGAAGACAUGGUUUUGUUGAAUCCUUUGACACUAGGCAACCUCCCGACCCCUCGGUGAUCCUCUCGAACAUGAGAGGAAGAAGAGGAUCGCCGAGGGGUCGAGGGUUCCAGGGUCGUCGAGGGUUCGAGGGGUCGAGGAUCGCCGAGGGGUCGAGAGAGAGAUUUCCUAGUGUCAAAGUAUUGGAUAAAUCCAUGUCUUCAUCAUUAGCCGGAAGUAACCAGGGCAUGACGAAGUCCUCCAAAGUUAUUUUGGAAUGGUGUCCCGAAUAGGAUAAUUUGCCUUUUCGUAUGAAUUUCAACAAAGGCCUUCCAAAUAACGAUAUUUGGAAGGUUCUUGCUGAACUUUGUACCAAAAAGCGAAUUAUCCUAUCUAGGACUCCGUUCCAAAAUAACUUUGGAGAACUUCGUACCAUCAUGCACCUGUUACUUUCGCCUAAUGAUGAAGACAUGGUUUUGUUGAAUCCUUUGACACUAGGCAACCUCCCGACCCCUCGGCGAUACUCUCGAACAUGAGAGGAAGAAGAGGAUAAAAAAAGAAGAGGAAGAAGAAGAAAAAGAGGAGAAGAAAUAAUAGAGGAGUUCUUCUCCUCUAUUCUUUCUUCUCCUCUUUUUUUCUUCUUCUUCCUCUUUUUUUAUCGGGAACGAGGGUCGUCGAGGGACAUAUAGAUGUAGUGUCGUCGUUGUCGAUAUAUACCCCCUCCCGAUAGCUUCAACACGUGGGGGGGGGUCGAUAUUACCCCCUCCUUGAAGCGUUUUCGAGGCCACCCCAAACCCUUGAAGCGUUGUCGAGGCCACCCCAAACCCUAGAGAAGCAGCGUCGAGGCCACUAAUUAAUAUAUAUGAUUCCUUACUAUGAUUAGGUAGCUAGUUCUACGUUUGGCACUAAUAUAUCCAUCUGUCAUGUUUGAAUAAUAAUUGCCAUGUUGUAAAUAUUUGUAGAAACUAUGGACACCGCCCGAGACGAAGCAAAAGAAGCGUUGUUGAGGGACAUAAUUGCAGAAGGAAGUGAUGUCGUCUCGUUGUUUCUCAAUGAUACCGAUGGUCUGGAAGGAGAGGGUGAAGAAGCUGGCUACGGUGACCUAAUGCCGGUGCAAGAAGAAGAACAUGAGGACGGCUCCGGUGACCCAAUGCCGGUGCAAGAAGGAGACCGUGAUGACGGCUCCGGUGACCGAACCGAGUCCGGCCAGGUAUAUAUAUUAGUUAAGCCUGUGCUGACUAGCUGAUUGAUGCAUUCAUUGUUUUGGUAUGUACACAUAUUAAUUAAGUCUUUGUUCUUUUUUCUAGCCCUCCGGAUCGAGCACAACUUCGGUAAAGAGACGAGGCCCGAAGAAAAAGUUGAGCUCGGAUGAAAAGUUUGAGAUCAUAGCAAUCGCGCCCGACGGCCAACCGAUUGAACCCAUCCGAACAAAGAACGCAUUUGUUGCUCAGUGCGGGGUUCUGGUUAGGGACAAGAUCCCGAUAAGCAUCCAGCAAUGGUUUAAGCCGGCUACAGAAGACCCUGAGGUGUCUUAUGUCAAUGAUAUGCAGAAAAAUGAUCUUUGGACUGCGCUGAAGUCAAAUUUCACCCUACCGCCAGAGGAUAAUCCAGAGAACCCAGUUAAAGAGCAAUUAAUCAAGUCUUUUGCUCUUAAGAGGAUGGCAGAACUAUUCAGGAGGUGGAAGAAAGAGCUGAAUAAGUUUGUCGAAAAUAAUGGGACACCAGAAUUCAAGGGCAGAUAUGAGAAGAUCAGAGAUCACUGGCCCGCAUUUGUGGCCCACAAGACAUCGGAAAAGAGUAAGAAGAUGUCGGCGACAAACAAGCAAAAUGCUGCGAAGAAGAAGCUUCACCAUCGCACGGGGUCAGGUUGCUACCUCGUAGCCCGGCCUAAGUGGGCCAAGACUGAGAAUGAUCUGGUUGAUAAAGAGAUCGAACCAGAGACAAUUAGCUGGCCAGACCGUUGCCGGACUUGGUUCUUUGGGGCUGGCGGAACCUUGGACCCUGUAACAGGGAAGUGCAUUUGGACGAACGAUCAAAUGGACAUACCAGUCAGGAAGCUUAAGCAGUAUAUCGAAGCAGCGCAGCAAGGGAAGUUCUUUUCAGAGGCAUGCCAGGCUCUCAGGAAUCCUGAGCACCCUGGACGAACACGAGGCAUGCCAGGCUCCAUUCCGUGGAAGGUUGGGUUUCCGGACGCAGGCGGUUACAAAUCCCAUGAGACGAGGAAAAAAGUGCAGCAGACCCAAAUGCAGGUGCUGCAAGCAAGGGUAGACGCGAUAGAGGAACGAGAAGCAAAUCGCAGCAAACGUACUGCCGAAGCUUCCCCCGAAGCUACACCGCCAUCUCAGUGCAGAAGCAGCGUGGCUUCCACCGAGCUGCUUCAGCCGGAGCAUGCCUUGACGGCUCCUGCCAGCUAUCCCGUGGAUGCUAUCACAGAGUCUCAAAAUUGCCACCUUAUGACGCAAUGGAUGAAUUUGAAGGUCAAGGCGGCUGUUGGCUCUGUUUAUCCUACUGAACCCAGCGCAACUUUUCACUGCCGGCCGAUUCCAGAAGGAUAUGCUAGGGUGAUGGUGGAUGAAAUAACGGAGGGAUUUGAGGACCUCCAGCUUGACCACCCUACCGGUGAAGGGGAGACUCGGCUGGGGUCUGCUCUGAAGACUCCAUGCCUAUGGCGGAAGGAGCUCAUCAACCUUCCGAACUGGACGCCUCCGCCUCCUCCUCCUCCUCCGGCGAGUCAGGGCACUCCGCCUCCUCCACCGCCUGCUCCUCCGGCGAGUGACGAUCAAGGCCCUCGGCCGGCUCCUUCUCUGGCGCGUGGCGGCACUCCACAUGCGCCGGCGCGCCCGAGCAGCCAGCCUCCUCCUUCUCCGCCUCGUCAGCAAGGGCGGAAGAGACCCGCCGCCGCUCCAGCAGCUACUCCGGCACGUCGUAGUCCUUCUCCUCCGCCUCGUAAGCAAGUAAAGAAGACAACCGCUUCGUCUGCUCGUCCGGCGUCUAGCAGAACAACCAGAGACGGGAGGACAUACAGAUUCGGUCCUUCUCUGAAGAGUCCACAGAAGUUACCAUACGAGAGGACCCCGGAGGAGAACGCGAAGAUCGCGCGAACCGAAGUGGAUGACUGGUUUCAAGGGUUGAAAGCAAAGAGACAUCCACCUCCGGAGGAGAAGGUAGAUCCGGUGAAAGUGAAGUGCACUCUGGCUGCCCUGGCAAAACCACCCAAGUCUCCGCCGAAAGGCAACUAUGAGCGCAUUAUUGCAAAGACAUGGGCCGAAGCGGAGCGGUAUGGAAGUACAGUCAGUGAUCAAAGGCUGAAAGAACGACGAGCAGCUGGGAAACAAAUUGCCCAGCUCGGCGAACAAGCGAAGCAAUCGUGCCCCCCGCUCAAGGUGCCUAGCGACAUCGUCGAUCCGAGGAUGGUGCCCGGUUAUGGCAAUGUUGACGAUUACCUGCCCUACGAUGUACAUUAUGAUCCCAUGGAGGUGCAGAUACACAGAUACGAGUACGGGAAGCCUCUCGUCAAAGAUGAAAAAUCUUUAACAACGAUGAUGCGAAGAUUACAUGAUUGGUACUUGAAAAUCUGCAGAGAGUCUGGGGGGAGGAGUACUUUGUAUGCGAGAGUUAAACCGGAGCAUGACCUCAUUGGAAUUGAAAUGUUGCCUAUUCCAUUUGAGGAGUUCUAUCAGUUUUUCAAUCAAUUGGCCCUCGAUAAAACAACGAUCAUCUGCUACUGUCUAUAAGUACUACUACUUCUGUCAUUAAGUCUCUCUAUAUAGCUCAUCUCUUUCAUUGCAUGUAUUUAUAAUUAUCCUUACUAUAUUAUGCAGAUUGAAGAUCGCCGAAUUGAAGAAAAGACAAAUCGGUGAUAUUGGGUUCGUUAACACAUAUCUCAUAGAUGCAACUGAGGUUGAACAUCGUCCCGAAGAUACCGAGGCCAACUUGCUACGAUCAUUCAAAAAAAUGAAAACAAAGAUAUAAUACUCUUUCCUUACAACUUCAAGUGAGUGUUACUGUCUUGUGCAUAUUCGGUUUCCCUUAUAUAUUAGUCCAGGUUAUAGUAAUGUAAUUGAUGAGUUAUGCAUGCGUGUGCAGUUUCCACUAUAUUCUCCUAGAGAUUAGGCUUGAGCAGGGAGUAGUAACCAUCUUGGACUCUGUCGGGGAUAUACCCCGCGGCGUAAACCGGCCGGAAGUAUAACCCGGCCAGACUUGGCGGUUUACUUGAGACCCGGCUGAGACUUGACGAUUCACUGGUGACCCGUUUGGACCUGGCGGUUUACGAUUCAUUGGUAAUCCGGCAGGCGGGUCAGAGGAGCGACAAGACCCGGUGGCCCAACGGGCGGUUCAUGAAGGCCGGUUCAUAUUAUGGUGGGCCGGUUUAAGAGGAAAGGCAUGAGGAAUAUUUACCUUACAAGGAGUUAAGACCAGGACUUGUAUCCGGUUUGUAUUAGAGAUAGACUAGUCCUAAUCCUAAUAGGAUUCCACAUGUAAACCGCCCCUUCAACAUAUAUAAUGAGGGGCAGGACUCCCCAAAGAGGGACGAGCAAGAAGAAAGGGCUAGACACAAAGAGGAGAGCCGGUUUACGGCAACUCCCUCGUGAUGAUAAUGAGACCUAGCCUCAAACAGCAUGUAGGGCUAUUACCGGAUGAUGUUUCCCGGGGCCCGAAGCUGUCUAAAUCCUUGUCUCGCAUGUUGAUCCGCCCCGCGUCUCUCGUCCCACUCAACCCCUCUCCAGCUACCACAUAGAAGCGUUGGCCUCGCGACUAAGUCCUGACACUAAGGACAUCUGCCGUGACAAAUCCACGACAGUUGGCGCCCACCGUGAGGCUCGCGCAGGGUGGUGUUGAGUUCUUGGAGGGAUUUCAUCUAGGGAUCAACGGGCUCGCAAUUUUGUCAGUUAAGGAAGAUCCGGCAGGUUCAUUGUUUGGUGGUCGAGAGCAUGAUUAACUUUGGAGCUGGCAGUACAAGGUUUGAGAUCAAAAGAAGCUAGGGUUCCGUGCGUGUUGCCGCACGCGGCCUGUUUGUCCGUCCGGUUGAGGAGGGUUGAUUUCCAUCAAAACAGCCAGUAUUACAAUCCGGCGAGACCGAGACCGACUCCGUUAUUUAAUCGCCGUUUUGCCACAAGAGCUGGUGCGUGUGAAAUUUGGAUCCACGGCAGUCGACAUAGGUGGAUUCGCUUCAAAUCUCGAGGCUACUGCCUUGCUGCUAUUACCAUGCACUGCAUCCAAAUAUUAAAUCAGAACCAGUACUAGGUACUGGUGGCCGGUUUAGUACUCACGAGGAGGCAUUCAAAAAAUUGGAUAUACCAGUUAAUUGGAAACAAACCUGUCCUGCUGAGCCGCCCGGCCGCUCCUCCUUCUCCUAUGCCGCUCCGCCUUGCUGCUGUUGAACCGCCCUGGCCGAGGGCUACCCGUGAACCGCCGCCUGGACUCGCCUCGGGUGUCUUCUUCUGUCGUAAGCUGCAGUAUCAAAUCGCCGUUCCGGAUGAGCCGCCACCAAGCGCACCGGUUUACCACCAGCACUUGCGCCCUUGUCUUCUUCUGCUGUGCGUCGCAGCCGUCGUGAGUCGCCGCCCUUACUUCGCCUUGAUCCGCCGUGGUCGAUCCGUUGUUGCUCCGUCUGAGUCAGACCGACCUGCUGCCGCCUACUCCGAGGCGUCGUCGUUCCUACUGGCCGAGUCCGCCCGCAAGCCGGCCGACCUCCGCCGUCGCCGCUUCAGCCUUGCUCUGAGUCACCGGGAGGGCUUCAUGCCGAGUUGCUUCAACUCGCCGACCUGCGAGUCACCCUUGCUCCGUUUCUCUGCAAACCGACUCCGAGCCGUUGCGGUGCGGCCCUGCCUCGCCGGAUUCAUCAACCCCUCAAGCAGCGGCUGAGUCGCCCGAACUUGCGGCCCUGGGCUGUAUCACUCGCGUCAAACCGGCGUGCCGCCUGAUCCACUUUCGUCGUCCGCGCCUGGGGUCGUCUUCGUCGCGCGUCGAGCUGCCGCCGCCGUGACCUGCCGUUGCCGCCUCACGCUCUUGCUGGGCUCGCGCUUCAAGUCUCGAGGUAGCAGUAUACGUACUUGCUAUUACUUCCUAAUGAAAUGAUGGAAGGAAAAGUACUACGUCAAGUAGUAGUCCAUGGGAUCAAAAUUUGCUGAAGCUUUGUCUGAAGAUCAUGAUUUGUAAAAGGAUCGGGACGUGAGUUAUAGCCGCUGUCGUCUGAGCCCCAGCCCUCGCUUGAGUCACUAGUUGCCACCAAGACAGCGAUGGAAGAGCUCGCACUUCAUCAACCACGUGCCGCCGUCGCUAUAAAUCGCCAGUGCGCCCCGUCUGCAGCCGGGUUAAGCCGCUACUGCGACCUUAGCUUCUGUCUUCGCUGCGCUGACCCGGCCUUUCAUCUAUCUGAAGUUGCAACCGCGUGACGCUGCGGCAGCGGUAACCCGCCUCGUUUAUGCCACAGAUCGCCGGGCCCCUCCGCCGGGUUACCGCGUCCCGCCUUGGUUACCCAGCCAGUUCCGCCUGCUGAAUUUCUGGUUUGGCCUUGUGCUUAAAGAACCUGUUUAAGUCACAUAAUAAUGGAGGUAAAAGGAGCUGAUGUUCACAAAAAAAAAGACGCAAGCAACACACUGAGUCAAACUAAGUGACGUGGCAAGGAGACUAGCUGUUCAUGCAAAAAGAAGAGAAGGACAAUUAUAUUCAGAAAGAGACAGGGCAUGAUAUUUUAGCAUCUUGUCAGAGAAAAACACGGGGAUACUUUGGCGCUAAAUACCUAUUAUCUGGAGCUAAAAAGCUACUGUUACUUCACAUCCAAACAAAAGUAUGGAGAAAAGGAGAGGACACACGGUACAUGUAUCAGUUGAUGCUGGCAGUCUGCGUGCAGAUUAUCUAUCGCCAAAAUAAAUCAGGUGCUAUCCAUCUAAAGUUUAUUUUAUUUAGCACACAUUGUUUUUUAUCAAAAGAACAAUUACUUUGAUUUAUAUAUUUUUAUACGCAGGACAAACUGUUUCAUGUUCAUGGCAGAUAUGAUGAUAUCAUCUGUCAUCCAAAUACAUCAGGACAAUUAUUCACCACCGAAGUGGAGUUAUAUCACGGAUAUGGAGUGCAUAGCAUCGUCAUUUUCCACUACAUUUAUCCGUACUGCCGUGCUCAACGGAAGUGCUUACACUACCGCCCUUGCGGUCUGGUCUACAUCAACACACCGGGCCGCACCUGUCUGCAUGAGGUGUCUAUUGAGUGUGAGCAAGUCACUGCUUGGGUAGCCCGGUUUUUCUUCCAAUACAUUGGAGGCAAAUUAUCAUUCAGCCGCCGUCUGCACUGGAUGGAUCAAUGGACAUGUGCACAAAUCGCUGCUACUACAAUUUGGUCAACUUCAAACAACCAGUUGGAAGGAACCAUUGGCCGAGUUGCUGACACGGCUCAUACGGGAUCAUUUAUAACCCGCCGCAGUCACCUCAAUCUUCUGUGGAUUUACAUCGUGUUAUCAACACCAAUGAUAUAUACCUUCUGCUAUGGUCAAAGUACAGAGAAUCUCAAGACAACUCCUUGAGUCAUCUUAAGACUCGGGGGCUACGAUGAUAUGAUGCAGUAAGUCUGGCCAGUUUCAGCAAAUUCAAGUGCACCAGGACAUUGGAGGGAAAGAUAACCCGGUCACGGAGGCUACUAUCAUAUGGAUGAAAAUUUAAAGGCCGUCAGAAAAUUUCCGGUUCAAAAUGAAGAAUGCUGGUUUAAAAUCCGGUUCAAGGAAAAUCCGUUCUCCUACAAAGCUUUGAAGCUCUCAAAUCCGGUUUAAGAAUUUCCAGUUCAAAAAGAAUUAAUUUCUCGCAAGUUCAAGCUUAAAGCUUCCAGCUAAAAAUGAAGAUUCCGGUUUAGAAUCCGGUUCAAGGGAAAGAUGUCUCCCAUAAAGCUUUGAAGCUCUCAAUAUCCGGUUCAAAAUCCCGGUUCGAGAAGAAUUUAUCUCUUGCAAAAAAUUAAGGGUUGCCGAAGAGGACCUGCUGCCAUGAUGCCCGGUUUAAACAUGGGUAUCCUGCCAUAUUGGCUUAUCAUAUUAUUGAUCACGUGGAGGCUUCUGUUUAUAAAGUGGAGUCCGGUUUACCACUUGAUUCAGCUUAUCAACGCGUUAUAUAACAUCACUUGGGGGCUUGGUCGUAUCCGAACCAUAGCUACACCUCUUGAUCUGUGCAAUGCCACAACAUCACUUGGGGGCUUGGUCGCAUCCGGACCAUAGUCACACCUCUUGAUCGUCUCAAAGCCAAAUCAAUCCGGGCCCAAAGAGAGUGUUGGAAAACAACAACUCAAACAUAGGCACCGGCUGAGCACAGCUCAAAAUGUUACUUGGGGAUUCUUUGCUGUCGAAAUGAACAAAGAAUCUACACAUGUAACAAGCUAUCAAGCCAUGGCUUGGAAGCCUGGUGUAUACACAUAAAACCCCGGGUUAGCCUGCCUAUUUAAGUAAGUCACUCUGCCCAGGUAAACCUGGUAUGACCCUUCGAACUUUGACAAGUUACUCUAAAUAAAGACCCUGAACUUGUCAACUUAAAACGAUGAUUGGUUAAGGAUUGAGGACCAUCUUAAAAGGCUUUGUGAAAUGGUUUAACUCAGUGGCCUGGCAGCCCAUGAAAAGCCUCGAAUUUGGGGCCUGGCAGCCCGUGAAAAGCCUCGACUACAAGGGUUUCAUUUGCUUUUUGCUAAGUUUUUUCUCUUUUUUGAUAGCGCUUAUGAUGUUUUUGAUAAACCGGCGUUCAUUGACCCGGCUCGGCUUUCAACUAUAAGUUGUCAGUGUUGGAAAUAUGCCCUAGAGGCAAUAAUAAAAGGAUUAUUAUUAUAUUUCCUUGUUCAUGAUAAUUGUCUUUAUUCAUGCUAUAAUUGUGUUAUCCGGAAAUCGUAAUACAUGUGUGAAUAACAGACACCAGCAUGUCCCUAGUAAGCCUCUAGUUGACUAGCUCGUUGAUCAACAGAUAGUCAUGGUUUCCUGACUAUGGACAUUGGAUGUCAUUGAUAACGAGAUCACAUCAUUAGGAGAAUGAUGUGAUGGACAAGACCCAAUCCUAAACAUAGCAUAAAGAUCGUGUAGUUCGUUUGCUAGAGUUUUUCCAAUGUCAAGUAAUUUUUCCUUAGACCAUGAGAUCGUGUAACUCCCGGAUACCGUAGGAGUGCUUUGGGUGUACCAAACAUCACAACGUAACUGGGUGACUAUAAAGGUAUACUACGGGUAUCUCCGAAAGUGUCUGUUGGGUUGACACGGAUCAAGACUGGGAUUUGUCACUCCGUAUGACGGAGAGGUAUCACUGGGCCCACUCGGUAAUGCAUCAUCAUUAUGAGCUCAAAGUAACCAAGUGUCUGGUCACGGGAUCAUGCAUUACGGUACGAGUAAAGUGACUUGUCGGUAACGAGAUUGAACGAUGUAUGGGGAUACCGAUGAUCGAAUCUCGGGCAAGUAACAUAUCGAUUGACAAAGGGAAUUGCAUACGGGAUUGCUUGAAUCCUCGACAUCGUGGUUCAUCCGAUGAGAUCAUCGUGGAGUAUGUGGGAGCCAACAUGGGUAUCCAGAUCCCACUGUUGGUUAUUGACCGGAGAGUCGUCUCGGUCAUGUCUACAUGUCUCCCGAACCCGUAGGGUCUACACACUUAAGGUUCGGUGACGCUAGGGUUGUAGGGAUAUGUAUAUGCAGUAACCCGAAUGUUGUUCGGAGUCCCGGAUGAGAUCCGGAUGUCACGAGGAGUUCCAGAAUGGUCCGUAGGUAAAGAUUUAUAUAUAGGAAGUCCUGUUUCGGGCAUCGGGACAAGUUUUGGGGUCAUCGGUAUUGUACCGGGACCACCGGAAGGGUCCCGGGGGUCCACUGGGUGGGGCCACCUGUCCCGGGGGGGCACAUGGGCUGUAGGGGGUGCGCCUUGGCCUACAUGGGCCAAGGGCAGCAGCCCCAAGAGGCCCAUGCGCCUAGGGUUUCAAGGGGGAAGAGUCCUAGGAGGGGAAGGCACCUCCUAGGUGCCUUGUGGGGGAGGGAAACCUCCCUUGGCCGCCNNNNNNNNNNNNNNNNNNNNNNNNNNNNNNNNNNNNNNNNNNNNNNNNNNNNNNNNNNNNNNNNNNNNNNNNNNNNNNNNNNNNNNNNNNNNNNNNNNNNNNNNNNNNNNNNNNNNNNNNNNNNNNNNNNNNNNNNNNNNNNNNNNNNNNNNNNNNNNNNNNNNNNNNNNNNNNNNNNNNNNNNNNNNNNNNNNNNNNNNNNNNNNNNNNNNNNNNNNNNNNNNNNNNNNNNNNNNNNNNNNNNNNNNNNNNNNNNNNNNNNNNNNNNNNNNNNNNNNNNNNNNNNNNNNNNNNNNNNNNNNNNNNNNNNNNNNNNNNNNNNNNNNNNNNNNNCCCCCUUGGCCCUCCUAUAUAUAGUGGGGGAAGGAGGGCUUUUGAUCCACGCCUUUGGUUGCCUCCUUCUCCCUCUCCAACACCUCCUCCUCCUCCAUAGCGCUUGGCGAAGCCCUGACGGAGUACUGCAGCUCCAUCAUCACCACGCCGUCGUGCUGCUGCUGGAGCCAUCUUCCUCAACCUCUCCUUCCCUCUUGCUGGAUCAAGAAGAAGGAGAUGUUACGCUGACCGUACGUGUGUUGAACACGGAGGUGCCGUCCGUUCGGUGCUAGGAUCUCCGGUGAUUUGGAUCACGUCGUGUUCGACUACCUCAUCCCCGUUCUUUGAAUGCUUCCGCUCGCGAUCUACAAAGGUAUGUAGAUGCAUCCGAUCACUCGUUGCUAGAUGAACUCAUAGAUGGAUCUUGGUGAAACCGUAGGAAAUUUUUUGUUUUCUGCAACGUUCCCCAACAGUGGCAUCAUGAGCUAGGUCUAUGCAUAGUUCUUCUUGCGCGAGUAGAACACAAUUUGUUGUGGGCGUAGAUGUUGUCAACUUUCUUGCCGCUACUAGUCUUAUCUUGCUUCAACGGUAUUGUGGGAUGAAGCGGCCCGGACCAACCUUACACGUAUGCUUACGUGAGACCGGUUCCAUCGACUAACAUGCACUAGUUGCAUAAGGUGGCUGGUGGGUGUCUGUCUCUCCUACUUUAGUUGGAGCGGAUUUGAUGAAAAGGGUCCUUAUGAAGGAUAAAUAGAAGUUGACAAAUCACGUUGUGGCUUUCACAUAGGUAAGAAAACGUUCUUGCUAGAACCCUACUUCAGCCACGUAAAACUUGCAACAACAAUUAGAGGACAUCUAACUUGUUUUUGCAGCAAGUGCUUUGUGAUAUGAUAUGGCCAAAGUUGUGAUGAAUGAUGAAUGAUAUAUAUGUGAUGUAUGAGUUGUUCAUGCUAUUGUAAUAGGAAUCACGACUUGCAUGUCGAUGAGUAUGACAACCGGCAGGAGCCAUAGGAGUUGUCUUUAAUUUUUGUAUGACCUGCGUGUCAUUGAGAAACGCCAUGUAAAUUACUUUACUUUAUUGCUAAACGCGUUAGCCAUAGUAGUAGAAGUAAUAGUUGGCGAGCAACUUCAUGGAGACACAAUGAUGGAGAUCAUGGUGUCAUGCCGGUGACAAGAUGAUUAUGGAGCCCCAAGAUGGAGAUCAAAGGAGCUAUGUGAUAUUGGCCAUAUCAUGUUACUAUUAUUAUUUGAUUGCAUUUGAUGUUUAUCAUGUUUUGCAUCUUGUUUGCUUAGAACGACGGUAGUAAAUAAGAUGAUCCCUCAUAAUAAUUUCAAGAAAGUGUUCCCCCUAACUGUGCACCGUUGCGACAGUUUGUUGUUUCAAAGCACCACGUGAUGAUCGGGUGUUUGAUUCAAAACGUUCGCAUACAACGGGUGUAAGACAGAUUUACACAUGCAAACACUUAGGUUGACUUGACGAGCCUAGCAUGUGUAUAGACAUGGCCUCGGAACACAGAAGACCGAAAGGUCGAGCAUGAGUCGUAUAGAAGAUACGAUCAACAUGAAGAUGUUCACCGACGUUGACUAGUCCGUCUCACGUGAUGAUCGGACAUGGCCUAGUUGACUCGGAUCAUGUUAUACUUAGAUGACUAGCAGAGGGAUGUCUAUCUAAGUGGGAGUUCAUUGAAUAAUUUGAUUAGAUGAACUUUAUUAUCAUGAACUUAGUCUCAAAUCUUUACAAUAUGUCUUGUAGAUCAAAUGGCCAACGUAGUCCUCAACUUCAACGCGUUCCUAGAGAAAACCAAGCUGAAAGACGAUGGCAGCAACUAUACGGACUGGGUCCGGAACCUGAGGAUCAUCCUCAUAGCUGCCAAGAAAGAUUAUGUCCUACAAGAACCGCUAGGUGAUCCACCCGUCCCACAAAACCAAGACGUUAUGAACGCUUGGCAGACACGUGCCGAUGACUACUCCCUCGUUCAGUGCGGCAUGUUUUACAGUUUAGAGCCGGGGCUCCAAAAGCGUUUUGAGAGACAUGGAGCAUAUGAGAUGUUCGAAGAGCUGAAAAUGGUUUUUCAAGCUCAUGCCCGGGUCGAGAGAUAUGAAGUCUCCGACAAAUUCUUUAGCUGUAAGAUGGAGGAAAAUAGUUCUGUCAGUGAGCACAUACUCACUAUGUCUGGGUUACAUAACCGCUUGACUCAGCUGGGAGUUAAUCUCCCGGAUGAUGCGGUCAUUGACAGAAUCCUCCAGUCGCUUCCACCAAGCUACAAGAGCUUUGUGAUGAACUUCAAUAUGCAGGGGAUGGAAAAGACCAUUCCUGAGGUAUUUGCAAUGCUGAAAUCAGCAGAGGUAGAAGUCAAGAAGGAACAUCAAGUGUUGAUGGUCAAUAAAACCACUAAGUUCAAGAAGGGCAAGGGUAAAAAGAACUUAAAGAAGGACGGCAAAGGAGUUGCCGCGCCUGGCAAGCAAGCUGCUGGGAAGAAGCCAAAGAAUGGACCCAAGCCCGAGACUGAGUGCUUUUAUUGCAAGGGAAGUGGUCACUGGAAGCGAAGCUGCCCCAAAUACUUAGCGGACAAGAAGGUCGGCAAAACAAAAGGUAUAUAUGAUAUACAUGUAAUUGAUGUGUACCUUACUAGUACCUGUAGUAGCUCCUGGGUAUUUGAUACCGGUGCAUUUGCUCACAUUUGUAACUCAAAGCAGGGGCUGCGGAAUAAGCGGAGACUGGCAAAGGACGAGGUGACGAUGUGCGUCGGGAAUGGUUCCAAGGUCAAUGUGAUCGCUGUCGGCACGCUACCUCUAUAUUUACCUUCGGGAUUAGUUUUAAACCUUAAUAAUUGUUAUUUAGUGCCAGCUUUGAGCAUGAACAUUGUAUCGGGAUCUCGUUUAAUUCGAGAUGGCUACUCAUUUAAAUCCGAGAAUAAUGGUUGUUCUAUUUAUAUGAGAGAUAUGUUUUAUGGUCAUGCACCUAUGGUGAAUGGUUUAUUCUUAAUGAAUCUCGAGCGUAAUGCUACACAUAUUCAUAGUGUGAGUACCAAAAGAUGUAAAGUUGAUAAUGAUAGUCCCACAUACUUGUGGCACUGCCGCCUUGGUCACAUAGGUGUCAAACGCAUGAAGAAGCUCCAUGCAGAUGGACUUUUAGAGUCUCUUGAUUACGAAUCAUUUGACAUGUGCGAACCAUGCCUCAUGGGUAAGAUGACCAAGACUCCGUUCUCAGGAACAAUGGAGCGAGCAACCAACUUAUUGGAAAUCAUACAUACUGAUGUGUGCGGUCCAAUGAGUGUUGAGGCUCGCGGUGGCUAUCGUUAUGUUCUCACCCUCACUGAUGAUUUGAGUAGAUAUGGGUAUAUCUACUUAAUGAAACACAAGUCUGAAACCUUUGAAAUGUUCAAGGAAUUUCAGAGUGAGGUUGAGAAUCAACGUGACAGGAAAAUCAAGUUUCUACGAUCAGAUCAUGGAGGAGAAUACUUGAGUCAGGAAUUUGGCACACACUUAAGAAAAUGUGGAAUAGUUUCACAGCUAACGCCGCCUGGAACACCUCAGCGUAAUGGUGUGUCUGAACGUCGUAAUCGCACUCUAUUAGAUAUUGUACAAUCUAUGAUGUCUCUUACCGAUUUACCGCUAUCUUUUUGGGGCUAUGCUUUAGAGACUGCCGCAUUCACUUUAAAUAGGGCUCCGUCGAAAUCCGUUGAGACGACACCGUUUGAAUUAUGGUUUGGGAAGAAACCUAAGCUGUCGUUUCUAAAAGUUUGGUGAUGCGAUGCUUAUGUCAAGAAACUUCAACCUGAAAAGCUCGAACCCAAGUUGGAAAAAUGCGUCUUCAUAGGAUACCCUAAAGAAACUGUUGGGUAUACCUUCUACCUUAGAUCCGAAGGCAAGAUCUUUGUUGCCAAGAAUGGAUUCUUUCUAGAGAAAGAGUUUCUCUCGAAAGAAGUAAGUGGGAGGAAAGUAGAACUUGAUGAAGUGUUACCUCUUGAACCGGAAAAUGGCACAACUCAAGAAAAUGUUCCUGAGGUGCCUGCACCAACUAGAGAGGAAGUUAUUGAUGAUGAUCAAGAUACUUCUGAUCAAGCUCCUACAGAAAUUUAAAGGUCCACAAGGACACGUUCCGCACCAGAGUGGUACGGCAACCCUGUCAUGGAAAUCAUGUUGUUAGACAACGGUGAACCUUCGAACUAUGAAGAAGCGAUGGCGGGCCCGGAUUCCGACAAAUGGCUAGAAGCCAUGAAAUCCGAGAGAGGAUCCAUGUAUGAAAACAAAGUAUGGACUUUGACUGACUUGCCCGUUGAACGGCGAGCCAUAGAAAAGAAAUGGAUCUUUAAGAAGAAGACAGACGCGGAUGGUAAUGUGACCAUCUAUAAAGCUAGGCUUGUCGCUAAGGGUUAUCGACAAGUUCAAGGGGUUGACUACGAUGAGACUUCCUCACCGGUAGCGAAGCUAAAGUCCGUCCGAAUCAUGUUAGCAAUUGCCGCAUUCUACGAUUAUGAAAUAUGGCAGAUGGACGUCAAAACGGCAUUCCUUAAUGGUUUCCUUAAGGAAGAAUUGUAUAUGAUGCAGCCGGAAGGUUUUGUCGAUCCUAAGAAUGCUAACAAGGUGUGCAAGCUCCAACGCUCGAUUUAUGGGCUGGUGCAAGCAUCUCGGAGUUGGAACAUUCGCUUUGAUGAGAUGAUCAAAGCGUUUGGGUUUACGCAGACUUAUGGAGAAGCCUGCGUUUACAAGAAAGUGAGUGGGAGCUCUGUAGCAUUUCUCAUACUAUAUGUAGAUGACAUACUUUUGAUGGGAAAUGAUAUAGAACUCUUGGACAGCAUCAAGGCCUACUUGAAUAAGAGUUUUUCAAUGAAGGACCUUGGUGAAGCUGCUUAUAUAUUAGGCAUCAAGAUCUAUAGAGAUAGAUCAAGACGCCUCAUAGGUCUUUCACAAAGCACAUACCUUGAUAAGAUAUUGAAGAAGUUCAAUAUGGAUCAGUCUAAGAAGGGGUUCUUGCCUGUGUUGCAAGGUGUGAAAUUGAGCUUAGCUCAAUGUCCGACCACGGCAGAAGAUAUAGAAGAGAUGAGCGUCAUCCCCUAUGCCUUAGCCAUAGGUUCUAUUAUGUAUGCCAUGCUGUGUACCAGACCUGAUGUAAACCUUGCCGUAAGUUUGGUAGGCAGGUACCAAAGUAAUCCCGGCAAGGAACACUGGACAGCGGUCAAGAAUAUCCUGAAGUACCUGAAAAGGACUAAGGAAAUGUUUCUCGUUUAUGGAGGUGACGAAGAGCUCGUCGUAAAGGGUUACGUCGACGCUAGCUUCGACACAGAUCCGGAUGACUCUAAGUCACAAACCGGAUAUGUGUAUAUUUUGAAUGGUGGGGCAGUAAGCUGGUGCAGUUGCAAGCAGAGCGUCGUGGCGGGAUCUACAUGUGAAGCGGAGUACAUGGCAGCCUCGGAGGCAGCACAUGAUGCAAUAUGGGUGAAGGAGUUCAUCACCGACCUAGGAGUCAUACCCAAUGCGUCGGGGCCGAUCAAGCUCUUCUGUGACAACACUGGAGCUAUUACUCUUGCCAAGGAGCCCGGGUUUCACAAGAAGACAAGGCACAUCAAGCGUCGCUUCAACUCCAUUCGUGAAAAUGUUCAAGAUGGAGACAUAGAGAUUUGUAAAGUACAUACGGACUUGAAUGUAGCGGAUUCGUUGACAAAACAUCUCCCUAGAGCAAAACAUGAUCAACACCAAAAUUCCAUGGGUGUUCGAUUCAUCACAAUGUAACUAGAUUAUUGACUCUAGUGCAAGUGGGAGACUGUUGGAAAUAUGCCCUAGAGGCAAUAAUAAAAGGAUUAUUAUUAUAUUUCCUUGUUCAUGAUAAUUGUCUUUAUUCAUGCUAUAAUUGUGUUAUCCGGAAAUUGUAAUACAUGUGUGAAUAACAGACACCAGCAUGUCCCUAGUAAGCCUCUAGUUGACUAGCUCGUUGAUCAACAGAUAGUCAUGGUUUCCUGACUAUGGACAUUGGAUGUCAUUGAUAACGAGAUCACAUCAUUAGGAGAAUGAUGUGAUGGACAAGACCCAAUCCUAAACAUAGCAUAAAGAUCGUGUAGUUCGUUUGCUAGAGUUUUUCCAAUGUCAAGUAUUUUUUCCUUAGACCAUGAGAUCGUGUAACUCCCGGAUACUGUAGGAGUGCUUUGGGUGUACGAAACGUCACAACGUAACUGGGUGACUAUAAAGGUAUACUACGGGUAUCUCCGAAAGUGUCUGUUGGGUUGACACGGAUCAAGACUGGGAUUUGUCACUCCGUAUGACGGAGAGGUAUCACUGGGCCCACUCGGUAAUGCAUCAUCACUAUGAGUUCAAGUAACCAAGUGUCUGGUCACGGGAUCAUGCAUUACGGUAUGAGUAAAGUGACUUGCCGGUAACGAGAUUGAACGAGGUAUGGGGAUACCGACGAUUGAAUCUCGGGCAAGUAACAUAUCGAUUGACAAAGGGAAUUGCAUACGGGAUUGCUUGAAUCCUCGACAUCGUGGUUCAUCCGAUGAGAUCAUCGUGGAGUAUGUGGGAGCCAACAUGGGUAUCCAGAUCCCGCUGUUGGUUAUUGACCGGAGAGUCGUCUCGGUCAUGUCUACAUGUCUCCCGAACCCGUAGGGUCUACACACUUAAGGUUCGGUGAUGCUAGGGUUGUAGGGAUAUGUAUAUGCAGUAACCCGAAUGUUGUUCGGAGUCCCGGAUGAGAUCCCGGACGUCACGAGGAGUUCCGGAAUGGUCCGGAGGUAAAGAUUUAUAUAUAGGAAGUCCUGUUUCGGCAUCGGGACAAGUUUCGGGGUCAUUGGUAUUGUACCGGGACCACCGGAAGGGUCCCGGGGGUCCACCGGGUGGGGCCACCUGUCCCGGGGGGCCAUACGGGCUGUAGGGGGUGCGCCUUGGCCUACAUGGUCCAAGGGCACCAGUCCCAAGAGGCCCAUGCGCCUAGGGUUUCAAGGGGGAAGAGUCCUAGGAGGGGAAGGCACCUCCUAGGUGCCUUGUGGGGGAGGGAAACCUCCCUUGGCCGCUGCCCCCCUAGGAGAUUGGAUCUCCUAGGGCCGGCGCCCCCCCUGGCCCUCCUAUAUAUAGUGGGGGAAGGAGGGCUUUUGAUCCACGCCUUUGGUUGCCUCCUUCUCCCUCUCCAACACCUCCUCCUCCUCCAUAGCGCUUGGCGAAGCCCUGACGGAGUACUGCAACUCCAUCAUCACCACGCCGUCGUGCUGCUGCUGGAGCCAUCUUCCUCAACCUCUCCUUCCCUCUUGCUGGAUCAAGAAGAAGGAGACAUUACGCUGACCGUACAUGUGUUGAACGCGGAGGUGCCGUCCGUUCGGUGCUAUGAUCUCCGGUGCUUUGGAUCACGUCGUGUUCGACUACCUCAUCCCCGUUCUUUGAACGCUUCCGCUCGCGAUCUACAAAGGUAUGUAGAUGCAUCCGAUCACUCGUUGCUAGAUGAACUCAUAGAUGGAUCUUGGUGAAACCGUAGGAAAAUUUUUGUUUUCUACAACGUUCCCCAACAGUCAGUAGAUGAUCAGUUAUAAUCCGGCACUUAUUGACCCGGUCUGGUUUCGACUACAAGUCGCCAGUAUUAUAUAUGGAUAAUCCGGUGUUUAUUACAACCCGGUAUGGUUUUGUUACAAAUCGGCAAAUAUGGGAGGAGUUAUCACUACUCAAGAUUUGGGUUAUCACCCUUACUACAAAAAGUUGGUAAAACCAACAAUGUGAUUCAAUGUCACAGGUAUGAUAUAUUUCAUAUUUGAUUAUUCUUAAGUGCAGCCUUGGUUAUAAACCCGGGUUAUGUGUUGGGCAUUAUGACCCGUCCGGCGGUAAACUGCCAGGACACUUUAAACUUGUUGUAUGCAGAAACAGGUUUGUUAAACCGGCCUGGCUUUGGACUAUAAGUCGCCAGUAUAUAUAUUUGGAUUGCGCCAUUGGAAUCAUGCGCUUAUAAAUCAUUGGGUCAUAUUAUUCAAAUAGCCAAACUUGGCUGAAUUUUCAUUAUGAUAUUGAAUGAAUAAGGUUUUCAUACUGGAUUAUAUUAUCUUGAAUAGCCAACAUGGCUGGAUUUUUAUGGUUAUUAAUAACCGGUAUUAUUAAGUUUUCAAAGUUGCUUUAGCGCACUGGCUAUUAUUUUAUCAAAUGAUAUGAUUUAUUCUACAAUGAAAGGAAUAGUCCCGAGUCAUUGCAGGUUUACAACCCGGCACUUGGGGGCUAAUGCAAAGUCAUUUUUACUAGUCUUAUUGAAGACCCGACUCAUCAUAUUAUAAUGAGCCAGCCCUUCGGGGCUACCAAUUGCUCCUGUCAACAAUUCAAGGUACACAAGUUUUCAUCCAUAAUAUUGAAGAAUCCAUUGCUCAGUUGGUAAAGCACAAAGCUCUUAACCUUGUGGACGUGGGUUCAAGCCCUACGAUGGAAGCUACAUUAUAAUAUGUUAUUUUCAUUAAAGUGUAUAUAUCAAGUCCCGGUUCAGUAUUAUCUUACUAAGCCGGCCUUUGGGGGCUACACGUUGCUGUUCAAAGUUUACAAGAUUAUAUUUACAAAGUCCUUGCUCAUUAUUGCAUAAUAACCCGGCCCUUGGGGGCUACACUGGUUGAAGUUUUUAUGAGCAUCAAGCAAUUACAAGUCCCAGGUUGCUGCAAACAUGACAACCCGGCACUUGGGGGCUACAUAUAUGGAGUAUUCAGUUUAUAUAAUUGAGAUGAACAAACCGGAUUUCUUCAAGGUUGAAACACUUAUUGGAGCAAGUCUUAAGUUAUCACUAUGUUCUCCUCUUAAGACUUGGGGGCUACAUGUAUUAUGCAUAUAAAGGAGGAACAUCUUCUUUUUAUCAGUUUUGAGCAAAUCAGGAAGAUCAAUUACAUGACCCGGUGUCGACAACAAUUAUGACCCGGCGCCAUCAAUAUUUAUAAACCGGCUAUUUUGGUAAUAUUAAACCGGCAAGUUUUACAUCCUCAAACCGGUUGAAUAUCAGAUAAGUAUUUUCAAACCCAUAUUUCUUAAACCGGCGCUUUGGGAGCUGAGUCAAAGGAGUCAUUCUUCACGAUAUUUCUCGGUGACAAACCAAGGUCGGCAAAUUGAUUAUGAAGCUGGUCUGUUGACUCGGAUUUAUCAGAAGGAGGAAAUGACAAGGACUUAAGGAUGAUCAGGAGCCGGUCUACAAGAAUUCUUAACCCGGAGCACAACCUGUCAAAUUUGUUCUUGUGUUUAUUUUACAGGAUCAGUUUAACAUGGAUAAAUCCAAGUUAAACUAGGGGCUAAUGUAGGGAUAUACCCCGUGGCGUAAACCGGCUGGAAGUAUAACCCGUCCGGACUUGGCGGUUUACUUGAGACCCGGCUGAGACUUGACGAUUCACUGGUGACCCGUUUGGACCUGGCGGUUUACGAUUCAUUAGUAAUCCGGCAGGCGGGUCAGAGGAGCGACAAGACCCGGUGGCCCAACGGGCGGUUCAUGAAGGCCGGUCAUACUAUUGUGGGCCGGUUUAAGAGGAGAGGCAUGAGGAAUAUUUACCUUACAAGGAGUUAAGACCAGGACUUGUAUCCGGUUUGUAUUAGAGAUAGACUAGUCCUAAUCCUAAUAGGACUCCACAUGUAAACCGCCCCUUCAACAUAUAUAAGGAGGGGUAGGGCUCCCCAAAGAGGGACGAGCAAGAAGAAACAAUCUUAGGGCUAGACACAAAGAGGAGAGCCGGUUUACGGCGACUCCCUCGUGAUGAUAAUGAGACCUAGCCUCAAACAGCAUGUAGGGCUAUUACCGGAUGAUGUUUCCCGGGGCCCGAAGCUGUCUAAAUCCUUGUCUUGCAUGUUGAUCCACCCUGCGUCUCUCGUCCCACUCAACCCCUCUCAAGCUACCACAUAGAUGCGUUGGCCUCUUGACUAAGUCCUGACACUAAGGACAUCUUCCGUGACAAAUCCACGACAGACUCUAAACGAAAAGAUCCCCAGGAGUAUGCAGACAUGACUGAAAUCCUCAAGAAGUAAGUUAAAUCGAUCAUUAUCCACCAUAUCAGUAACUUUGUUCAUUUCCUGAUAUCAAGUAAUUGUUUUCUUUGUCCGGCAGGGUUUGGAGAAAAUUCACCAGAAAAGUUCCAGGACUGCCGAAGGAGCUGGAAUUUAGACACCCGAAAGUAAGUACUAUACUAGCAUGUUCCGCGCAUCUCCUAGUGAUUCAAGCGCUAGUUUCAUCAAUACCAUUUAGCAUUCUUGCUUAUCAGUUUGAUUGACCUCUAUUUCUUGUAAAGUGGUUGUGGCAGGAACAAGGGAAUGAUUUCUGUGGAUACUACGUCUGCGAGUCCAUCCGCCACACGACCUGUGAGCGGGGCAGGUACUCUGACGAACAAUAUGAAGUACGUAAAUAACAACAUUCACAAUUUUAUUUUAUUACCAUCAUUUGUGUUGAGUUUCAUUCAUUCAUAUAUAUAUGUAUUGACCCCCUUCUUCAAAUUAGAUGUUUCAGAAGCGGGAUGAACUCCUAGCACCAGCUCGCAUGCGAGCAAUUCAAGAGGAAUUGGCGGCAUUCUUUCUUGACCACGUGAUCGCUGAAGACGGAGAAUACUAUGUGGACCAUGAGUCCGUAUGAUUAUAUUUGUAAGAGAUAAUUAUUGUAUAUAUGUAGCCGGUAGUGUCGGAUAGAUAUACGAGAACUUGUUGUUCGACCAAUCUCUCGGAGAAGGAGAGGUGGUCGAUAUCACUUCUCUCUGUAUGCAUAUAUGUUCAUGAUGAUCUUCUGUUUCCUUCGUUUGCUUACUAGCUAGCUAGCGUGUCUAGUCCUCUCUAUACUUAUGUAUAGUACGUAGCGUCGACCAAGCAUGGACAUAAGAGAGGACACUUCUCUCUAUUAAUUAUAGCUAGCUAACACAAUAUAUGAAACACCUAAAUUAACCCCCCAAAACCCCUAAACCCCCCCCCCUUCAAAAAAAGAACAAAAACCCCAGCCAUAGAAAUGCAUACGCCUGGAUGCCUAUUGGUCCCGGUUAGUGCCACCAACCGGGACCAAAGGGUCUCCUGCCUGGGCUCCGCGCAUAGGCCAUGUGGAGGCCCAUCAGUCCCGGUUCUGGAUUGAACCGGGACUAAAGGGACAGGGCAUUAGUACCGACUUUAGUCCCGGUUCAGGAACCGGGACUAAAGGCCCUUACGAACCGGGACAACAGGCCCUUUUUCUACCAGUGGAAGCACAACCAGCUAGUCGUAGUUUAGCAUCUAUCGCAUUUGAUGUUGUUAAAUCAUAUGUGUGUAUCUUCCCAUCUUGGAAAUAUUAUACUGAAGAUGAAGGAAAAUGCCAAUUGCAGGUGUUUGUCCAGGAGUUAUGUGUAAGUAAUGUUAUUCAUGGCAAUUACUUUGCUUCGCCCCAUACAUCCUACCUCCAUGAUGGUUAUAAUACAACAAAUUUUCCCAUUUUUCUCUAUAGAGAAGGACCAAUUUGGAAACUCAGGAUGAGGUAACCUAUGCUAAUACCUCUGCUAUCUUCAAGAAUGCUUGGUGGCAGUAUCGGAAUUACCUGAAGAAAACGUACUUCACCGGCAAAGAAACUCAUCAAAUUCCCUUACGUUCUCCUGAGAGACAUUUACUGGACAAUGACUGGGAAUGCCUUGUUCUGUACUGGUCCCAAACUAAGAAUGUGGUAAGGUCUAUGAGCUCAUUUCUAUUUUAAGUAUUAUAUUCUUGCGUCUUACUGUACUCUGUUCAUGUAGAACAUGUGCCUAAACCUGAAGAACAAUUGUUCUAAUUUAAGAUUCCAUUGCUACCAUAGGACAUAGAUAUAUAUUUGUUUGAUGCUUAUAUUAUGUACUAGUACUUGGCAAUAGAAGACUUGGUAGUUUAAUCCUGUCCACCUUACUAAUGAACUGGUUCACCGAAAUGAGUUUCAUAUACUAGUACAUGUUAAACUUGUUAUGUGUCUAUUGUUUCUUCUUUUAGAAUGCUGACAGAAUAUUGGGGAAGAGUGCCUUAUUAAGCAACGGUAAAGGAAGUAAUGCAGAUAAAGUUCAGGAUAGUGACACAUCCUGUCUUGGUUUAGUGUUGGAGUUACUGGCCACUACCGCUUGCACAAGCUAUUCAAACUCACUAUCUGAAUCAGUUCGGUUUCUUAAGUCUCAACUACAAGCUGAAAGACAUCGAUCAGCUGUGCUGCGAAAAGAAGCGGAAGGACUGCAGAAGUCCUUGGAGCAUUCAGAUGCAUACUUUCUGGUGCAACAGCAAGUGUUGGAGGAUUUUAGCGCCGAACAUGACAAAGCUAAUCAGCUUGCUAAGCUUAUUGCCAGCAUGGUGGAUACUCAGGAUAAUGUUUCUUGAGCUCUUGUGAAGUUGUUUCAGUUAUGCUCUUGUUUUGCUACCGCAUUUAUUUGCACUGGUGGCCAAUUUGGACGGCCAGUGUAUAUGAUAUGCUGCUUUGUUCCCUAUUCUAGAUGAUUCCCCGCGCGUUGCAGCGGGAAUUAGUAGCUCAAAAUUUCUUGAAAUAUCAUUAAGAAGAUAUGAGAUUAUUAAACAAAUAAUUCAUCACUGAGAAUAGCAAUGACUCAUUUUUUCCAUGAAAAUGAAAAACGGGAAAUUGUGAUUCCAUCAGUGCAAAUUGAUGUGAAAGUUAGCAUUGCAGUAUAUACUUUUAAGGAUUUUGGGGACUAAAACAUUUCUAAUAUCUUGUAGAACAUUAACAAAAAUAAUCAUCAGCAAGAAAAUAGUAUUGGCAAAUGAUCAAUGCUUCCAUUCCCUUGCAGACACAUUCAUUCAGUCUACAAUGUUAUAAUAAUGUACAACCAGUAUGGUUAGAGAAAGAAUUACAAUUUGCAACAGGAAUAUAUAUUAGCCAUUAUGGGGAAAAGAAGGUAGCCUGCCAUUUCAGAAAGCAUUAUGGAGGCAUGCCAUGGAGCAAUUAAAACAUCGGAACCACAUUACGCAGCAGAGUUAUAUAUAUGAAAUCAGGGAGAUAGGGUCUUUUUCUGCACUUAAACCAACAUGAGAUGAAGUAAGGUAUUAUGAGGAGGGAUAUAGUAUACAUUAUACGGUACUUAAAAAUCAUUAAGUGUAUUUGAUAACCCACAAGUAUAGGGGAUCGCAACAGUUUUCAAUAAGUAAGAAUGUCGAACCCAACGAGGAGCUAAAGGUAGAACAAAUAUUCCCUCAAGUUCUAUCGACCACCGAUACAACUCUACGCAUGCUUGACGUUCUCUUUACCUAGAACAAGUAUGAAACUAGAAGUACUUUGUAGGUGUUUUCGGAAAGGCUUGCAAGAAAGUAAAGAGCACGAAAAUAAAAGUAGGGGCUGUUAAGGUAAAGAAGCAACUAAAGUAAAUAUAGCGAGUGUGGAAAAGUGGUGGUAGGAGCUGCGAAAUUGUCCCUUAAGCAAUUGACUACUUUACUAGACCGAUAGCAAGUAUUAUGUGGGAGAGGCCACUGCUAACAUGUCAUCCCUGACUUGGAAUUCUAUGCACUUAUGAUUGGAACUAUUAGCAAGCAUCCGCAACUACUAAUGUUCAUUAAGGUAAAACCCAACCAUAGCAUUAAGAUGUAUUGGUCCCCCUUCAUUCCCGUAUGCAUCAAUAUCUAUGCUAGGAUGAAGCUUCUGUCACUCUUGCCCUCCAAUACAUAGUCCUAUCAACAUACAACUAACCCUAGGGUGUGAUCCACGCGCGCAAUCAUAUGAUGGGCACCAAAGGACAUCAACAUAACCACAAGCAAAUUAAAUCAAUCAUAGUAAUUCAUCAACCACCGAUAGGACAACGAAAAUCUACUCAUACAUGAUAGGAUGGCAACAAAUCAUUGGUUAAUAAUAUGAAGCAUAAAGCACCAUGUUCAAGUAGAGGGUACCGCGGUUUGCGGGAGAGUGGACCGCUGUAGAUAGAAGGGGGAAGGUGAUGGGGAUGUUGGUGAAGAUGGCGGAGGUGUUCGUGAAGAUCGCGGUGAUGAUGAUGAUGGCCACGGCGGCGUUCCGGCGCCACCGAAGGAGAGGGGUAGAGGGGCUCCCUUCUUCCUCUUCUUCCUUGACCUCCUCCCUAGAUGGGAGAAGGGUUUCCCCUCUGUUCCUUGGCCUCCAUGGCAUGGGAGGGGUGAGAGCCCCUCUGAGAUUGGAUCGAUCUCUCUGUUUCUCUCUCGUUCUGCGUUCUGUUCUGGCUCUGUUUCACCGUUUUGUGUAUAUAUGGAGAUCCGUAACUCCGAUUGGCCUGAAACCUUCGCCGUGAUUUUUUCCGAAUAUUAGCUUUCUUGCGGCAAAAGAAGAGCGUCAACCACCUUACGGUGGGCUCACGAGGGUAGGGGCGCGCCCUAAGGGAGGGUGCACCCCCUGCCUCGUGACCACCUCGGGCACUGGUUCGCGUUGAUUUUCCAUCCGAGUCUUCCAUAUUUUCCAAAAAUAAGGUCCGUCCAUUUUUAUCCCGUUUGGACUCCGUUUGAUAUGGAUAUUCUGCGAAACCAAAAACAUGCAACAGACAGGAACUGGCACUGGGCACUGGAUCAAUAUGUUAGUCCCAAAAAUAAUAUAAAAAAGUUGCCAAAAAGUAUAUGAAAGUUGAAUAAUAUUGGCAUGGAACAAUCAAAAAUUAUAGAUACGACGGAGACGUAUCAGCAUCCCGAAGCUUAAUUCCUGCUCGUCCUCGAGUAGGUAAAUGAUAAAAAGAUAAUUUUUGAUGUGGAAUGCUACCUAGCAUAAUCUUGAUCAUAUGUCUAAUCAUGGCAUGAAUAUUAAGACACGAGUGAUUCAAAGCAAUAGUCCAUCCUUUGACAUUAAGACAAUAAUACUUCAAGCAUACUAAUAAAGCAAUCAUGUAUUUUCAAAAUAACAUGGCCAAAGAAAGUUAUCCCUACAAAAUCAUAUAGUCUGGCUAUGCUCCAUCUUCACCACACAAAAUAUUCACAUCAUGCACAACCCCGAUGACAAGCCAAGCAAUUGUUUCAUACUUUUGACGUUCUCAAACCUUUUCAACUUUCACGCAAUACAUGAGCGUGAGCCAUGGACAUAGCACUAUAGGUGGAAUAGAAUAUGAUGGUGGAGAAGACAAAAAGGAGAAGAUAGUCUCACAUCAACUAGGCGUAUCAAUGGGCUAUGGAGAUGCCCAUCAAUAGAUAUCAAUGUGAGUGAGUAGGGAUUUCCAUGCAACAAAUGCACUAGAGCUAUAAGUGUAUGAAAGCUCCAACUGAAACUAAGUGGGUGUGCAUCCAACUUGCUUGCUCAUGAAGACAUCGGGCAUUUGAGGAAGCCCAUCAUCGGAAUAUACAAGCCAAGUUCUAUAAUGAAAAUUCCCACUAGUAUAUGAAAGUGAUAACUCAAGAGACUCUCUAUAUGAAGAAAAUGGUGCUACUUUGAAGCACAAGUGUGGAAAAAGGAUAGUAGCACUGCCCCUUCUCUCUUUUUCUCUCAUUUUUUUUAUUUUUUUUGGUGGGCUUCUUUGGCCUCUUUUUUUAUUUUGGCUUCUCUUUGGCCUCUUUUAUUUUCUUUGUAAAGUCCGGAGUCUCAUCCCGACUUGUGGGGGAAUCAUAGUUUCCAUCAUCCUUUCCUCACUGGGGCAAUGCUCUAAUAAUGAUGAUCAUCACACUUUUAUUUACUUACAGCUCAAUAUUACAACCCGAUAUCUAGAACAAAGAUAUGACUCUAUAUGAAUGCCUCCGGCGGUGUACCGGGAUGUGCAAUGAUCUAGCGUAGCAAUGAUGUCAAAAAUGGACAAGCCAUUAAAACAUCAUGCUAGCUAUCUUACGAUCAUGCAAAGCAAUAUGACAAUGAAUGCUCAAGUCAUGUAUAUGAUGAUGAUGGAAGUUGCAUGGCAAUAUAUCUCGUAAUGGCUAUGGAAAUGCCAUGAUAGGUAGGUAUGGUGGCUGUUUUGAGGAAGGUAUAUGGUUGGUUUAUGGUACCGGCGAAAGUUGCGCGGUACUAGAGAGGCUAGCAAUCGUGGAAGGGUGAGAGUACGUAUAAUCCAUGGACUCAACAUUAGUCAUAAAGAACUCACAUACUUAUUGCAAAAAUCUAUUAGUCAUCGAAACAAAGUACUACGUGCAUGCUCCUAGGGGCAUAGAUUGGUAGGAAAAGACCAUCGCUCGUCCCCGACCGCCACUCAUAAGGAAGACAAUCAAUAAAUAAAUCAUGCUCCGACUUCGUUACAUAACGAUUCACCAUACGUGCAUGCUACCUGAAUCACAAACCUCAACACCAGUAUUUCUAAAAUCCACAAUGACCCACUAGCAUGACUCUAAUAUCACAAUCUUUAUAUCGCAAAACUAUUGCAAGGAAUCAAACAUAUCAUAUUCAGUGAUCUACAAGUUUUAUGUAUGAUUUUAUGACUAACCAUGUGAAUGACCAGUUCAUGUCAUCUCUCCAAAUAGAUAUAAGUGAAGAAAGAGAGUUUAAUUCUUUCUACAAAAGAUAUGCCCCUGCUCUAACAAAUAUAAGUGAAGCAAAAGAGCAUUCUGCCAAUGGCGGUUGUCUAAGUAAAGAGAAACAGGCAGUCCAAACUUCAAAUGUUAUAAGUGAAGCACAUGAAGCAUUCUAUAAAGCCAUACUCAAAAAAUAUAAGUAAAGUGCAAAGAGCAUUCUAUAAAUCAACCAAGGACUAUCUCAUACCAGCAUGGUGCAUAAAAAGAAAAAUAAAAAACCUAAAUGCAAAAGACGCUCCAAGACUUGCACAUAUCGCAUGAACGAAACGAAUCCGAAAACAUACCGAUAUUUGUUGAAGAAAGAGGGGAUGCCUCCCCAGCAUCCCCAAUCUUAGACGCUUGAGUCUCCUUGAAUAUUUACUUGUGGUGCCUCCUGCAUCCCCAAGCUUGAUCUCUUGCCUCUCUUCCUUCUUCUCACAUCGACACCUUCUCGUUCAUCGAACACUUCAUCCACACAAAACUCCAACAAAAAACUCGGUAAGAUCUGUUAGUAUAAUAAAGCAAAUCACUACUCUAGGUACUGUUGAAAACCAAUUCAUAUUUUGCUUUUUCAUUGUGUCUACUGUAAUAUAACUUUUUCAUGGCUUAAUCCACUGAUAUAAAUUGAUAGUUUCAUCAAAACAAGCAAACUAUGCAUCAAAAACAGAAUCUGUCUAAAACAGAACUGUCUGUAAUAAUCUGAACAUUCACCAUACUUAUGUUACUUGAAAAAUUCUACCAAAAGUAAAAAUAAACAAUUUGUAUAUGAAGACAGCGCAAAAACAAUCAGAACCAUUUGACGUUCCAGCAAAAAAUGUAAAAUCGCGCACUACAGCCAAAGUUUCUGUCCUGCACCGUACAAACCAUCAAGCAAAUGCAAACAUCCUAAAGGCAAACCUUGGCACAUUAUUUUUAUAAUAAAAUGGAAUUGUACAAGGGGAUAAUUAUUUUUAUUGAAAAGUUUUUGUAAUCAAGAUUCACAAAGUUGCCGUGAGCAUGAACAAAGUUCAAGGAGCUCUCCCACUUCAACAAUGCUUGUCUUUCUCACUUUCGGUUUCCUUUUUGAAAAGGUUUUGGGUUCCUCUCUUUAUUUUUGUUGUUUUUAAACUAUGUGAAAGCACUGAACAGAAAUAAAUGACUCUCUAAAACUUCCGGGUUGUCUCCCUGGCAGCGCUUUCUUUAAAGCCAUUAAGCUAGGCAUAUAGUGCUCAAGUAAUGGAUCCACCCGGAUCCCAAGGUAUAUCAAAGCCAAUUUUAAUUAACAAUGAUUUGUAAUUUAGUAGUGAGCACAAAGUAACAUAUAUCAUGCAAUGACGAAGUCUAACUCUCUUCCUAUGCAUAGGCAUGUCAUAAAAGAACAAUUCAUGCACACAAAGUAAAUGCCAAUGCAUAGUAUAAACAGUUUCUUGCAAUUUUAUCAUAUUGGAAACAUAGAGAGGUGGAGAUAUAGUUCCUCUCUCAUAAUAAUUGCAAGUAGGAGCAGCAAGCACAUGCAUAUUAUAUUCAUCAAAAUCAUCAUGUGCAACGGUAAAAGGCAACCCAUCAAUAUAUUCCUUAAUAAGAGCAAACUUCUCUGAUAUAGUGUAGUCGGGAGAAUUCAAAAAGAUAAUAGGACUAUCAUGCGUGGAUGCAAUAGCAACAAUUUCAUGUUUAACAUAAGGAAUUAUAGCAAGUUCAUCUCCAUAAGCAUAAUUCAUAUUGGCAUCUUGGCCACAAACAUAGCAAGCAUCAUCAAAAAGGGAUAUUUCAAAAGAAUCAACGGGAUCAUAACAAUCAUCAUAGCAAUCAUCCUUAGGUAAGCACGAAGGGAAAUUAAACAAUGUAUGAGUUGAAGAGUUACUCUCAUUAGAAGGUGGGCACGGGUAGCUAAUCCGCUCUUCCUACUUUUGUUCUUCGCUCUCCUCCUCAUCUUUUUCAUCCAAUGAGCUCACAGUUUCAUCAAUUUCUUCUUCCAUAGACUCCUGCAAUAUAUUAGUCUCUUCUUGGAGAGCGGAGUAGUAAUCAAUAUAUGGUUCAACAUAGGCAUUAGAAGCAUAAUUAUCAUAACAAUAUUUAAGUAUGUCAAAAUUUUCAGAUUUGUAAAGAGUAGCAUUAUACUUAUCAAUCAAAGAAGCAAUUUCGUAAGCACCCUUAAAAGCAACAAAUUCUUCAAUUUGUUGAACAUCAUAGUAACUAUAAACACCCUUAGCAUAAGAGGAUACGAUUCCGUUGUCACUAAACAAACAUUGGUAGGGAAGGUGUUUCUUAGGGUCUUCAGAACAACAGGUAUAAUCAUAUAUUUCACAUAAAUUCCAAGCAUAGCAUUGCAAACGAUGAAUUUGAUCCAAUAAAGUUUUCCCUUUUUCAGAUAUUCUGUGUCGCACAUAAAAAUAAUGCUCAUCUGAAGAUUUGCCCUCAACUAAGCUAGUUGGGGUUUCAGCAUGAGCACAAAGGGAUCGAAGAUGAUCCAAGUAAUAAGCUUCCACAGUGUGAUAGAUUUUGAGUCGUUCUUCAACCAUUGGUUAAUAGGUACAACUAAUUUUUUUGGUAUUUUGCGUACCCAUAACUAAAGAUAGAAACAACUAAGAACAGAAAAUAAAAAUUACUUAGUGAUAAAGCAAGCAAGCACACACGAGAAUAUUCAUCCCCAUGCUAUUGCUCCCAGGCAACGGCGCCAGAAAAUGGUCUUGAUAACCCACAAGUAUAGGGGAUCGCAACAAUUUUCGAUAAGUAAGAGUGUCGAACCCAACGAGGAGCUAAAGGUAGAACAAAUAUUCCCUCAAGUUCUAUCGACCACCGAUACAACUCUACGCACGCUUGACGUUCGCUUUACCUAUAACAAGUAUGAAACUAGAAGUACUUUGUAGGUGUUUUCGGAAGGCUUGGAAGAAAGUAAAGAGCAGGGAAAUAAAACUAGGGGAUGUUAAGGUAAAGAAGCAACUAAAUUAAGUAUAGCGAGUGUGGAAAAGUGGUGGUAGGAGUUGCAAAAUUGUCCCUUAAGCAAUUGACUACUUACUAGACCGAUAGCAAGUAUUACGUGGGAGAGGCCACUACUAGCAUGUCAUCCCUGACUUGGAAUUCUAUGCACUUAUGAUUGGAACUAUUAGCAAGCAUCCGCAACUACUAACGUUCACUAAGGUAAAACACAACCAUAGCAUUAAGAUAUAUUGGUCCCCCUUCAAUCCCGUAUGCAUCAAUUUAUAUGCUAGGUUGAAGCUUCUGUCACUCUUGCCCUCCAAUACAUAGUCAUAUCAACAUACAACUAACCCUCGGGUGUGAUCCACGCGCACAAUCAUAUGAUGGGCACCAAAAGACAGCAACAUAACCACAAGCAAAUUAAAUCAAUCAUAAUAAUUAAUCAACCACUGAUAGGACAACGAAAAUCUACUCAGACAUCAUAGUAUGGCAACAAAUCAUUGAAUAAUGAUAUGAAGCAUAAAGCACCAUGUUCAAGUAGAGGGUACAGCGGGUUGCAGGAGAGUGGACCACUGUAGAUAGAGGGGGUAAGGUGAUGGAGAUGUUGGUGAAGAUGGCGGAGGUGUUGGUGAAGAUCGCGGUGAUGAUGAUGAUGGCCACGGCAGUGUUCCGGCGCCACCGAAGGAGAGCGGGAGAGGGUCCCCUUUUUCCUCUUCUUCCUUGACCUCCUCCCUAGAUGGGAGAAGGGUUUCCCCUCUGGUCCUUGGCCUCCAUAGCAUGGGAGGGGCGAGAGCCCCUCCGAGAUUGGAUCUAUCUCUCUGUUUCUCUCUGGUUAUGCGUUCUGUUCUGGCUUUGUUUCACCGUUUCGUGUAUAUAUGGAGAUCCGUAACUCCGAUUGGCCUGAAACCUUCGCCGUGAUUUUUUACGAAUAUUAGCUUUCUUACAACAAAAAAAGAGCAUCAACUGCCUUACGGUGGGCUCACGAGGGUUGGGGCGCGCCCUAAGGGGGGGCGCCCCCUGCCUCGUGAUCACCUCGGGCACUGGUUCGCGUUGAUUUUCCUUCCGAAUUUUCCAUAUUUUCCAAAAAUAAGCUCCGUCCGUUUUUAUCCCGUUUGGACUGCGUUUGAUAUGGAUAUUCUGCGAAACCAAAAAGUACUGGGCACUGGAUCAAUAUGUUAGUCCCAAAAAUAAUAUAAAAAAAUUGCCAAAAAGUAUAUGAAAGUUGAAUAAUAUUGGCAUGGAACAAUCAAAAAUUAUAGAUACGACGGAGACGUAUCAGUAUUCUUAGAGGCCAAAUAGGAGACCUGGAAAUUAUGCUAAUUUAGAUCUACAUGUUCAAAAUAUCAAUUUCGGUAAACUUGGUAUAUUUUAGAAAGAGAGGUGCCAACCUGAAAAAUAUAAUUUACUUCUCUUGCAAUGACCCGGAGCUAAAUUCCAUAUAUACAAAUCAGUUUACUAUGCAAUACAUACCCAAAAAAUACACCAUCUUUGGCAAGUCUUCAAGCUACAAUCUUUUCUUGCACCAGUUUCAGCAUCAAAUAUAUGUGUUAUAGGUUACUACGAAGGAGAUAUAGAGUAGCUGAUACAAUAGAGAGAUGACCUUAGUACAUGAAUGUAAGAAUAAUAUAACCAUAGAUUGCAAGAAUAAUCCACACAAAGAAAAGACUCUACACAAAGUACAGGAAACAUAAUAAUAGAAGUACAGAUCAAAGAUUCUCGCAACAAAAUCAGUAAUUGUAUGGAUCAUGAGCCGGUUCAAGAUGAAGCAGAUGUACAUAAAUAGUCAAAGUGACCUUCAGACAAAAUAAAGUAACAGUGACCAGAGAUUAGGGAACUAAGAGAAAUCAUGAAUUUGGCAUCACAUUUACCUCUAAACAUCAUUGUAAAGGAUAGAGGACUCUAGGGCAAUGCUACUGUAUGUCAUAUUUUAAGAUUUUGCUUUAGAAAGAUUAUGAACAUACUCAUAAUUCAAUAUUUUACUCAUCUCUGAACAUACUCAAGGUAGGCACUAAAAAAUGGAUAUAUGGUAAAAAAAACAGAGUAGAGGAAGUAUUUGGGGGGAGGGGGUCAGGAAGAACCUGAUAUGGAGAAGAGAUUGAAACAGGUUGUUGUGCCGGCCAAAACUGCAGAUGUUCCCCGACCAGCAGGCACCGCAUCAACAGUCAAUCGAUUUGAACAACAGGGACUUCAAAACCAAAACCAAGGAUCAGGAAGAUUUGCUUCCAAGAUGCCCCCAAACAAAAAGCCACAUGUCAAUCUCCCUCCUCGAUAUGCGAAGAACUGAGGGGACUAAUAGAUUGGACACGGGUAGCAGCAAGAAUGGAUCACCUGGAAUCAUCUUGACCUGCUCCUUCUAGCGGUGCCUCUUGAACUUGGGGAGGUAACAACCGCAGGGAACCCACAGUAUAUAGCAGGGCAGAAGCGGAAUCGGUGCGCCAUAAAAACUGAAUCGGCGUACUCGUAGAUGAGGAGAACUAAAUCCAGCCGAGGGAGAGGGGGAUUGAUAGUGGGAGAUUAAUUGCCGUGCAGAAGAUGGAGAGUUCUGGAUGCCAUUCUACGGGAGCAGAUGGACCAAUCUAGAACAAAUCUUUGAGGGGAUGGGGAGCCAGAGGAGCGCACUCACGGAGAGUUGGGAUCCCAGCCGCCGUGCAAAAUAUGGAAUGAAUCUUGGGGAUGGGGAGCACGACUGGAAACACACUCAUUAAUCAGCGGUCAUGCAGCAGGAGGAGCGACUAUCGGAGAGUUGGGAUCCCAGCCCGCUGCACGAAAUUGAUUUUCGUAGGGGAGGAGCGGUCGAUGGGUUCCGACUUGUGAGGGAGAGAGAGGUAUGUAUCUUUCGGCGAAGGAACACGCUGACGUGGAUACCUUGCAUGUUAAGAUAAAAAUGAUAGUGGGGAUGAACUUCUUAUGUAUAUAGGAUUUGCACUGGUGGCGAACUUUGGUGCCCAGUGGAUGUAAUAUGUGUAAUAUCCAUGAUAACCUAGCAUUAGUUGCUUGCUUAUUUAUUUUCUUGUUGUCUUGUUUAUUUAUUUGCUUGUAGUCAUUGCAGUUCUUUUUCCGCGGUUAACAAGUGGCUGCAAUAACCUAUUUUUUUUAAACUAGGUCACAAUAACCAUGGGCUAAUAUUUACUGUAGUGACACUGGGCCUCCUACGGGCCCUAGAAACAAUGGGUCUUCUAUGGGCCGUAGAAACAGUAGGCCUUCUACGGGUUGUAGAAGCAAUGGGCUUUCUACGGGCCAUAUCAUCAAUGAGCCGUAUGAUCGAUUGGCCAAACAUGGACCAAUAACAGGCCGCAUUAUGGCCGUAAACGGGCUAGAGACGGAAUCGUCCGUUCAUGGGCCGACCGUAACGGGCCAUCUUUAAUAGGCCGUAUUUGAUGACGCUAUGUAAACGGCCCAACGUAUUAACGGACCACAAAUGGGCCGACUGUAACCACGGGCUAAAUUUGGCCCACAAGCAGAAAAUGAUAGUAACGGGUCGUAAGUAAACGAAUGCUGGAAAUGAGCCCAAGAAUAAAUGGGCUCUGAGAAGGCCGAAAGAUAACAUGGGCUGGAAACGGCCCAACGGAAUAACGGGCCGUUAAUGGGUAUAAAGUGAUACACUGUUCAUUACGGGCCAGUUUCACCACGGGCCGUUAAUGGGUGUAAAGUGAUACACUAUUCAUUACGGGUCAGUUUCACCACGGGCCGUUAAUAGGUCAAGAGUUACAUAGGGCCUCAUAUGAGCCAAAAGACGUCAUGGGCCAUACAUGGGCCAGAAGUGAAAAUGGGCUGGAAUCAUAUUGGAUGGCCUAGAUGACGCUACUGGGCCUAAUUCAGAUAGGGCGUAACGGGCCUUGGGUUAGCGGGUUGUAAAUGGGCUAUAUGCGAAUAGGCUGUUAACAGGCUUUCCAUGGCCGCCCACCACCUUUUGACCAAGUCAAACAGGCCGGCCUUUUCACAGGAAUGGGCCUCUGUUGUGCCGUGCCACGUGUCGACGUAUCAUAGGCGCCUAUCUGACCCACUGACGAGCUGACACAUGUUUCGUCCGGCCAAUAAGAAUUUUACACGUAGAAAUUUCCCAUUGGUCGGGGCCGUUAACGGGUUAUCGGAUCCAAAACCCGACCCGAUAGCUUAACGGCGUUCCGUUACGGUGGAUGCCACGUGUCGGUCACCCAUGACGAAAACACUUCUGUGACGCGCGAUUUAUCAUCAUGGAAGUGGACACUUCUGUGAUGAUAAUUUUGGUAAUGUCAUGGAACACUUCUACGACAGCACAGGUAUGACUAUCUUGAUUCUGUCAUAAAUUUGUCAUGGAUGUACAUCCAUGACAAAAAAGCGACCUACUAUGACAAACACAUAUCAUCACGGAAGCGUAUUUUUUUGUAGUGUAUGUGAACGUAGACUACAUGACACUUCACCAUUAUUUGGGCCUAGAGGAAGGCAUUGUGAAGUAAUAAGUAGAUGAUGGGUUGCUAGAGUGACAGAAGUUUAAACCCUAGUUUAUGUGUUGCUUCGUAAGGGGCUGAUUUGGAUCCAUAUGUUUCAUGAUAUGGUUAGGUUUACCUUAAUACUUUUGUUGUAGUUGCGGAUGCUUGCAGUAGAGCUUAAUCAUAAGUGGGAUGCUUGUCCAAGUAAGGGCAGUACCCAAGCACCGGUCCACCCACAUACCAAAUUAUCAAAGUACCGAACGCAAAUCAUAUGAAUGUGAUGAAAACUAGCUUGACGAUAAUUCCCAUGUGUCCUCGGGAGCGCUUUUCGCUAUUUAAGAGUUUGUCCAUGCUUGUCAUUUGCUACAAAAAGGAUUGGGCCACCUUGCGGCACUUUAUUUACUUGUGUUACUUGUUGCUCGUUACAAAUUAUCUUAUCACAAAACUAUCUAUUACCUAUAAUUUCAGUGCUUGCCGAGAAUACCUUGCUGAAAACCACUUAUCAUUUCCUUCUGCUCCUCGUUGGGUUCGACACUCUUACUUAUCGAAAGGACUACGAUAGAUCCCCUAUACUUGUGGGUCAUUAGUCUACAUAGUUCUCGAACCUGUAGGGUCCGCGCGCUUAACGUUCGAUGACGAUCAGUAUUAUGAGUUUAUGUGUUUUGAUGUACUGAAGUUAGUUCGGAGUCCCAGAUGUGAUCACGGACAUGACGAGGAGUCUCAAAAUGGUCGAGACAUAAAGAUCGAUAUUUUAGAAAGCUAUGUUUGGACACCGGAAUGGUUUUGAAUGAGUUCGGGCAUUUUCCGGAGUACGGGGAGGUUACCAGAACCCCCCUGGGGAGUCAAUGGGCCUUAUUGGGCCUUAGUGGAAGAGAGGAGGACGUGGCCAGCUGGAGGGCGCCCCCCCAAGCCUAAUCCGAAUUGGGGUGGGGGCCGGCCCCCUUUCCUUCUCUCCCUCUCCCUCUUCCUUCUUCUCCUACUCCAACUAAGAAGGGGGGAAACCUACUCCUACUCGAAGUAGGACUAUCCUCCUUGGGCGCGCCCUAUGAGAGCCGGCCCUCUCCUCCUCCCCCCUUUAUAUACGGGGGAGGCACUACAGGAAACAGUUAAUUUGCCGUCAGGAGGCGUCUUUGCCGUCAGCUUUUCGUCGGGCGGACGGCAAAGAAAGGGUUUGCCGUCAUCAGUAGACGGCAAAGAAAAACAAAUGGUAAAAUAGACUUUGUCGUCUGCAAAAAAACACGGACGGUAAAUCUCUCACUUUGCCAUCUGCAAAAAACAAAGACGACAAAUCGCUCACUUUGCCGUUUACAAAGAAAAACACAAACGGCAAAGAUCCUUGUCGUCUGCAUUUUUUGUUACAGACGGCAAAGAGCAUGUUUCGCCAUGUAUAAUAUAAAACACAGACGGCAAAGAUAUUACAGACAACAAAAUAUGCUCUUUGUCGUCUGUAAUUGAAAACACAUACGGCAAAGAAAAAACACAUCUCACGGAUCGAUCUCCUGGAUCGAUGAGGUGGCACGAUCCUUACCACACGUUGUCUCCCACAUCUCUCGCACGCCCCCACGUCCUCUCUCUCUCUCCCCACGUUCUCUUUCUCUAUCCACCCACCGACGCAACCGGACGGCCCCACCCACCUCGCCCAUCCUCUCACCCACGAUAGCCACAAAUCCCACCGAGAGGCCCGCGCCCGUGCUCCCCCCGAGAGGCCCCCGCCCGUGCUCCCUCCGCAGCGCUGCCGGCGCAUCGCCGUCGCGCGCCUCUGGCGCGGUCUGCUGCCUCUCGCGCACCCCCUCGGGCACGCAUGCCUCUGCCCCGCCCGAGGUCUCACCUCCUCCCCCGACUCUCCUCGUCCAGGCGGGCACCAGCGCCGGCGGGCACCACGUGCCAGCCAGGCGACCAGCGCGACACGUCAACCGCCGCCGCCAAAGACGGGCGCCUCCUCGUACGCGUGCAGCUAACCCUCGCUGAACUACUCUGUAGCUGCCUCUCGCCGGACCCCGUUGCACUCGAGACUCCCCACCCUCUUUCUUUCCGCCCCUUGCCGGACCCAGCCGCGGCCAUCCCUCACUAGACCCCGCCACGGCCGCCCCUCGCCGGACUACACCGCAGCCGUCAGUCACCGGACCCCGCCGCGGCCGUCCCUCACUAGACCUCACCGGAGACCGGACCCCGCCAUGGCCGCCCCUUGCCAGACCUCACCGCGUCGGCUCCCUAGCCUCCACUACAAGAAAUAUGUCAACUAGUGACCUUCUGUCAGUGACCCUGGAAGAAAUGGGCAUAGAUCUAUGACCAUUUCAUACCAAUUGGUUAAAAGUUGCUCAGGGGGCUCCAAACCCUAAACCAUUGCGACCAUUUUGGUCAGAAAUGUCGUAAUUUCCUUACAUGAAAUGGUCAUAAAGCAAACAGCGCUAGUCUGCUGCCUUAUUUCUAGUUGUUAACGACCAAUAUAGAUGGUCACAGCCUUGUAAAUUGUGGUGGGUUGCUAUGACUAGGCGCCACCUCAUCAGUUUUGCCUAUGUGUCAUGUCCAUGUGACAGUUCUUGCCCUAGGUUGUGAAGCAACCUAUAUUUCUGUCAUUUCCAAAAUUCCCAAAAAAAUUCUUUGGGUCAUAUCUUCGUCAAAUAUGUAAAAACCUUCCUUACCUAGUUCAAAAAUAAUUCAAAAAUAUUCAUUUUCCUAUUCUGUUCAGAACAACAGUUUGUGAAGGAAGUACCACUUUGGCAUGUCCAAAUAGUAUCCAUUUUCUACAGUGCUUUCCUAUGCCCAAAUAACCAUCCUCCACCAAAUGCCAGCUCAAUCUAUUCAUUAUUUUGAGCCGAGCUUCAACAUUCGUAUUUAUGUCCAGUGUGGUAGUUUGCAAAGCAAGUACCACCUAGGAUCCUCCUUUUGAGCUGAAAAUUUGUGAAGACGGUCUUCUUAGUAACUGACCAUCCUCAGCCAAAACUCACACCCAUUAGCCAUGUACAUUUCCCGUACCGCUAAUCAAACACUUGGCUGCUAAUUCAUGUUUGAGCAUCGAUCGGUCUCCUCGUGAGAAUCUUAUGUUGUAAUUUUCUUCCUAGCACCUACCUGGGGAGUGCCCAACCCACUAAACAUGCCUAGCCUGCCCAGAACACAUGGCAAUGCCACGGUCACGCGGUGACCACGCGGCGGGCAUGCGAGUUUACGCGCUCUAGAGUUGGGGGCCUCGGCAACCGCCAAAACCUCGACGUAUCGCCACCAAACCAUGUAUUUAUGAUUAAAUAGGUACUUAUGUAACUAUAAAUGAUUUUUGAAAAAAAAAAUAGCAAACUAUGAGGCAGCUGUAGUUCAAAUUUGACCCGCUUCCUACUAAAUCGGCAGGAAUUUGUCUUUUUCACCAGAGGUGGAUCAAAACUUUUUACACCCAACCAUUUUGUCAAUUGUGCAUUAAAUAUGGCCUAGUAUUUUAUAAAAUUGAUUUGGUCCAAUUUUGCAACAAUUAUUUGGGAGGUCCUUCACAAAAAAACCUCCUUUUGGGCACCCGAAAAAUGGAAAAUGGUAUUUUCGUCCAAAGAAAAUGGAAACUUCCUGAGGCAACAUUGUUUGCCAUUCCAAUAUGCACCCUUGUGCACAAUAUGAGAUCAUUUGAACAACUAUGCCAUGAAUGUGGCCAUAAGAUUGAUCAUUUGGCUUGAAAGCCAUUGAUCUCCAUACGUGAUAGCUCGUUUCUGAGAACACUUUUUUAAAAUAAUUGCCAUAUUACAAGUUUGUUAUUUUUCCUGGGAACUUGGCCACAUAUAGUGACACAAUGCGAAGGUUUCCCAAUUUUUUUAUUUUUUUUGAAUUUUUUAUGCCCCUUUCAAAAUAUGGUCAAAACGACGGGAAUGACUGUUCCUCGCUAGUGGUUGAAUCUUGGAAUUUUUUUGGUGUUUCUCUGAUCAAAUAGAUACUUAUGUACCUAGAAAUUAUUUUUGGAAAAAAUAAAUAGCAAACUAUGAGGCAGCUGUAAUUAAUAUUUGACCCGCUUCCUACUGAAUCGGCAUGAAUUUGUCUUUUUCACCAGAGGUGGAUCAAAACUUUUUACACCCAACCAUUUGGUCAAUUGUGCAUUAAUUAUGUCCUAGUAUUUUAUAAAAUUUAUUUGGUCCAAUUUUGCAACAAUUAUUUGGGAGAUCCUUCACAAAAAAAUCUCCUUCUGGGCACUCGAAAAAUGGAAAAUGGUUUUUUCGUCCAAAGAAAAUGGAAACUUCCUGAGGGAACAUUUUUUGCCAUUCCAAUAUGCACCCUUGUGCACAAUAUGAGAUCAUUUGAACAAACUAUGACAUGAAUGUGGCCAUAAGAUUGAUCAUUUGGCUUGAAACCCAUUGAUCUCCAUACGAGAUAGCUCGUUUCUGAGAACACUUUUUUAAAAUAAUUGCCGUAUUACAAGUUUGUUAUUUUUCUUUGGAACUUGGCCACAUAUAAUGACACAAUGCGAAGGUUUCCCAAUUUUUUGAUUUUUUUUAUCCUUAUCCGCUUGGCCGCGGCAGUGAACUAGUACAUCAAUGAAAGAAGGAGUAUGGCUACUACCCAUGUGUGACUGUUGUACUGUUGUGAAGAAUCAACAAAAAUAGUCCACUGCAGUUGGUCUUUUGUUCUGGUCGCUGCGCCUGGUCUUUUCAAUGAGUUCACUUAGCUUUCAUUUUAUGUUUCAAGUAGUAACUUUCGGGCUGCAGUUGGUCUCUACGCCAAUCACAGAACGUGCCAUCUAAUAUAUGAAGGAAGGAAGGAGUAUGGCUACUACCCACGCAAGGGGGCCCGAACCGUCGUAAACCUGUGCCCUGCAUUCAGUUUGAUGGCAUUUGGUGACUUUCCACUAGCAAAGAAAUCACAUGCAACUAUUGUACUAUUGGGAAGAAUCUAGAAAAAUAUCCUCAAAAACAUUCUUCCGUGUCAUCACCGCCACACCCUCUCUUUCCCAGGUAGACAUAUUUGUGAUGUUGGGUCGAUGUUCUCAUAUUUUUGGGAACAUUUUCACCUAACCAAUGUGCCCUAUUAAAGAUGAUGCAAAAGCCGAAAGAUAUGCAAUUAAGCAUGCAUGAUUGAACAAGAUUGACUAAGGUUCAUGCAAUUGGCCACACAUGACCUGCUGCGAUGCGUCCCACAAAUCAAUUUAAAAGCAUGGAAAGGAAAAGAAAAGGUUGUAAAUCAUGGAUAUUUUUCCUUCUUUUAUCUCUCUACGAAUGUUCUUUUCUUACAGGCCAAGGAAUUGCCAGUAGUAUCUCUGAUGGGACCCUGUUUCUUUGUUCCUGGAACUAAUGUUAAUAGUUUAUUGAUAUUUCAUACAUGAAGCCGAAGAACCCAGCUAGCUAGCCUACUACUUUAGGCUUUCUUUACGUAUGUUAGGCUUCGCAUGGAACUUGCACGUCAAUUCUAUAUUUAGAGCUAGAUUAACACAGAUAUGCUCUAUACUUUGGAUGUCACUCAGGGUUAGUAUAUGUUCAACAAUAUAUUUCUAUGUUAUUUCGUAGUGUUGAGCAAAAUAAACAUAUGGACCAAUUAAUCAGUGGCCUGCAGAAAACGGUAAUAGCUUUAUCGAGUAUGUGUUCAUAGCUCGAAGUGCGGACUUUACAUGGACAUUCACUCGUUCCUGGGAUUUGGAAUGUCGAGAAAACCGACAGCCCCUUGUGCUUCCAGAUGGUGUAGGGAAUAAAACUGGAGCAGCAGAGGCAGAUUUAAAUGUAUUUAUUUCCAUCAUCCAUGGUUCUACUUGUAAAUAUCAAUUUUUCCCACAGAAAAGUGUAAAUGUAUACAUAUGAAUUGAUUUCCAUGGCGAAUGUACAUGUACCAAAAUUCUAGCUAGCUUCCCCUAGAAAAACAUUUUAGCAAGGUAGUCAGAAGCUUCCUUAAGAAAGAACAGAAAAGAAAAGAAAAGAAAAGAAAUGGUACCUGAUUCGUGCCCUUUGUUUGUUGAAGGAAGUAGUUUAUAGUAGUAUAACAGUGCAUGCAUGGCUACCGCUUGGUCCGUCCAUGCGUACGUAGUUUUCCUAUAUAUAGAGAGAGAUUAGAGAGCGGAGGACCAACACAAGUCAUAAGCGGCCAUCGAUCUAUCCCAGGCCACACGUAGUAGCACAACAAUCAUGACGAUUUCCGCUAUGCCGCUGCUAUUGCUUCUUCUUGUCAGCUUGUCUGUAGGUUCUUGUGUGGGUGACCAUCAUCAGCUCCUCAACUUCAUGACAGUGAAAACAAGCUCCCUAAAGCAUAUCGCAGAAGGCGCCGUCUGCUCCGGACACAAGGGUGAGUAUCUAAGGGUACUGCAUGCAUGCAUAUGCAUACGUUAUUUAGUACAUACUCGCUCCGUUCGGAAUUACUUGUCGCAGAAAUAGAUGUAUUCGAAAUAUGUCUAAAUACAUCCAUUCCUGCGAUAAGUAAUUCCCGAUACAUCCAUUCCUGCGACAAGUAAUUCCGAACGGAGGAAGUACGUCGUAUAGUAGCUAGCUUAAUAUUGAGCUCAUUGAUGGAUAUGCAUGCGUGUUAACCUGUCGCCUUCGUCUGUCGACAAACAGUGACAAUGCCGUCCGGCGACGGUGUCAGGUGGGUACCGAUGAACCGCCCGCACGGCCCAUGCUCGUCAGCGGCGGCGACUACGGUCGUCGACGGCAUGCUCCUGUGGGACCAGCUACGCACCAGCUCAAUCCGGAGGAAGCUCUCCGGCGGCAGGGCCGGCGAUGGCCUGCCGGUCAUCCACUCCCGUGAAGCCAAAACUAGCAACAUCGACAGCAGUAUGACUGCGAAAAGCACGCUGGGGGGCAGCGGCGGGACAAGCUCCACGACAAUGGAAAGGACCAGCGAACACUUGUACUCCAAGGUGAGCCAAACGGUGGUGGUGGACACGAGCAGCGACAUUCCGUGGGUGCAGUGCCUCCCGUGCCCCGCCCCGCAGUGUCACCUCCAGAAGGACCAACUCUACGACCCCGCCAACUCCAGCACGUACGCACCUAUCCCCUGCGGCUCCCCUGCCUGCACGGAGCUCGGUAGCAGCCACAGCAGUGGCUGCUCCGCCGGCUCCGACCAAUGCAAGUACAUCCUCGACUACGGCGACGGCAGGGCCACCGCCGGGACAUACGUCACCGACACGCUGACCUUGUCGCCCACCAUCGCGGUCAAGGGCUUCCGGUUCGGGUGCAGCCACGCCGUGAGGGGCACCUUCAGUGACCAGACCGCCGGCGUCCUGGCCCUCGGCGGCGGCGCUGGGUCCCUCCUUGCGCAGACCGCGGAGACCUUCGGCAACGCCUUCUCCUACUGCGUCCCGCACCCGAGCUCCGAUGGAUUCCUCUCGCUGGGCGGGCCGGUGGGGAACUCGUCGCAGUUCACGAGCACGCCUCUNNNNNNNNNNCUCUGAUCAAGAACCAACACGCUCCGACGUUCUACAUCGUCCGCCUGGAGGCAAUCACCGUGGCCGGGAGGCGGCUCGACGUGCCGCCGGCUACGUUCGCCGGUGGUGCGGUGAUGGACUCAGGGGCGGUCGUCACGCAGCUGCCACCGUCGGCAUACGCAGCGCUGCGGGCAGCGUUCAGGAGCGCCAUGACGGCGUAUGGCCCGCUUGCGGAUCCCGUACGCAACCUUGACACGUGCUAUGACUUGACCCGCUUCCCCGAGGUCAAUGUCCCCAAGGUGUCCCUAGUGUUCGCAGGCGGUGCCACCUUGGAGCUCGAGCCGGCGUCCAUCAUGCUGGACGGCUGCCUGGCUUUCACGGCCUCCCCUGGCGGCCACGGCUCCAUCGGAUUCAUCGGCAACGUGCAGCAGCAGACCUACGAGGUUUUGUACGACGUCGGCAGCGGGAGCGUGGGAUUCCGCAGUGGCGCGUGCUGAUGUGGCAAGCUGCAGGCCAACCACGGCCACUUGUACGUGUGAUGCAUGAUUGGCCCCCUAAUAUAUAUCUGGGUCUACAAGCUAGCUUGCUCAUUGGGAUGGAGCUAGUUUGUGAGUAUAAAUAAAUGCAAGAAAGAAGAUUGAUGUAAUACUUAUAUAUGCAUGUAAUUUUAUAUAGUUUUAUAUAUGCAUGUAAUUUUGUUCAACGGUUGUAUGAUUGUAAACCUUAUAAUAUAACCUUACAGAUUGUCAAGGAAUUCAACCGAUAUAAUUACUCUACUUAUUGAUGUGCAAUAAUGUAAUAUGACUAUUAAG